rnacentral:lncRNA from 1 species
AUGGGGCCCCUGAUAACCUAUCGGUUUCCCCUUACGAGUGUUCGUGCACUCGCAGGUCUAUUAUAGCCACAAUUUUGGCAUUUCAGCAUUUUGGCUUUUCGGCAUUUCGGGAUUUGUCGAUCUACUGUGUGUGUGCAGUGUAUGUGCACACCUGGUAAUAUAGCAUCCUGUGAUCCCCCCUAGCCAUGAACCUACAAUCGAUAUCACUCAAUGAUUAACCACACAUACUUAUCGAAUACCUUGCCAAAAGCUGAGGUCUUACCUUAACCUUACCUGGAACGCCAAGCCUUAAUGGCUUUUUCUUGCUCACUAAUCACGAGCACUUCCUAGAUCUGCAUUAACCUUAUUGUUAAAAACAUAAUGGGUGACUUAUAUCCAACAUAUGUCACCCUUUCCCAUUAAAGCCUAUUCGGCCAACCUUUACCAAAAUGAAGAACACUUACCAAAGUUUCAACACUUAGGGAGCAAACCGGCAGAGAUCCAAAAGACUGAGGUUCGAUACUAAUCCUACCAAAACCGAUUCAGAAGGAGUGAGGGACAGGAGUAAUCGAUACUUAGCAAAACCAACUGAAAGAACAAAACACUUACACUAGAAUUGGCUGAGGUAGAAGGAGUAGUGGCAGCACAGAGGAUAUUCGGCUUCUAAGGUUUGUAUGAUGGAAAAGGUUAUUCGGCACAAAGUAAAACAGUAGUAGCAACCGUUUACAACCAGUGGUGAAUCAAAAAAGAAGUAUUGAGUAGGGGAAAGAAUGGAAAAUCGGCACAAAGUAAAGAAAGAAGAACAAGGGAUUUCGACUUUUUGAUCCUUGGAGAGAAAAAUGUUUUCUGGUAACAAGGAAAGGGAGAAUUUGGCAUUAGCCUGGAAUCCUCACAUUCGACACCUAUAUAUAGUCUAUAGUCGAAUUUCCUAUGCCAAAAUUCCUAAUUCGACUCCACCUCUUCUUCACUCCUCAUCUCCUAAUUUUUCUCCCUGAUAAAUCCCUAAUCCCCACCUCAAAUUUCUCCUCUUAUCACUCCCUACAGUGUUCAUAUCCAACGCCAACACUGACCAUCUCUUAAACAAAAAUAAAUCCUUCUUUUGAGCAAUGAGGGAUUCAAACCCCAAACCCCAUUGCCCUGUAUGUGACACCACUUGCCAUUCCACCACAAGGCUUUCUUGUGUCCAAUUCCUCCUUCAUUUAUUCAAAAGCUCAGCUACUUGCCAUCGGGGUUCUUUUAAGUAUUAACCUAUAAUUUCCUUCACCCUUAAGUUCGAACUCAAACCUUAACUAAGACCUAUUAUCACAUAAAUAAAACUUAACUAGGAAUAUUAAGCACACUUCUUAUCAAAAUCGAAAUAAGAAAAAGAAAAUUUGGGAUUUCGAGACUUUUGGGGCGUUACAAGUUCAAACGAGAUUUUUUUAUAUCACAUCUCUGUUAAGCUUGCUCGUAAUGUCAAUCUCAAUGUCCAUAACACUCAUCACUUACUCGUGGAGUAAUCAAAGCAUAACUCGUAAUAACAUUGAAGAAUUUUAAUUCACGUAAUACUCAACAUCAAAAAUAUAACAUAACAUCACAUUAUUUUAUAUGAACUUACCUCGGUACAAAAUGAUGAAAACGAGCCUAUUCUUCGUAAACCUUGUUUUUCCCCCGAUCAAAACCCGAAUCAUGUUUUUCUUGAUCUAUAAUGCCAAAUUUAACUUAUUUAAUACAUACAUUGUUUGAAUCGACCCAUAACACAUACUUUGAUAAAAUUACCUUUUUACCCCUAACUUUUUACUUAUUUACAAAUUGGUCCUUAGGCUCGUAAAAUGAAAUACAUGCAUUUUCUUUACUACCCAAGCCUAGCCGAUUCAUAUUCCUACUCUUAGCAGCCUACGUUUUUCUUUAUUUCACAUAUUUACUACCCAUUUUACAACUUUUACAAAUAGGUCCUUUACAUGCAUUUCCAUCAAAAAUCACUUAGUAAAAGAUGUUAAACACACAUCAAAAUUUUAUAUUCCUCCAUUAAAUAUCGAAAAUACAUGCAUGUCACACAUGGGUAAGUUUUUGAACAUGAACCCUAGCUUAAAAUAAGGGUAGAAAUAACUAGAUCAUGUUUCAAAGAUCUCAAAAACAUGAAGAACAUAAAAAACAGAGCUAAGAUGUACUUACUAUUGAGCUUGAAAAGUUGAAAAACCCUAUAUAUGGAACCCUUAGGAAUUUCAGCUAUGGCAUGGAGAAGAUGAGCAAAUUUUGCUUGAUUUUUCCCUUUUUUAUUCUUUUAUUAACUAAAUGACUAAAUUGCCCUUUAAUGCCUUUCUUUUAAAUUUUCCUUAGCAUGCCUACUUUUUUCUAGAAUUUUAAAACUUGGCCAAAUUACUAUUUAAGGACCUCUAGUUAAAAAUCCAUAGCAAUUUCAUGCUUAAAGCUUCUAGAACUCAAGUUUUACAACUUAUUCAAUUUAGUCCCUAACUUCAAAUUAGACACUUUAGGCAUAAAAUUUCUUCAUGAAAAUUUUACACAAACAUGCAUUCAUAUCAUGGAUCAUCAAAUAAUCAUAAAAUAAUUAUUUCUACUUCAUAUUUUUGGUCUCGAAACCACUGUUUUAACUAGACCCUAAUUUUGGGAUGUUACAUCUUAGUUGAUUUUUGAAUGUAUUGUUGUGUGAAUUGUUGUGUUGAAGUUUCGGAUUCACAAGGACCAUCUACAAGCUAGAAAAGGCUAGUUUUAGCUUUCAGCAUUUCGGCAAAAGCGUAGUGGUAAAUCUUUAGAUUAAUUGCUUGUGGACAUGAUUUAAUGCGUUAUUUGGGAAUUUAGUGGUACUAAACCCUUACUCUAAAUUUUGAGUGUAAGCUUUCUUGUACCCAGGUUUAUCUUGUGCGAUAUGUGCUUGUGUUAUUGUGAAAUUGUGAACUAAAAUGAGAUGCUAAAUAUGUGCUAUAUAUUUAUGAUUACUAUUGUGAAAGAGUAUAUGUGUAAGCAUGUCAUACAUGCUAAGUGACAGUGAUAAUAUUGUGCAAAUGAUACAAAUGUGCAGUGAAAGUAAUAAAAAAUCGAUAAGUAAUAUGUAUGUUUAAAUACAAAUAUUUUGACCUUGUGAUACUUGAGACCAUUGGAUAUAAUUGGCAUGCCAUAAGAUUGUGAGUACUCAUCAAUAUGUUUGAUAAAUCGUAAUUCAUACAUAUUUCUAUCUCAUGCUUAGCACAUUUUAUGGAUGAUUUAUCCUUAAAUUUGGUGAAUUCGAUGCUCCUAAUGCCUUAAUUUCAUGUUUUAUACUUAGGUGAUCAUAGGAGAGUGAAAGGAACGAGAUAUGGGCCAAAAACGAAGAAAAUGGGCCAACGUACGAAAUCAACACAGCUGGUCUUCCUUACACUGGCAUACCGCACGGUCGUGUCAAUUUGGCAGAAUCGAAGCACGACUCACAGGGGUAGACCACAUGCCCGUGCCUAUUUAACAGGCUUGACCACGGCCUGAAGUAAUCGCACAUGGGCGUGUCCUUGUCGAGCACAAGCAGAGUCCUAUUCGGAAAAUGUAACACCCCUUACCCGUAUCCGUCGCCGGAACAGGGUACGAGGUAUUAACAAAUUAUAGUAUAUUCUAUUAAAUAAAACCCAACAAAAAUAUGGCGUGCAAUUUGAUCAUGAAUCAUUAUAACAUAUGCCAUUAACAAUACAAACCAAUUUCAAAGGCUUCGUACAAAAUGAUUAGUUUGAUACUAUAAGUAGUAUUUUAUACCUAGACAAUUAUGACACAUAACAAAAUAACUAAGUCUGCUAUACAUGCCAUAUUUCAAAAUGUUGAGUUCAGAUACCAAGAGUAUUGAUAGUGCGGGCGGAUCUUCAACGAUCUCUAACUCCUGUGCUAGCUGGAUGACACUAUAAGACAAAGGAGAGAAAAGAAAGUAAGCUUAUAGCUUACUAAGUAAGUAUAUAAAUAACUGAUAAGGAAUCUAAUAUGUUUACAACAUAACUCAAUUAUAUCAUAUUUUUAAUUUUUUUACUAUUUACUCCGGUUUGAUCAAAGUGUCCCUCCUGCGUCAUAAUCACUAAAUAAAUCAUAACUCGAGUUAAAAAACUCCAAAUUCAAAUCCGUAAAAUUUCCCUAAAUCUAGACUCAUAAAUAUUCUUACUAAUAUUUUCUCUAGAAUUUUUGGUUCAGCCAAUUAGUACAGUUUAUUAGUUAAAAUUUCCCCCGUUACACAGCUCAACUGAUCUGACCUCUGUUAACUACGAAUUGAAUUUCUCUUAGUACACAAUUCAAAUAACCAUGAAACCUAUUUCAUUUAAAACUAGACUCAAUAAGGAAUUUAGGAAUAUAAACUAUAUUUCUUAAUUUGUUUUGUAGAAUUUUUAAUGAUUUUUCAAAGUUGGAACAGGGGAUCAUAUAGUCAUUCUGCACAAGUCACACACAAUUGUAAAUAUCUCAAAAUAUAGAAUUCCUUUGCUUGCUCUGUUUCUUUUAUAUGAAAAUAGACUCAUUAAGAUUUAAUUUCACAUCUCAUUCAACCUCGAAUUAAAUUUCUUCUAUUUUUGAUGAUUUUUAAAAAUCACAUCACUGAUACUGUCCAAAACAGUUUUAAUGCUAAUUUCACUCUUUCACACAUUCUUUGUACUAACCUCAUUUUAACUUAUAUAUAUAUCACAAAUCAUUUUCACUACAUUUCACACAUCACAAGUAUAGGCCCAUAACUACAAUGUCACCACAAAGCCAUCCCGUUGAACAAUUUGGAUUAAUCCUCGAUACUUGACGGUUUCAGCACACAGCCCCACAAUCAUAUUUCAUUUAAUUCGGCUCUCUUGUACACAUGGUGAACACUUAGUACCACUCAUGCAACCUAGACGAUUUGUCUCGUAGCUCUCUUGUCUACAUGGUGUCCUUCACUUGGAAUCACGCAUGCGACCUAGCUACAUUUAUCUCUCACGUAGCUCUCUUGUCUACAUGGGAUACAUCCCGUAUCACACAUGUGACCUAGCUACUACAUAGUAUCUCGUAGCUUUCUUAUACACAUGAUGUGCACUCGGCACCAUACAUGUGACCUAGCUACGCCCCCUCUAUUUUAUUCGAUCUUUCCGAAUGUUCAACCGGGAUCUCUCUCUAUUACUUAUUUCCAUUCUUCCAAUAGUCGAUUUAUACUUCAACAUCAUCUAAUAUAUAUAAUAGGCUGAAAUAUAAGAAUGUAAAUGAAAUUAAUGUAUUAUUUACGUACAAACUUACCUCGGUGCAAAAUAUGGGAAUUUUGCAAUUUAGUCCAAAACUUUCUCCUUCCCCCGUUCGAGGUCGAUUCCACGCUUUUCUUGAUCUAUAACAACAUAUUUAGUUCAUUUAACAAUCGAACUAUUUAUUUUAAUUCAAAAAUCACAUUAUACAAAAAUUACAUUUUUGCCCCCUAACUUUUACAAAAUUAUGAUUUUUCCCCAAGGCUCAGAAAUUUAAUUUCAGCCCUUAUUCUUAUGUUUAAUGACCUACUGAUCAUUUUUCUCUUCUAUGGAAACAUCAAAUUCUCACUCUAACACAUAGUUAUGAAUAAUAGGUAUUUUUAUCGAUUAUGCUGUUUUGCUCGUUUUCGUUAAAAAUCGCUUAGAAAAGAUCGUUCUCCUAACUUCAAACAUUCAUAUUCUACCAUCAAACAACACAAUACAUGCCUAUCAUUCAUGGGUAAAUUUUUAAGCAUACACCCUAACUCGAAAUAAUGGUAGAAAUAAGUAAAUCGAGCUACGAAGAUUUCAAAAAUGUGAAGAACAUUAAAAACGGGGCUUGAAAUCACUUACUAUGAAGCUUGAAAAUUGAAGAAACCCUAGCUAUGGAGGAGAGAAAAUUUCGGCAGCAACUAGUGAAGAUGAUGACCAAUUUUGUGUUAUUUUUCCCAUUUUAUUUCAUUUAAUAUACAAAUUACCAAAAUGCCCUUACUACUAAACUUUCCACAAAUUCCCUCCAUGUCCAACUUUUGUCCAUAACUUAGGAAUGGGUCAAAUUGCUAUUUAAGACCUCCUAGUUAAUAUCCCAAAACAAUUUCAUACUAAAAACUUCUAAAACACAAGUUUUACAAUUUAUUCGAUUUAGUCCCUAAUCUCAACUUAAGCGCUCAAUGCAUAGAAUUUCAUCACGAAAUUUUCACGAAAUCAUGAAAUCAUAUCAUAAACCCCAAAAUAAUUAUAAAACAAUUAUUUCUAUCUCAGAUUUGUGGUCACGAAACCACUAUUCUGAUUAGGCCCUAAUUCGGGUUGUCACAAUUCUCCCCCCUUUAGAGAUUUUCGUCCCCAAAAAUCUUACCGGUAAAGAGGUUUGGGUACUGUUUCCUCAUAGCUUCCUCAGGUUCCCACGUAGCCUCUUCUAUCCCAUGUCUGUGCCACAAUACUUUCACUAAGGCUAUACUUUUAUUUCUUAACUGUUUAAUUUCUCGAGCCAAAAUCUUUAUUGGUUCCUCCUCAUAGGUCAUAUCCGGUCGAAUCUCAAUUUCUGUUGGAGAAAUCACAUGUGAAGGAUCAUAACGAUAACGUCGCAACAUUGAUACAUGAAACACGUUAUGAAUUCUUUCUAACUCUGUCGGUAAGGCCAACCGAUAUGCCACUGGCCCAAUCUUCUCACUACUUUAGCCAUUUACUUUUACUGCAAUUUAAAUUUUAUUCUAAUUUUUAUUACUAAUUCUUCUUUUUCCCUUUUUCUGACAGGUUCUUAUAGUUUAUGACUAGAAGAAACCCUUCAGGACCAUUACUUUUUGACAGUGAGAUCGAUCGCACAAUUCGCAGAAACCAAAGAGAAAUAAGGCAAAGCUUAAGAUACACAGAGAACGAGAAAGAGGACGAUAUUCAAACCACAACUAACGAGAUGGCUGAAAAUCAAGAAAACCUGAUACCUCCUGCGAUUGCUGUUAAUCUAAUAAAUCAGAAUCCUGCUUCGCGCACUAUGUAUGAUUAUGCUUAACCGUCUUUAACAGGAACUGAAUCGAGCAUAGUUAGGCCUGCUGUAGCUGCAAAUACUUUUGAACUGAAACUUAACACAAUUCAAAUGAUAUAGCAAUUUGUUUAGUUUGAUGGUUUACAGGACGAGGAUCCCAACGCUCACUUAGCAAACUUUUUAGAACUAUGUGAUACAUUUAAAAUUAAUGGCAUUUCUGAUGAUGCCAUUCGCCUUCGGUUAUUCCCUUUUUCAUUAAAAACAAAGCUAAACAGUGGUUGAAUUCUUUACUGCGGGGGUCAAUCACUACUUGGGAACAAAUGACUGAAAAGUUCUUAUUAAAAUAUUUUUCGCUGGCUAAAAUGGCUAAAUUACGUAAUUAUAUCUCUUCUUUUGUACAAAUGGAUUUAGAAACACUCUACGAUGCAUGGGAGAGAUAUAAGGACCUUUUGCUAAGAUGCCCUCACCAUGGGUUACCACUCUGGCUAUAGGUUCAAACUUUUCAUAAUGGCCUAAAUCCUUCGACUCGACAAAUGGUUGACGCAGCUGCUGGUGGAACCAUCAAUAAUAAAACAGCUGAUGAUGCCUAUGAAUUUAAUCCAAGGUAGCCUGCCAAGCAACACUGAAUCUAAUCCAAGGAAGCAACUCAACGCAAUUUCCAUUCAAGAUGAGGAAGGGCUAGUGGCAAAACCAAGGCCAGAACUAGUGGUAAGCGAAGGUAAGAAUGAGGUAGGCCAAAACGAACAAAAAUCGGUAAGUCCAGAAUAUAAACUCGUGUGCUAUACCCCAAUGCGACAAGGAAAGACCGCUCAGGUGAAAAUUUUGGUAAAUUCCUUAAACUUUUAAAGAAACUACAUAAUAACUUACCGUUUAUUGAAGCACUUUCACAGAUGCCAAACACAAUCAAAUUGUUAAAGGAGCUUCUGGCAAAUAAACGAAAGUUAGAUGAAAGGUCGCAUGUGGAGCUGAACGCUGUUUGCUCAUCCAUUCUUCAGAAUAAGCUACCCAACAAACUAAAAGAUCCAAGGAGUUUUACGAUUCCUUAUUUAGUUGGUAGUUUAGAUGUUAAUAAUGCGUUGGCUGAUCUAAGGGCUAGUAUCAAUGUUAUGCCUUACAAAUUGUUUAAGCAACUAGGUCUAGGGAAACCCAAACAAACUAGGAUGAGCAUUCAAUUAGCAGAUAAAACUGUCAGAUUUCCUAGGGGUAUUAUUGAAGACGUACUCGUUAAAAUUGACAAAUUUAUAUUCCCAUUUGAUUUUUUUUGUUUUAGACAUAGAAGAGGAUAGUAACGUUCCUUUAAUUUUGGGAAAGCCCUUUUUAGCAACUGUUAGAACAAUUAUUGACGUUGGCAUAGGUGAACUCACACUUCGUGUAGGAGACGAAACAAUCACCCUUCAAGCUCGCAACCCGAACAACACAUCAAAAAUUGAAGGUAAUUGUACAAAUUGUUCCAGUAAGACUGAUCAUAAGUUCGAAGGACACACAUGAGCCAUGUUCAAUCCACAACAAAGAAUCUACCCAUGAAGAACGAAGGUUACGAAUCAAGGAGUUAGAUGAAUGGCUAACAUUUAAACUGAGAAAACACGAUAAACUAAAACUACGUCAGAAUGAGUGCCUCACCAAAUUAACUUAAGGUUGGAGAUAAAGUUUCAUUAGAUGCCGCAGAUCCUCAUUGACACUGCCAAACCGAAUGAAGAAAUUCCUCUUACGGUACUUAGCAUUUUCCCAUUUGGUACAGUCGAGGUAAGUCAUCCCAAAUUCGGCACCUUCGGCACCUUUAAGGUAAACAAUACCCGCCUAAAACCUUAUUUUGAUGGGAUUCAUAGCAGGAAUGAGGAAUAUAAACUCCUCGAACCACCAUGACCAUUCACCAGAAAGGUAAGUCGAGCUUAGACUAUAAAUAAAUGCUUCUCGGGAGGUAACCUGAGCACUAAAAAUAUUAAUUUCUUUAAAUUUUAGUUUUAACAUCUAACAUACUAACCGACUCAUGGAACGUAGGCUUUCUAAAGCACACACGGCCAGGCACACGGGCGUGCCUUAGGCCGUGUGAAAAUAGGGUGAAAUUUUCCCCAACACGGGAUGUGAUAAGUCACCACGACGUGCAUUAGGACCGUGGGCGAAUCUGCCAAAACAAUGCGGGUGUGUGACACGCCAGUGUCAUAGAAACGUGGUUAAACCUGAGAAAAUAGCACGGGCAUUCGCCAUGCCCGUGUCUAAAACCCGUGGCCGAACUUUUCAAAUUAACAUCGGCGUGGGCCUACAUACACAGGCUUGGGAGAAGCGAUCGAAGACAGACACGGCCGUGUGCACCCACAUGCCCAAGGAACACGGGCAUGGGCCAAAUGUCAGACGCGCCCAAACUCAAAAUUCACGAAUCACACGGGCAAAAAUUGGGGAACACGGGCGUGUCCUCUGGCUGUGUGUCUCAAAAUCUAUAAAUACCCUUCACUAUUCAUCAUCUUCUUCACCCAAAAUCCCUAACCCUAGCCGCUGCAAGUCCACAUGGCCUCUCUGCCAUGGCCAUGCGCCGCAUCCAACUCCAUUUUCGACACCCAUUCUCAUCCUUUUAGCAUUAGUUUACUCUUUUCUCUCUAUUUCCUUCAUCCCUUUUAAUAAUUCUAUGAUUCUUAUGGUUUUAUUUGGCAUAUUUUUUAUUUUUUUUCAUAGUUCUCACUAUAGUCAUGCUUAUCGUUUAUUCUUUGCCAUUUUAGUCAAUGCUUUCUGAUACAUUCAUUCUUUUCGUGUGUUCCCAUAAGAGUCUAGUUCAGUCAUUUUAUUUUGAAAAUAAUCAUGCUUUUAUUAUGUCAAUUGCUAUAUAAACUUCUAUCAUUUAGAUUAAACUACUGAGUAUUAUUGGUUGGACUGGUUAGUUUAACUAUAUUCAUGAUUACUUCUUAAGUUAAUUAUUUAUGUUAUAUUCUUUGUUCUUCUUGCAGGUAUACCAUCACAAGCUCACGUGGUAAGAAAACUGUCAUUCCCGCUUCGAAAAAGUAGAAAGAGGCGUCUUCCUCAGGCCCUACCGCGGAAAUUCACCACCCAUACCUCCAAUUUCCACCCGACAAUUAGGAGGAACUAUUCCAAAUUCUACGGGCCCAACCUUUAGGUGUGGGCCACUGCAUUGACUGGACAGUGCUUGAACAAGUCCAGUUGGCUGACAAUGUACGAGCACUCCUGACAACCGACCCAUGAGACCUCUUCUUUGCGAUCAUCGAGCCGACGUACCUUAAGCUCACACUUGAACUUUGCUCGACAUUCCAUGUUCAAGACGUCAUGACCAACUUUGAUGAUCCUGGAAUAGUCUAGUUCCGUCUCUGCGGUUUAGUCCGCUAGUUGAAUGUGCCCGAGUUGGGUAUAGCUUUGGGCUUGUACACAGAAGAGUUUAUGGAUUAGAACGACCUUGACACUCUCUGUCGCCAUAUUCACUACUUUUCCUCGAAGUGCUGGUAUGCUUUGGUCCCCAGUUCAGCCACUUACUACCCAAGCCACUCCAAGGCAUCGGCUCUCUCUCCCUCCUUGCGGUACCUACAUGCCAUCUUGGCACACACUUUAACAGGACGUCAAGAGAGCACCGGUAUCGUCAACACUCACAAUGCUUACUUUCUAUGGAGCAUGGCGAAUGGGCAUGUACUCGACCUCGCCUAUUUUAUUACCCUCGCCAUUCGCCACCAGACGGAGCGACAUCGAAGGGGGGUCAUCUCGACUGGCCCCUACGUGACUCGACUGGCACGGCACUUCGGGCUCCUCAACACAGCAGGCCAAUCAUCCUCCCUUACUCUUAUUGGCCAGAUGUCCCCACAAGGCAUCUCGAGCAUGUUCAGUAUGAGGAUGAUCAAGAAGCCCCGAAUAACCCACCCUCCUUAGUAUCGCCUCUCCCAAUCAGUCGAGGAGGGAGACCUUGAGAAUAUUACUGAUGAUGUCCCUCCACGUCAUGAGGACCUACCGUCUCAGCCACCACCACCCUCUCAUCCAGUUCAUACGGCGACUUCGUACGCUGACAUCUCUGAGCGCCUUACCCGAUUGAAGCAACAGUGUUUUCAGUGGUUCGAUAAUAUUGACGCUACUUUACAGCAAAUUUUUCAACACUUCCAGAUCUCAUCGCCACCCCCACCUCGAUAAAUAUUUAUAAUGAAGAUCAAACCUAGACUAACUAUUAUCACGAUGAAAAAGCAAGUACACCUAUCGAACAAUAGUAUAGUAAUGGCAAGACCGGAUAUCGUACCUAAGGGAACCAAAAGUACUAGUAAUAACUAUCUUUUUAUUAUCUAACCUAGAAAUAAAGAGGGGUUGUUUAUUAAACUAAUUAACUAAACUAAUUAACUAAUUAAACUAAAGUAAAGAGAAGAGUUGGAAAAAGACUUGAAGAAAAUUAAUUUGAUAAAAACGACACCCAAGGAGGAAUCCACCUAGAUUUCACUUGUUAUCUGACUCUAAACCAGAAGAUUUAUUCACUUGACUUGAUCCGUGAGACUCCCUAACCUAUGUUAUUAUCUCUUUCGAGACUAAUAAUAUCUAACCCUCGGUUUAAUUAAUCAAAAUUUCAUUCUUAAUUAAAACCCUUAGGGAAGCAGUAAAUCGAUCUAUGGACUCCCAUAUUAGGUUUCACCCUAAUCUGGCAAAAUCUCGUAACCCUAUUUCUAGGCGUUCGAUCAACUCCGCUUAAUUAUGCCAAAUCUACUCUUAGACAGGGACUUUUGCUCCUCUGCAUAAGCACAUCAAAUCAUGAAUUAAUACCUGGAAUAUUAACUCAAGCAUUAAGACACAUAAUUAAGAACAAGUCAAGUAUUUAUCAUAUAGUUCAGAUAAUAAUAACAAGAUCCAUCAUAGGUUUCAACCCCCUUAGGUAUCUAAGGGGUUUAGUUCAUAAUAAGAUAAGAGUACAUCUCAAAAGUAUGAAAAUAACAAAACAUAAAGAAAGCUCUAAAACCCCUGAAGGAAUUUUGAGAGAGAUCUUCAGUCUUGAAGUAGCUCCGGCUUUUGGGGUGGAUCGUCUGGCUUCCUUCAAGUAAUUCCUAGCGUGUGGUUCUGUAUUCCAGAGAAGUUCUGGAAGAGGGCCCCUUUCUAAGUCAUACUUAGGGUGUUUAUAUAGGCUUUGGAUUGGCUUUCUUCCUCCCUAAGUAUCAUUUUUCGUGUAAAAUACAACUCUUUGAGAAAAGGGACACGCCCGUGUGCCACGGCCGUGUGACGUGAUUACCACGUCGUGUUUGAUCCAUUAAUUUUCACAUGACCGUGUGGGUCAAUGGCCAGGCCAUGCGAAUCGUGAAAGCCCUUGGCCGACACCCUCGAAAGACACGAGUAUGUGAGCAGUUCGUGUGGAAAGGCUUAGGCCGUGUCAUCUUCUCGAUUUGGUCUGUUUUGUCCCUUUUUUAGCUCAUUUUUGGCUCCUUUUGACUCUUGGUGCUCUCGUAAGUACAAAACAUGAAAUAACCGAACUAAGAGUUCCAAAAUCCAAAAAUCUAGUGAUAAACAUCCAUAAAUAUGCUAAGUAUUUGGGGUAAAAAUAUGUAUAAUUUGGCAUUUAUCAAAUACACCCACACUUAAGCAUUUGCUUGUCCUCAAGCAAAACUUUCAUUUAUUGCUAUAAUUCCUUCCUUUCAAUCACACAAUCAUUACUGAUAAUGUUACAAACUAUUCCAUGGAAAAUCAUACAGUGAGAAUUCAACCAUAGGGGCAUUAAAAGCCUCAAACAAUCUAAAUCGAAUAUUUUGAUAAUAAAAUUAUAGGUAAUCUCCUUCCUCUAAGUAAUUGGCUUUAGUCCUAAAUAUACAAAAGAUGACAUCCUCACUAGCGAUCCACUCAAAUCACUCAAAGUGUUUAAAGUUUAAGAUUAAGCACUCGGUUGUCUAACAUGAGAAGUUAUUACCAUAGGCUUGCAUGAAAAUCAAAUCUCCACCACUUGUAAAUGAUAUGAUACACAAAUCAAAAGGUCUUUGUAUAGUUGUAACAGGGUUUAAGGGACGGGUAUAGAUACAAACUGAAGAGACAAAGGUUAAAAUCGAGAUAAUUUCAAUAUAUUACCCCACUAUCAAAAACUUAAUUAUUGAAUCACAAACAAAUAUCUAGAACUAUAUUACAUGAGCUCAUGACAACUUUAGCUUGCUGAGGAUUACAAUAACAAUACUGAGAGUUUUUUUUUGGUUUCAAGAACAAAACAAGUCAAUACAAUAUAAAAAUCAUACUUCAUGAUUCAGUAACAAAAAAUGGUGAACAUAGUGAGGUAACAAUAUUAAAUUUAAUCUCGAUAAAAAAAGUAAAUUAAUUAAGAGGAUUUCAACAAUAAUGGGUUAAUGGGUUAAUGAUAAGGGUUAAUCAAUAAAAAAGUUUAGUAGGCUCAAAAGAGGUUCACUAAGGGUUUAAUUAUGUGGGAAGGCUUUUUAUGGAAUAAGUGGGUUAAAUCCUAAGUGCCUUUAUCAUCUCAGUAUAUCAAAUCAUACGUGUGAUCUCGACAUGUAUAAUUGAAGAAAGUUCUAGAAUAACAGUUCAAUGUUGACACACUCAAACCACAAAAUAAGUGAGCAAGAAAGAAAGCUUAUAUGCUCAAAAAGCUCAAAAAUCUCACGAAAAAUUUGGGUUUGUGAUGUCAUUCCUGUAUACUUAAGAUUUCAAGAUAAUACCUCAAUUUAGGAAAGUAGUCUAAAAAUUUUAGUUAUCAAAAUAUCAACUUAUCAUGCUCAAUUCUCUAAUGUCCUAUAAUCAAAUGAUCAUGCAUAAUUCCCAUGAUCUAAUUCAUGACAUAUCAACAAUAAUUAUAGAUCAAUCAGAAUUCAUUCGAUUAAGAUUAUGAGAAAAUCACUUAAGCACAAAACCAAAUUCAGGGAUUUGAGAAUAAUGCAAAAAGUUAGGUUUCAUGUUCAUGUUCACCCCCCACACUUAAGAUGUACAUUGCCCUCAAUGUACAAAGAUAGAUUAAUCAAAAUAAAGAAAGUCAUAAGAGGGAAAGAGGUGAAACUCCCUGUUAUAUGGAUGCAGAGGUUGAUUCUGAGGCUGGAGUGUUUGGGGAAAGUGGUAGCUGCCACUGUUCUUGGCUAGAUGAAGAAAUUGGGUCAUUGAACAUGGCACUCGUUGGGUAUUGUCCCUAUUUGUUUCCUCAGUUCGUAAAAUAUUCCUAGCAACUUUGCUUGGAAUUCUGUAGAAUCAUGAAGAGCUUAUUAAGAGUUGGUGUGGAAGAGAGCGUAGUAGGAUUACUUGUUAGAAAUACCAGAAAAAAAUGAAGAAAGUAAAAUUUACUAAUAUAGAUAUGUCUUUCAAAAGAAAAUAAUAAGAUUGAAAUGAAAAUAAAAAAAGAAAAAGAAAAAUAGAGAUAAAAAUAAAAAGAUAGAAGGAUUCAAUGAUCCUCAUCAGUGGGGCCCUCAGUUGGUGGCGCUGGAGUGGCAAUGUGAAAGUGCUGGCACAGCUACUGCAUCAUGGCUUGCAUGUCGUCCAUCUGUCUAUCACAUCGCCGAUCUCGCUCGUGAAUCAUCUCGAACUGUUACUGCUCAAAGUGAGCGAGUCGGUCAGAAAGGUGUGCCAAUGAAAAAGCCGCAUGAACUGGUCGUUCCCCAGAUAGCGUGAUAGGAGGCUCCUCGUGCUGUGGUGGGACAUCAUCAGGAAUGUCCUCAAGAUCCUCCUCAUCAAUGGCAUGAGUGAGACGGUACUGAAGAGGAUCGGUCCCACGUCGGCGCUCAAUCAUCCUUAUGUGUAACAUAGUAGUGAUGCCCUGUGGGGACAUCUGACCUAUCAGUGUAAACGCUGAUGACUGGACCACAGUGUUGAGGAGGCCGAAGUGUCUGGCAAGGUGCGUCACGUAGGGGCCGAUAGAGAUUACUCCCUUCCAAUGCCGCUCGGUCAGAUGGCGAAUGGCGAAAGUAAUGAAAUAUGCCAAGUCAGUCACAUGUGCAUUCGCCAUGCACAAUAAAUAGUAGGCGUCGUGGGUGGUGACAACGCCGAUGCUCUCUCUCCUUCUGGUCAAAGUGUGUACCAAUAUGGCAUGGAGAUAUCGUAGGGAAGGGGGAGAGCUGAGGCCUUCGAGCGGCUGCGGUCAUAAGUGGAAGAGAGUGGUGCCAAAACCUUCCAGCACAAGAAGGGAGAAAUAUGGAUAUUGCGUGGUAGUGCAUUCAUGUCCUCCUCCUCCAUAAACUCAUCAACGUAAAUUCCCAAAGCAACUCCAAACUCUGGGACACUCAUCGCGUGAACUAGACCGCCUAAUCGGAAGUGAAUGGUGCCGGGGUUAUCAUUGUUCGUCAUCACCACCUGUAAAUGAAAAGUAGAGCAUAAUUCUAAAGUUAGCUCUAAAUAAGUGGGCUUGAUAAUAGCGAAGAACCGUUCCUAUAGGUCUAUGGACAGGAGGGCGUGGAUGGCAACAGCUAGCUGGACUUACUCUACGGCAGCCCAGUGAUGCAGAGACCUGUAGAGAAGGGUCGUGCGCGUAGUAUCUGAAAUAGCUCCUCCUGCGAAGCUUGUGGAAAUUUAAGGAAUGGGUGCCGAAAUUCAACUGUAGCACGUACCGAGGAAUAACCCGAUCCCCUAUGUCUCUUUGAGGAUGGGACCGCGACCUUCUUACCUCUCGAUGAUGACAUAAGGUACCAGAAAAUGUAGGAGCAUUGAUAUAGUAGUUUCAAGAUGUGGUAACAUUUAUCGAUAUCAAGCGAGAGGUGAAAAUUUUAUAUGAUUAUUCAAAAACAUAUACUGAGAUAAAAAAUGCAUGAUCGGUUAAGCAAGAAUCCUAGAACUAGUAUAUGCUAUUUAGUAGCUUAAAAAAUUUAAAUAUAGAAAAUACUAAAGCAAAUUCUUAACUUAUUCAGAACAAAUUGGUAACAGAAACAAUAUCUUUGUAAGGCAUAUAGAACACUAAUGUAGUAACACAAAUUGGAAAAACAAGGUUGACAAAGUGAACCAAAAUUGCUGUAAGGCGGCGCACGAGUGUGUUGAUGGCGAGCACGGGCGUGGGGCGUGAGUGUACAGUCGUGUGGAGGAAAAAUAGAGGGAAAAGUGAGGAUUGAUGCAGGGGGAGUGGAUUUGAGGGUGGUUUGGGGGUUGGGGAAGUGAGAAUCUAGGGAAUGGUGGUCGGAAUAAGGAUUAGGGAGUGGAGAAGGAUAGAUUUCAACUGGGGUUUUGAAAGAAGGAAGAAGAUGAACAGUGGUUUGCUUAUAUAAGGGAGAGUCACAAGGCCUAGGGCCACACCCGUGUACUCUGAGGGUGAGCCCGUGUUUUUCAAAUUUUACGAUUUAGGUCGUGCCCAGCUACUAUCCCACGCAUGUGUGUCUUGGGCGUGUGUGGCACAUGGCCAUGUCGCACGCCCGUGCCUAGCUUUGUUACCAUACCCGUGUAUUGUUGUCCACAGCUUAAAGGCAUAGGCGUGCCUCACACCCGUGUCAAAGAAACAGAAUCGAGCCUUGCCCUUGGCACGUCCGUGUUGUUUCAUUCCCACGCCCGAGUUCACCUAUGAAGUUCAUCCACGGCCAUUUCGCACAGCUGUGGGGAGUUUUUGCAUCCCGUGUUUGGGGAAAUCAUGUCCUGCUUUCACACGGCCGUAUAGCACGGCCGUGUCUCUUCCCCUGUUUUCCACGGCUUUAGACACUCCCGUGUUCCUGGCCGUGUGUGCUGAAAAACUUUGCUAUUCAAAGAUAAAGUUAAUGAUUUAACUUGUUAGAAUUUAAAAAUAAAGAAAUCAAAAUAUGUUAGUGCUCGGGUUGCCUCCUAAGAAGUGCUUAUUUAUAGUCUAAGCUCGACUUACCUCUCUAGUGAAUGGUCAGGGUGGUUCGAGGAGUUUAUACUCCUCAUUCCUGCUAUCAACCUCAUCAAAAUAGGGUUUUAAUCGGGUGUUGUUUACCUGAAAAGUGCCAAACUUUCGGUGAUUCACCUCCACCGUAUGGAAUGGAAAUAUACUGAGUACCGUAAGAGGGAUUUCCUCAUGCGGUGUGGUAGUGACAAUGUGGGGAUCUGCGGCAUCUAGUAAGACUUUAUCGCCAACCUUAAGUUGAUUAGGAGAGGUAUUGGGCUUGUUUUGGCGUAGUUUCGAUUUAUCAUGUGUUCUCGAUUUGUGUGCUCACCAUUCAUCUAUCUCCUCUAUCCGUAGGCUUCGUUCUUCAUGAACGUAUCCUUUAUCAUUUCCAGAACAUGGCUCAUGAAUGUCUUUGAAGCUCAAUUUCUACAAAGUCAUAUUGUCAAUUUUAGUAUAUUGGUGUGGACUAUUACCUUCAAUGUUCGAUGUAAUGUCAGAAUUAUGAGCUUUAAAGGUGAUCGUUUCAUCUCCCACACAAAGUGUAAGUUCACCUGUGCCAACAUCAAUAAUUGUUUUAGCAAUUGCUAAAAAGGGCCUCCCUAAAAUCAAAGGGGUGUUAUUAUCCUCCUCUAUGUCUAGAACAAUGAAAUCAAUGAGGAAUAUGAACUUAUAUCCUUUCACGAGUACAUCUUUAAUAAUACCCCUAGGAAAUCUUAUAGUUUUAUUUGCCAAUUGAAUGCUCAUCCUAGUUUGUUUAGGUUUCCCAAGAGCAAGUUGUUUAAACAUUUUGUAAGGCGUGACGUUAAUACUAGUCCCUAAAUCAGCUAAUGCAUGACUUAUAUCUAAACUACCAAUUAAACAAGGAAUUGUAAAACUCCCUGGAUCUUUCAAUUUGUGGGGUAGCUUAUUCUGUAGAAUAGCUGAGCAGACUGCGUUUAGCUCCACAUGUGAUGCUUCGUCCAACUUUCGCUUAUUUACUAAAAGCUCUUUCAAAAAUUUCAUUGCAUUUGGCAUUUGCGAAAAAGCUUCAAUAAACGGUAAGUUAAUAUGUAAUUUUUUCAAAAGUUUGAGGAAUUUACCGAAUUGUUCGUCCUUGUCACGUUAGUGUAUGGCACACGAGGUUCAUAUUUGACAGUCACUGGUUUGUUUGUAUUUUGAUCUACCUCAUCUCUCCUUUUUCUUACCACUGUUUCUUGCCUUGGUUCUAUUUUAGGCUCCACGACUCCUUCGUUAUUCUGGAUAUUAAUUGCGUUGAGCUAUUCCUGUGGGUUGGGUUCAGUGUUACUUGGUAAGCUACCUUGUGGUCGUUCGGAGAUUAGUUUGGAUAGUUAGCCUAUCUAAGUUUUGAGCCCUUGGAUCGAUGCUUGUUGAUUCUUAAGUGUUGUCUCGGUAUUUUGGAAACGGGCGUCUGACACUGAUAUGAAUUUUGAGAGCAUCUCUUCAAGGUUCAGUUUCUUCUCUUGUUGAUAAGGUGGCUGUUGAAAACCCUGAGGAUUUUGUGGCUUUUGAUUUCCUUGACCACCCUAGGAGAAAUUUGGGUGGUUCCUCCAACCUACAUUAUAAGUAUUACAGUAUGGGUUAUUUUGCGAUCUGAAGUUAUUGUUACCCAUAUAGUUGACUUGUUCCUCUUCGGUUAUGAGAUUGAAGGAUUGAUAUUCUGUAUGCACACCUCCUCCACUUGAGUCACACCUCAUUACUGGAUGUACCUACGUAGAACUAAGAAAACCAUCAAUCUUUUUAUUGAGAAGUUCUACCUGAUUUGACAGCAUAACAAUUGAGUCGACGUUAAAAACACCGACUAUUUUCGUUGGCUUAGUCCUCAUGACUUGCCACUGAUAAUUAUUCAGUGACAUCUCCUCUAUAAACUCAUAGGCAUCUUCCAGUGUUUUAUUGUUGAUGGUUCCGCCAGCAGCUGCGUCAACCAUUUGCCAAGUCGAAGGAUUCAGACCAUUGUGAAAUGUUUGUACUUGCAGCCAAAGUGGUAACCUAUGAUGAGGGCACCUUCUCAGUAAGUCCUUGUAUCUCUCCCAUGCAUCGUAAAGUGUUUCUAAAUCCAUCUGCACAAAAGAAGAGAUAUCAUUACUAAUUUAGCCAUUUUAGCCGGCGGAAAAUAUUUUAGUAAAAAUUUCUCGGUCAUUUGUUCCCAAGUAGUAAUUGACCCUCGUGGUAACGAGUUCAACCACUGUUUAGCUUUGUUCCUCAAUGAAAAAGGUAAUAACCAAAGACGAAUGGCAUCAUCAGAGACGCCAUUGAUUUUGAAUGUAUCGCAAAAUUCCAGGAAAUUUGCUAAGUGAGCGUUGGGAUCUUCAUCCUACAGACCAUCAAACUGAAAAAACUGCUGUAUCAUCUGAAUAGUGUUAGAUUUUAAUUCAAAAUUAUUUGCAGCUACAGCAGGUCUAACUAUGCUAGAUUCAGUUCCUGUUAGAAAAGGUUUAGCAUAAUCAUACAUAGUACGUGGAGCAGGAUUUUGAUUAGCUGUAAUUGCAGGAGGUAGCUGAUUGUCUUGGCUUUCAGCCAUCUCUUCAGUUGGGGGUUGAGUAUUGUCUUUUUGCUCGUUCUCCGUGUAUCUUAAGCUGCGCCUUAUUUCUCUUUGAUUUCUACGAACUGUACGAUCGAUUUCUUCGUCAAAAAGUAAUGGUCCCGACAGGUUUCUUCUAGUCAUAAACUAUAAAAACCUGCCAAGAGAAAGAAAAACUAACUUAAUAAAUAAUAAUAAUAAAAUUAAAUUGCAAGAAAAAUAAAUGGCUAAAGUAAUAAAAAUUUAGCAUUCCUAAUAUUUUAGUUCCCUAGCAACGGCGCCAAAAACUUGACCGCGUGAUUCGUAACAAUUAAUAAAUAUUUAUAAUGAAGAUCAAACCUAGACUAAAUAUUAUCACGACGAAAAGGCAAGCGCACCCAUCGAACAAUAGUAUAGUAAUUGCAAGAUCGGGAUAUUGUACCCAAGGGAACCAAAAGUACUAGUAAUAACUAUCUUUUUAUUAUCUAACCUAGAAAUAAAGAGGGGUUGUUUAUUAAACUAAUUAACUAAACUAAUUAACUAAUUAAACUAAAGUAAAGAGAAGAGUUGGAAAAAGACUUGAAGAAAAUUAAUUUUAUAAAGACGACACCUAAGGAGGAAUCCACCUAGAUUUCACUUGUUAUCUGACUCUGAACCAGAUGAUUUAUUCACUUGACUAGAUCCGUGAGACUCCCUAACCUAUGUUAUUAUCCCUUUCGAGACUAAUAGCGUCUAACCCUCAGUUGAAUUAAUCGAAAUUUCUUUCUUAAUUAAAACCCUUAGGGAAGCAGUAAAUCGAUCUAUGAACUCUCAUAUUAGGUUUCAACCUAAUCCGGCAAAAUCUCGUACCCCUAUUUCUAGGCGUUCGAUCAACUCUGCUUAAUUAUGCCAAAUCUACUCUUAGACAGGGACUUUUGCUCCUCUACAUAAGCACAUCAAAUCAUGAAUUAAUACCCGAAAUAUUAACUCAAGCAUUAAGACACAUAAUUAAGAACAAAUCAAGUAUUUAUCAUACAGUUUAGAUAAUAAUACAAGAUCCAUCAUAGGUUUCGACACCCUUAGGUAUCUAAGGGGUUUAGUUCAUAAUAAGAUAAGAGUACAUCUUAAAAGUAUGAAAAUAACAAAACAUAAAGAAAACUCUAAAACCCUUGAAGGAAUUUUGACAGAGAUCUUCAGUCUUGGAGUAGCUCCGGCUUUUAGGAUGGAUCGUCUGGCUUCCUUCAAGUAAUUCCUGGCAUGUGGUUCUAUAUUCCAGAGAAGUUCUGGAAGAGGGCCCCUUUCUAAGUCAUCUUAGGGUGUUUAUAUAGGCUUUGGAUUGGCUUUCUUCCUCCCUAAGUAUCCUUUUCCGUGUAAAAUACAACUCUUUGAGAAAAGGGACACGCCCAUGUGCCACGGCCGUGUGACGUGAUUACCAAGCCGUGUGAAUCGUGAAAGCCCUUGGUCAACACCCUCGAAAGACACGGGCGUGUGAGCAACCCGUGUGGAAAGGCUUAGGCCUUGUCAUCUUCUCGAUUUGGUCCGUUUUGUCUGUAAUAUCCCGAAUUAGGGCCUAAUCAGAAUAGUGGUUUCGUGACCAUAAGUCCGAGAUAGAAAUAAUUAUUUUAUAAUUAUUUUGAGGUUUAUGAUAUGAUUGCAUGAUUGUGUGAAAGUUUCGUGAUGAAAUUCUAUGCCUAAAGUGCUUAAAUUAAAAGUAGGGACUAAAUCGAAUAAGUUGCAAAACUUGCAUUCUAGAAGUUUUUAGUAUGAAAUUGUUUUGGAAUAUUAAUGAGGAGGUCUUAAAUAGCAAUUUGACCAAUUUUAAGUUCAUGGACAAAAUUAGGACAUGGAAGGAAUUUUUGAAAAGUUUAGUAGUAAGGGUAUUUUGGUCAUUUAGUUAUUAAAAUGAAUUAAAAAAAAAUUAAAAGCCAAUUUUUGUCCAUCUUCUUCAUUAGGCCGAAAUUUCAAGGGUUCUCCAUAGCUAGGGUUUGUUUCAAGCUUCCAAGCUCCAUAGUAAGUGAUUCCAAGCCCCAUCUUUAAUGAUUUUUACGUUUUUGAGAUCCCGGUAACUCGAUAAAGCUUAUGUUAGCAAUAAUUUAACCUAGGGUUUAUAUUUGGAAAAAUAUCCAUAGGUGAAAUUUGUGUAUUUUGAUGUUUUAUGAUAGAAUAUGAAGUUUUAAAUUAUGUUAGACAACUUGUACUACUCGAUUUUAAGCAAAAACGAGUAAAAGGGCUUAAUCGGUAAAAAUACCUAAUAGUCACAAGUACAUGUUAGAGUGAGAAUUUGAUGUUUCCAUAGAAGAGAAAAGUGAUCAGCAUGUUGUAAAACAUAAGAAUAAGGAAUAAAGUUUAAUCCCGAGCCUAGGGGCAAAAAUGUAAAUAUGCAAAAGUUUUUGUAAUUUUGCCAAAAUUUGAGUUAAGGAUUAAUUUGAUAAUGUGAGUAUUAAAUAAGCUAAAUGUGUUAUUUUAGAUCAAGAAAGACGUGGAAUCGACCUCAAUCGAGGAAAAGAAAAGAUUGUGGACUAAAUUGCAAAAUCUUUGUAUUUUGGUACCAAGGUAAGUUCAUGUGUAAAUAAUGUAGCAUAAUGGUUAUUUUUAAGUUAUUGAUGUUAAUUAUAUGUUAUGCUGAAUUUUAUUAUGAAAUGUAUGCUUUGUGGUUAAUUUCAAAUAAUAUGUAAAUUAUGUGAACUACUUGUUAAAUAUAAUUGUUACCGAGUAUUGAUUUCGGCAUUCUACGGAAGACGGAAAGGAUAAGUGUUCGAGGAAAAAAGCCAGUUUGAACCUUAGGAAUAGAUUAGGACACAAGUGACAUGUCACUAGGAUGGUUGAGCAUCCGAACUCGUUGAGUUGAGUCCGAGUUCACUUAUGGAUGCGAAUGUCCGAACUCGUUGAGUUGAGUCCGAGUUCGUGAGAUGUAACUAGGCAUCCGAACUCGUUGAGUUGAGUCCGAGUUCACUUAUGGAUGUGAACGCCCGAGCUCGUUGAGUUGAGUCCGUGUUCGCUUAUGGGCGGGUUACAUGAUUGCUUGAUUGCAUAUAUGGCACUUAUGUGCAAGUUAUCCAUGUAUCCGAAUUAUAUUCCGAUGUGUUCAACGGGUAAAGUUCUACUGAAAUGGAGGAAUAUUCGAGAUGUAAGGAGACGUAUUGGUAAGUGAUGUGAAAUGGAUAUUUUGGACAGGUAUGUAUUUAACCCUCGGGUUGAGUAUUGAUACAACCACGAUAAGGUAAUAAGAUGAUGAAAAAUGAUUAAAAAUGUGAUAUGUGUUUUAGUGAUACAUGCUAAUGUUGAUUGGUAUGACUGUUUGUUAUGUUACUUAUUAUUUGCAUAUGAACUUACUAAGCAUUUAUGCUUACUCUCUCCUUCUUACUCAUUGUAGUUUUGGACAAGCCAGCUCAAGAGUCGGGAUAGGUCGAAGGCUCAGUCACACUAUCCGGAAGACUUUUGGUAAUGGCUUGUAAAUUUAAGUAUGGCAUGUAUAGCAAUAUACCUUUUUUGUGUAAAUGAUCUUAUGGUAUGGUGAUGGAAUGGUUGAGGAAAUGCUUGAUAAUGAUAAAUUAUGAAAAUAGUUAGUUUAGAUUAUAUUUGAUGUUAAGGAAAAUUAUUAAGAUACUUAGUGCAUAAAAACUCAUAUAAGGGAUGAAAUUUGCCAUAAACAGAAUACUGCAGCAACACUGAUGCGAGUUUAAAAAUAUACUAAAAAUCAGAGAAAUUGAACUUGGUGAUGUACUACAUAUCAAAUUGAAGCUUAUUAUGUCUAGUUUCACAUGAAACAAAUGAAACAGGUAAAGGAAUUAUAUGUUACAAGAUAUUUGAAUUUUAGUGAAACAGGGUCAUAGCAGUUUCUGAUUCCCCUAUUCCAACUUUAGAAAUUCACCAUAAAUUUUAAAGAUAUAAUUAGGUAGUGUAUUUUAUAUUCUCAGAAUCCUUAUUGAGUCUAGUUUCAGUAGAAACAAACCUCAUAGUCAUAUCGAUUUUUUACAGAGAUAAAUAUGGUUUGUAGUAAACAGAGGUCAGACCAGUCAAGUCCUGAAACAGGGGUAAUUUUAACUAAUAAAAUGUACUAAUUUACCCAACCAAAAAUUCUAUAAAAAAACUAGUAGAUAGGUAUAUGAGUCUAGAUUUAGGGAAAAUUUACGGAUCUUAAUUUCGAGUUUCAUAACUCGAGAUAUGAUUUUUCUUGUGACUGUGAUGCAAGUAGCUUAAAAGCUGUGAAUGUAGAAAUAAAUAAUCCAAAGUUCUAAAUAUGUUAAAUUAAGCUUAGUAACACCUCAUACUCGACUCCGGCGACAGUCUCGGGCGUGGGGGCGUUACAUUGUCCCUUUAUUUUAUGUUUUUAUUUUUAUUCUAUUUUAAGACUACUUUUUCUUUUUACUUUAAGCUUAUUUCUAUUAGAUUUUAUAAUUUUUAUUUUACAAUUAUCAAUUUCGGCUAUUCCAUUACAAGUAAUUAUGCUUCCUUAUAUUUCCUAAAAUAGUUCUUGAUUCUGUCACAGUUAUAAAGUGCACCUCAGCUCAUCAUCACAUAGGAACUAAAAACUCCACCAGGAAAGGUUCUCCAUGACUGCCAUGUCCUGCUUGACCACGACCAUAGCUACCACCAUAUAAAAUUCUUUUGGUGCAGGACUUAUGGACUAAUAAAACUCUACCACCACCGGAGAUUCCCCUCCACUCUCACGCCGAUUAUUCUCCAAAACUCCAGUUCAAGGAAUUCAUUCAUCAUUCAAGAAGUUUCACUUCCCUCCCUAUCUUAUGAUUAUAAAUCUAUCUUUUUCACUAUAUCUACCUUUGUACAUUGAGGGUAAUGUACAUCUUAAGUGUAGGGGGUCUUUUAUAUCAGAAAAAAUCCCUGAAUUUUGUUUUAUUCUCAUGCGAUCUUCUCAUAUCAUUAUUAGACUGAAUUCCAAUUAGUCUAUAAUUUUUAUUAAUAUAUAUUGAAUUAAAACAUAGGCAUUUAUGCAUUGAUUGUUUAAACUUUAAGACAUUAGGGAAUCAAACAUGAUAAGUUGUUUUGGAAGAAUUAAAAACUUUUAGGUUGUCUCCCCAAGUUUAGGUAUUAUUUUGAGUAGGAAUUUACAAGUUUAAACAUCAAAAAGUCAUAAUUUUUUGUGAGAUCUUGAGCCUUUAGAGCAUUUAUUAUUUCUUUCAUGCUCACUUUCAAUAUGAGUGCGCUAUUAUUGAAUUGUUAUUCUAGAACUUGCUUGAUUAUGCAUGUUAAGACCACACCAUUUGAUUUGAUAUGUCAAAAUGAUAAAGGCACUUAGGUUUAAACCACUCACUCCAUAAAAGCCUACCUUCACAAUUAACCCUUAGUGAACCUCCUUGAGCCUAACAACCCAUUCAUUGAUUUACCCUCAAUAUUAACUCAUAACUCAUUAUUGUUGAAAUCCCCUAAAUUAAUUUGAUCCCUAUUUUUGUCGAGAUUUGAGUUGGAAUAGUUGCUUAGCUAUGUUUUAUUCUAUUUUGUAAUUUGACUUGUUCUUAAAAUAUAUAUAAUACAUGUAUACAUAUUAGUAGUAGUGAUAUUCUAAGCUAAAGAAGUUAGAUUCCAUAUUCUGAGAAAAAGCUCUGUUGUACGUAAUUGAUGACUAGUCAUUUUUCUAGUUAGGAAAUUUUUCAAUUCAAUCUCGAUUCUAACCCUUUCUUUCAGUUUGUGACCACACCUUCUAACCAAAGCCACGUUACAACCCUCUAAAGACCUUUUGAUUGAUGUUUCAUCUCAAUUUAUAGUGGUGGAGAUUUGAUUUUCAUGCAAGCCUAUGGUAAUGACUUUUCAUUAUUGACUAUUGAGUGCUUCAUUUAUUGUCCUUAAACACCUCGAGUGAUUUGAGUGAAUCUUUAGUGAGGAUGUGAAACUCUGUGAUAUUUUGAAUCAAAGGUAAUUACUUAGAUAAGGGAAGACACCUAUGUUUUCAUGAUAAAAUGCUCAACUUGGAAGGUUUGAAACUUUGAUGUUCUGUCAGUUGAAUUUUCAAUGUAUGAUUACCUACAGAUUAGUUUGAGAUAUUAUUGAUGAGAAUUAUAAGUUGAGAAGAAUUUAUUUUGAUUAUAAGUUGAGGAUUUUUCUUGAGGACAAGCAAAUGCUUAAGUGUGGGGGUAUUUGAUAAACCGUAAUUCAUACAUAUUUCUAUCCCAUGCUUAGCACAUUUUAUGGAUGAUUUAUCCUUAAAUUUGGAGAAUUCGAUGCUCCUAAUGCCUUAAUUUCAUGUUUUAUACUUAGGUGAGGAUAAGAGAGUGAAAGGAACGAGAAACGGGCCAAAAACGGAGAAAAUAGGCCAACGUACGAAAUCAACACGGCCUGGACUUCCUAACACGGGCAGACCGCAUGGUCGUGUCAAUUUGGCAGAAUCGAAGCACGACUUACACAGGUAGACCACAUGCUCGUGCCUAUUUAACAGGCUUGACCAUAGCCUGAAGUAAUCGCACACGGGCGUGUCCCUGUCGAGCCCAAGCAGAGUCCUAUUCAGAAAAGGCCACUUUUGAGGGCUCUUAGGCAUUCCAAAGCCUAUAAAUACUCCCUAGAAGAGGAGAAGAGGGGGGACACAGAUUAGGAAGCAAGGAAUUACUCAAGAGAAGCCGAUUGAUCCAUCCCAAAAGCCAGAUUCAUCAUCAAGACUGGAGAUCUCCCUUCAAGUUCCUUCUGGAGUUUUGGGUUUUCUAAUGUUUUGUUAUCUUUAUAUUUUUAAGAUGUUUUCCUUCAUAAGUAUGAACUAAACCCCUAAAUACCUAAGGGGAAUGAAACCUAUGACAUAUCUUGUUAUUAUUAUCUGAGUUGGAUGAUAAAUAUUUGACUUGUUCUUAAUUAUGUGUUCUUAAUUCUUGUUUUGAUAUUCCAGGAUAUUGAUUCAAGUUAAGCUCUUAUUCAGAGGAGGAAUAGACCCUGUCUAAGAGUAAAUUUGUCAUAAUUAAGCGGAGUUGAUUACGCACCUAGAGAUAAGGUGACAAGAUUUUGUCGGAUUAGGGUAAAACCUAAUAAGGGAAUCCAUAGAUCGAGUUAAUGCAAUUCUGGGGUGUUAAUUAGAAAGAGAUUUCAAUUAUUCAACCUAGGGUUAGACGUUAUUAGUCUUAAGAGAGAUAAUGAUAUAACUUAGGGAUUUCUCCAGAUCAAGUCAAAUGAAUAAAUCGUUUGAUUUAGAGUCAAAUAACAAGUGAAGUCUAGGUGGAUUUGUCCUUAGGUAUUGUCUCAAUCAAUCGAAUUUUCCCAAAAAGUAUUUUCCCAAGUUUUUCUUUCUGUGCAUUCUUAGUUAGUAAUUAGUUUAGACAACCAAACCUCUUAAAUUUUAGGCUAGAUAAUAAAAAGAAAGUAAAUACUAGUACUCAUAGUUCCUUUGGGUUCAACAAUCCGGUCUUGCUGAACCAUAUUACUGUUCGAUAGGUACACUUGCCUUAAUCGUGAUACUAAGUUAGUCUCAAGAAAAUUUCAUUUAUAAAUCUUUAAAACCUGUUACAAAUAUCACGCAUCAAUGUUUAUGUGAUUUGGGCAUUGAGGCCCUGGGACAUGUUUGGAGAGAUAAGGAAAUGUGAUCUAAGCUCCAUUCAACGGGACAUGUUUGGUGUGUUGGAGAGUGUUAGUUUAAUUCUUCACUUACGAGACAUGCUUGACUCUAUGAGUCUACGUGGUGUGUUGGAGAUCCGUGUAUCCGAUGAGUGGUGGUAAUGCCCACUUUUACGUUUCAUAACUCAAAUGCCAAAUUAUCUCAAAUUAUCUAUUAAUGUGAUUGUGAAUUGUGACGUUUACAUGAAUAUGCAUGUACUGAUUCUGUAAAUAAACUAUCGAAUAUGCAUGUGAAGUAAAAUAUGUCAACUAAGUUAAGGUUGCUAUAAUUAUGAUAUGUUUCACUAAUGCUUGAUGAAAUGUUUGCAUGGUAGUUGUUUUAGGCAUUCACUGAGCUUGUUAAGCUCACCCACUCCUUUUAAAACCAUUGCAAAUUACUGUGUCCUAGUGUGAGCGGUGUGAUUUUGAGGGGUGAUUCCAAGCAAUUCCUUUUCUAUUAUUUCAUAGGUCUUAUUGUUAUUUGUUUUCAUUUCGAGAAUAAGGCAAUGUGGUAGACUUUUACUGAUAUUUGCCAUGAUGUUUUGGAUGUCUUCAUAGACUAUUUGUUCCUAGGUUUAUGAGAUUCAUUUCGUAUGAUGUUGAUUAUUUGUCAGACUUAUUUUGGAUGUUUGAGACUAUUAUAAUAGUCAUUUUGAUAUUUAUGUAAUGAUGAUAUGAUGGCAUGAAGGAUUGGUGCAUGUUGGAAUGAUUUAUAUGCUCAAGUAUGUUGUAUUUUUCUGGUUUGGAGCAGAGGUAUCGAUAUUCAUGUUGUAAAAAUAAUACCUCUGUGAUUUUGGAACAUGUAGGGAGGCAACAAUGUAAUUUGGUAUCGAUACCCAAUAAAAAGUAUCGAUGCUCAAGGUAGAAAUAUCAUUACUUUGGCCGAGGUACUGAUAAUUUUCGAGGUUUGGGUUUUUAAACGAGAAACAAUAAGCAGUUUUGGUUUUAAUUUUCCCAACAAUAUCAAUACCACUUGAGAGAAUUAUCGAUACCUCACCUUCAGUUUCGAUACCUACGUAGUUAGUUUUUGGAUUUUGCUAAAUGGACUUUAUGCAUAUUUAAUUAUUAUUAUUAUUAUUAUUAUUAUUAUAAGACUAUUUGAUGUAUGUUUAGCAUGUAACAAUGAUGUUAACAGUAUGACUGACUUAAAACCUAUACCAAUACUAAAAUGGAAGUCAUUUCAUUUAGAAUGAGCUUUUACUUAUUGUGUAUAACAUGAGACGGUGGUGUAGCAUCCUGAUAUUCAGGCUUGGAGACCAAGUUGGGUAUAGGGUGUUACACUUAAAAUUUCCAUCCCCCAAAUUUUCUUUGCUGCACCUAAAUCUUUCAUCUCGAACUUAGAGUUAAGCAUAGUUUUAAGACAACAAAUAUCAAAUGGAUUCUUAGCUGCAAUUAACAUAUCAUCAACAUAAAGUAAUAAAUAUAUAAAAGAAUCAUCAUCAAGACGUUGUAGAUAAACACAACUAUCAUACUUACUUCGGGAAAAACCAGUACUCAACAUGAAGGAGUCAAACUCUUUAUACCACUGUCGAGGAGAUUGCUUCAAACCAUACAAAGACUUUUGUAAAAGACAAACAUAAUAUUUUUUACCUUCAAAUUUGAAGCUUUCUGACUAUUGCAUGUAGAUGUCCUCCUCAAGGUCACUGUGAAGGAAAGUAGUCUUUACAUCUAACUGCUCUAACUCAAGAUUAUUUGAUGCAACAAAUUCCAAAAGCGCUCAAAUUGAUGUAUGUUUCACAAAAGGAGAGAAAACAUCAUGAAAAUCAAUUCCUUUCACUUGAUUGUAGCCCUUUUGCAACUAGUCUUACCUUGUACCUAGUGUUAUUAGGACCUGAACCUUCCUUCUUUUUAAACACCCAUUUGCAACCAAUGAUUCCUUUACUGAUGGGUGGUUUAACUAGCCUCUAAUUCUCAUUCUUUUGAAGUGAUUUCAUCUCUUCUUCCUUUGCAACGAACCAUUGGUUGGAGUCGAAGGCUUGAACUGCCUCAUAAUAACACGAAGGUUUGGUUGAAACAAUGCUCUCGGCAACACUUAGAGCAUAAGCCACUAGGUUUCCUUCACAAUAUUUUUGUGGUGGUCGGAUUUCUUGCCUUUUCCUUUCACGAGCCAACUUAUAAUUAGUUAACUGAUAUGGUGAGGGUACCUAAGGGUCGGAUGAAAACCAAAACAAAUCCAAAACAGCUUCAAACAAGCAAAAAUUAGAAUUUUUUUGUGUCGACGUGACAUUGUGAGACACUUUAUCGGGACAAGUGAUAAACUGUAAUUUAUACAUAUUUUUAUCCCAUGCUUAGCACAUUUAUGGAUGAUUUCUCCUUGGAUUUGGUGAAUUCGAUGCUCCUAAUUCUUUAAUUUCAUGUUUUAUACUUAGGUGAGUAUAGGAGAGUAAAAAGAGCGAGAAACGGGCUGAAAACAGAGAAAAUGAACCCACAUGGGAAAUCAACAUGGCUUGGACUUCCUCACACAGGCAUGUCACACGGCCGUGUCCAAUUGGCAAGAUCAAAGCAUGACUUACACGGGUAGACUACACGCCCAUGCCUACUCAACUGCCUUGACCACGGGUAGGAGCAAUCGCACACGAGCAUGUCCCUGCCAAGCCCGAGUAUAGUCCUAUUCGGAACAGGCCACUUUUGAGGGCUCUUAGGCAUUCUAAAGCCUAUUUAAACACCUGAGGAGGCACUUAGAAGAGACAUACGGAGUAGGAGACAAGGAAUUACUUAAGUGAAGCCGAUUGGUCCAUCUCAGAAGCCGAAUUUAUCAUCAAGAGUGAAGAUCUCCCUUUAAUUUCCAUUCAAGGGUUUGGGGUUUUCUUUAUGUUUUGUAUUCAUUAUUCUUCUGAGAUUUUUUCUUUUAUAAUUAUGAACUAAACCCUAAGAGGAAUGAAACCUAAGACAGAUCUUGUUAUUAUUAUCUGAAUUGUAUGAUAAAUAUUUGACUUGUUCUUAAUUAUGUGUUCUUAAUUCUUGUUUUAAUAUUCAAGGAUAUUGAUUCAAGUUAAUGCCCUUAUUCAGAAGAGCAAAAGUCUCUGUCUAAGAGUAAAUUUAUCAUAGUUAAGCGGAGUUGAUUGCAGCCUAGAGAUAGGGUGACAAGAUUUUGUCGGAUUAGGGUGAAACCUAAUAAAGGGGUCCAUAGAUCAAGUUAAUGCAACACUAGGGCGUUAAUUAGAAAGAGAUUUCAAUUAAUCAACGUAGAGUUAGACGUUAUUAGUCUCAAGAGAGAUAAUAAUAAAACUUAGGGAUUUCUACGGAUCAAGUCAAAUGAAUAAAUCGUCUGAUUCAGAGUCAAAUAACAAGUGAAGUCUAGGUGGAUUUUUCCUUGGGUAUUGUCUUAAUCAAUUGAGUUUUUCCAAAAGCUUUUUCCCAAUUUUCUCUCUGUGCACCCUUAGUUUAGUUAAGUAGUUUAGAUAAACAAAUCCUUUAAUUUUUAGGCUAGAAAAUAAAAAGAAAGUAAUUACUAGUACUCUUGGUUCCUUUGGGUUCAACAAUCUGGUCUUGCUAAAGCUAUACUACUGUUCGAUAGGUACACUUGCCUUCAUUGUGAUAAUAGUUAGUUUCAAGAACGAUUAAUUAUAAAUUUCUAAAACCUAUUACGAAUAUCACGUAUCAACAAGACCUCUAUUCGUCACGUCAUUGCGAUGUUAGGCAUUUGCUCGUUAUGUCGUCACCUUUUUAUUUCGGCUUUUGACUCCACCUUGCUCGAGACACUCUGAUUUGUUAUGUCUUUAAAAUUAAAAGUCUUAUUUUGUUAUCAAAGCAUAGUAGAUUUAUCAAACGUAACAUCUCUGCUAACAAUGAUCUUUUCAGAUUCUAAACAUCACAACUUAAAAACUUUUGUACUAGCAGCAUAUCCCAAAAAGAUGCUUUUAACGACCCUUGGUUCAAGCUUUCCCUAGCUACUUUAGCAUAAGUAGGACAACCAAAAAUUCUAAGAUUUGAUUAAUUUGGAGGAUUACCUAACCAUAUCUCCUUUGGAACUUUACCAUUCAAUGCUCAAUAAGGAGAUCGAUUUACCAAAUAACUUGUUAAGUUUACAGCUUCAGCCCAAAAUUCCUUCCCUAAGCAUGCGUUAGAAAGCAUGCAUCAAGCCUUUUCUAGCAAGGUUCUGUUCAUUCUUUUUGCAACUUCAUUCUAUUGUGGAAUUCUAACAAUGAUUCGAUGUCUUUCAAUUCCUUCCCGUUUGCAAAAUCACUAAACUCUGACAAAAAAAACUCAACACCAUUAUCUGUUCUCAACUUCUUCAUGGAUUUUCUGAUUUGUUUUUCUAAUAGUGUCUUCCACUGUUUGAAAAUUUCGAAGACUUGUUCUUUUCUAUUUCAAGAAAUAAACCCAAACUUUUCUGGAGUAAUCAUCAAUAAAAGUUAGGAAAUAUUUAUUAUCUCCUUUUGGGAUGUUAAAAGAUGGACCCCAAAAAUCAGAAUGAAUGUAAUAUAAAGUCCCUUUUGUUCUAUGCACUGCUAAAUCGAAACUAACUCGGGUUUGCGUAACACCCCGCACCUGUAUUCAUUGUCAGAAUAAGGUUGCAGAGCAUUGCCAAACUUCUUUCACAAAUAAACACACAUUUCUCAUACAUUUUUCCAUUAUAAAUAUAAAACAUUUACAAUCAUUUAUAACGCCCCUAAUAUGAGCCUACGAGGCCCAAAACAUGCUUUAGAAAUGGUUUGGGAAUAAACCGAUAACUUAGGAAACUUUUAGAAAACUUAGAAAGUUUUUCAAAAUACAGGGAACAUAGGCCUGUGUGGCCUGACCGUGUGUCUCACAAGGCCAAAUACACGCCCAUGUCACAAGCUCAGUGGACAUUCGAAAUGGGAUCACAUGGCCAUGUCUCAGCACAUGUCCGUCCCCGUGUAACUCCCUGACUUCGGUCACACGACCAACCACAUGCCCGUGUCACCAACCCGUGUGCCCUUCGGAAUGGCCUAACACACCCAUGUGCUAGGCCGUGUGCUAGGCCAUGCCAAACCUGUAGGGUAUUCUAACUAAUACUACACGGCCAAGUCACACGCCCGUGUGUUGGGCCGUGUGGAGCAUACUAACUUGGUUUCUAAUUAAACACCAGGGGACACACAGCCGUGUCACCUGACCAUGUGUCACACACAGCUGAGACACACACCCGUGUCUCUUCCCGUGUGGACAAAAAUAGGCUAUUUACCGAGCCAUUUUUUUCACCCAAUUUGUAAUCACCUACACUAAACCAAAGGCAUAUAAUAUGGUAUAAAUAAGCAUUCCAACCAAUCUCAACCAAGCCUAAUUCAUGCUAAAUCCAUACUAUCAACCAUAUGACUUACAAGUAUAACAAAUAGUCAUUCAAUUUCAUACCAAAUUCACACCAAAUUCACAUUCUCAAAUUGCCUAAAUGGUCACUUUCAUUUAUACAUCACUUUACCUAAAAUCACAAGCAUACUAAUUCUCAAUUAUCAACUAUUUGAUACUCAAAUUACCAAUUCAUAAAGAACCUUUCACCAUAAGCAUUUACAUGAUAAUUACCAAAUGCAUAACAAAGGCCAUUUGCACAUAUAUAUAUACACAACCAAAUCAACUAAAAUAAGCCAAAUCACAUGGCUAUACACAUAACAAACCAUUCAUCAUUUAUAAGCCAACUCAAAUGGCUAAACCUAUUACCAAACUAUAUACCAAAAUGACCAUAACUCCUAUACAUGCCAUAUAACCAAAUUACAUAAGUUCAAAAGUACCAAAGUAAUAGCUUGAUAGUGUGAUGAGAUCUCCGAUGACUCUUGAAUCCGAGCAAGCUUUGAUAAUCACUAUAAAACACGAAAAAGUAAAUAGAGUAAGCUACAAAGCUUAGUGAACUCGUAUGCUAAGUAAGUAAAACUUACCAACCAACAAUUCAAUAACAUAAACAUCAUAUAAUGCAAUUCAACUUUGAAGCAUAACUUAAUACAUAUAUUCAACCCAAGGAUUAAACACAAUUUCCAUCAACUUCUUCGAUUUUAUGAUUGUAUAGUUCACGUACAUACAUGUACAAGCUCUUAUUAAUCUCAUACUCGUCCAUAUCCUUGAUAUACCUAUUGAACCAUUUGGAAUACUAUCAGGUACCCGGGAAUCUCACACACUAAGUGCCAAUACAUAGCCGAAGCUAUCUCAAUCUCAUAUCACAUAUAAUGUUCACUCUCGAGCUAUCAACGGGUCUGCUCACACAAGUUGACGAUCAUGACAUAGCUACACGGUGCUGCUCACACAAGCUGACUAGAAUCCGCAACACAAGCCGAGUAACUCAGCCACCAGUAGGACGUACGGACUAGCACCCAAAUCACAUAACCCUUAAUGACAUGUCAUUUGUAUCCUAAUUUAUUCCUAAGGUUCAACUGGGAAUUCUCAUUACCGAAUCUUAGUCGAACAUUUUUGUACAAUCAUAUUCAUCAACAAUUCAAAUAUAAAAAAUUUAGAAACACAAUUAAAGUAAUGCUUCUUAACAUACAAACUUACCUCGAUUCACAAAAAUGACGGAAUGAAUCGAUUAAUCCAACACUUUGUUUUCCCUCAAAUCUAGAUCUGAACUUUAUUUUUCUUGAUUUAUAUAAUAUCAAAUUCAAUCUAUUCAUUAUUCAUUCUAUUCAAUUUAGCCCAAAAUGCAUAUUAUGGAAAAAUUACACUUUUGUCCCUAACAUUUCAAUAUAUUUACAAUUUAGUCCUUAGCUCAUAAAAAUAAAAAUUCAUGCAAUUAGGUCCCUACCCAUGCUAGCUGAAUUUCAUAUAGACCCAUAACAGCCCAUAUUUUUCAUUUAUUUCACAAUAUAAUCACAAAAUUUACACAUUUCACAAUCUAAUCCCUAAUUGGCAAUUUUACAAAAAAUCACUUUACAAAUGUUAUUUAUCUAACAACAACCAUUUAUUUUCUAUCAUCAAACAUCACAAGUCACACAUAUUCAUCAAUGGUAAAACCUUAAACCUUUCACAAUUUUGUAAAUUAGUCCCUAAGCUACCUAAAUUAAGCUGCAAUGAUCUCAAAACAUAGAAAUCAUUAAAAACGGGACAAAAAUCACUCACCAAUUUAACAAUAAAGUAGUCGAACCCUAGAAAGCUUCCAUGGAGGUCUCUCUCUUUUAUUUUUCGGUAGAAGAAGAUGACUAAAAGAUGGUAUCUUUGGUUUUCUUUAUUUUACUAAUUACUAAAUUACACUUUUAACCUUGGCUAUAAAACAUUAAAAUUACCUAAUACAUGUCCAAGUGUAACAUCUCGAAAUAGGGCCUAGUCGGAACAGUGGUUUCGAGACCAUAAAUCUGACAUUGAAAUAUUUUUUUAUGAUUAUUAUGAGGCCUGGAAUAUGAAAAUAUGCAUGUGUUGAAGUUUCAUGAAGAAAUUCUAUGAGUAAGGUGUCCAAUUGGAAAAUAAGGACCAAAUCGAAUAAUUUGUAAAACUUGGGUUCUAGAAACAAUUUGCAUGAAAUUGCUUUUAAUUAUAAAUUAAAAGGUCUUAAAUAGAAAUUUUCCCAAUUUCUAAGUUUUUGGACAAAAAUGGGCAUACAUGGAAAAUUUUGGAAGUUCAGUAAGGAAGGGCAUUUUGGUCAUUUGGUAAUAAAAUCAAUAAAAAGGGAAAAUGAAGGCAAAAAUCAGCCAUCUUCUCCCUUGUACCAGCCAAAAUUCUCAAGCCUUCCAUAGCUAGGGUUUUCAACAUUUUCAAGCUCAAUAGUAAGUGACUCCUAACCCCGUUUUUAAUGUUCUUUGUAUUGUUGAGAUCCUUGUAACAUGUUCUCUCCAUUUCCACCUAUAUUUUAAGCUAGGGUUCAUGUAUAAAAAGUGACCCAUGUGUGACAUGUUUGUUCUUUAAUGUUUUAUGGAGGAAUAUGAAAGUUAGAUGUGUGUUAAACAUCUUCUCCUAAGUGAUUUUCAUGAAAAGCCCCUAAAAGGAUGUUUUUGCAAAAGGUACAAAAUAUGUGGUAGAAAUGUGAAAUAGAGAAAAAUUUGGGCUAGUAUGAGUUUAUAAUGCAUUCGACUAGGCUUGGGUAACCAAAGAAUUGCAUGUAUAUCAUUUUACGAGCCUAGGGAUUAAAUCAUAAAUAAUGUGAAAGGUUAAGGGCAAAACAGUCAUUUUGUCUAGGGGUGAAAUUUAGGCUCAAAAAGAAUAAUGUGAGAUAUUGAUAAUUCAUUUUUAUUGUUAUAGACCCCAAGAAACAAAUUUUGGAGGUCGAUCAAGGAAAAUGAAAUGUUUCAGAAUAACCAAAAUGCGAAAUCGACACAAAUACCAGGUAAGUUCAAAUAACUUAAAGUAAACUCAUAAUAUGCCUAAAUGCAUGUUUUAUGAAUAUUAGAUAGUUUUAUAUAAUGAUGGCAUGAAAAUCCAUGAAAUGUGUUAAUAAUAAUGACAAGAUGAUAAAUGUCUCAGUUGAAGUUAAAAGGGAAAUUCGAUGGAAAAACCAUGGCUUACGUGACUUGAGAUCCUGCAUGUGUUGCAGAAAAGGGUUUAGCCCAGACGGGUAAUCCGUUGAUCUCAAAUAUAGAAAGGAUCUAGCCCGAACGGGUUUUCCUUGAAUGAUCAAGUCUCUUGAAGAAUAUGUGUGCAUUAAGGAUUUAGCUCAGACGGGUAAUCCGAUUAGGGUCUGAAUUUAGCCUGGACUGGUAAUUCAGACCUGAGCUCAUUAAGGUUGUUUGUCACUAUAAGGGAUUUAGCCUGGACUGGUAAUCCUGAAAACACUCCAUGAGUUUAUAUUACGGGGGAUUUAGCCUGGACUGGUAAUCCCGCUGUAAGAUAUGAGGUUCGUAGGAGUGCGUACUUAAGAAGAUCACUCUUAUGACUUGACGGUAAAUGGAUAAUCCAUCAAGAUUUUCGAGGUACUCAAUGGGAUUAACAUGAGAUAUCGAAAUGAAAAUAUUGGAUGAUGAGCUCAUCUAAGACAAAUUACAUUAUGAAUUAUUAUGGGACUAACUUGAUGCUUGAGUGUAUGUAAUAGGAGGCUAUCCUAUAUUUAUUGGAUUGGUUGCCUAACAUGGUUGUAUGCUAAUUAAUCGGUAAGUUUACUUUCCAAUUAUUCGGGCUUACUAAGCAUGUAAAUGCUUACCCCUCUCUUUUCCCUGUCUUAUAGAGCUCGAGGACUCGUAGAGAUUGGAAGACGGUUGGAGUAUUGUUGACACUAUCCACUUCUCCUGUUUUGGUAUAUAGAUACUUUUAUUUUGUUACAAUGGCAUGUAUAGAUUUUUGGUUAUUUGGUGUUAUAUGUCAUUGGUUGGCCAAUGUAAAGGCUUAAAUGUUAAACUUAUUCUUUUUGUAUAUGGCCAUAAGACAUGGCUCAUUUCAUUGUAGAUUAUGACCUACCAACCAUGCAUGUUUAUGUUAGAAAUGUUUUUGUGAUGAUUAAAUGUUGUAUAUCAUAAAUAAGCAUUCGUAAGGUGGCCAAAACAUUUGGAAAUGGUUAGGCCAUAAUUGGAAAUGAAUUGUAAUAAUGAUCCAAGCCUAAAAUAUGUUUCAAUAGGAUGGAAAUCCUUAUUAUGAAAAGGGGAUAAUUGAGUAUGUAUUUAACUGAUGAGAUGAGGUUGACAUGCAAUGGAUUCAUUGAUGAUAGUCCUUGAGUAUAUUUAAGUCAUGUUAAAUGCAAUUGGGGUUUUUAUAUGUGAGGAAAUGAUGAGGGUGACCAUUGGCUUGAAAUUAUAGCCUAAAAAGGGUCCACACGGGUAGACACACAAGUGUGUGUCUAGGCCGUGCGUGACACACGGUCAGCCCCAUGGGUGUGUGGUACGGUCGUGUGUCCCCUGCACCUAAAGUUUUUUCAGUCAAAAUGCAUGGUAGUAAACACACAGAAAGAGACAUAGUCGUGUGUCUCAGCCGUGUAGAGGGCACGGCCUAGCACACGGGCAUGUGUCUUGGCCGUGUGCCCCUAAAUACAUGCUGACAUCAUAAACAGAAUGUCCAGGUUUUUGGACAUGAGCUAUCACACAGGCGUGGCUAGGCCAUGUGAAAAACACGGGCCAGGGACACGGGCGUGUGCUUGGCCAUGUGAAAACCCUAUAGGUUCAAAAUAAAAAAUAAAUUUAAUUAAUUCCACACGAGUUAGGGACAUAGGUGUGUCCCCAAAGCACACGGGCGUGUGCAUUGUCUCCACACUGGUGUGUGAGGCUUAACCUAGAAAAUUUUCCUAAAAUUUUCUUAGGUUCUCGGUUUAGUCCCGGACCAUUCUCAAUGUAUGUUUUGGAUCUCGUAGGCCCAUAAUAGUGAUACUAAGAUGUUGUUUAAUUGGUUUUAAUUUGGAACAAAAUUUUUUAACCCGUAUUUUUCGAAAAUGUCUAAGUAUGUAUCUCGUAACGCCUUGUACUUGGUCUCGGUCUCAGGUACGGGUAAGGGAUGUUACACCGAGAAUGUCCACUAACUUUAUAAAUGGGCUAAUUACCACAUAAGGACCUCCACUUUCAGGUUCCAUAGCUAUAGAUACCUUUAGCUAAUAGAAUUCAAGUUUUACACUUUAUGCGAUUUAGUCCUUUUUAUCAAAUUGAACAUUCAAACUAUAAAAUUUCUUAAAGAAAUUUUCACACAAUCAUACUAUCGUACUGUAGACAUUAAAAUACUAAUAAAAUAAUUAUUUUGACCUCAGAUUUUUGGUCCCGAAACCACUGUUCCAAUUUGACUAAAAAUGGGUUGUUAUAGUUUGUUUCCCAAAAAUGUAAUGCUCGUAAAAACCUAAUUUGUAACGCCCCUCACCCAUAUCGACGCCAAAAUAGGUUCAAGCCGUUACCUGAGAUUCUCAUUCGUAAACAUAUUAAAUCAAGUCACUAAGUUGCGCUGUAAUUUAGAACUUUUCAAAUAUGUAUAUCCUUUCCCUUAAACAGGCCUUCGAGACCUAAAACAUGCCUAGAGGCGGUGCGGGACAAAACCAAGAACGUUUGAUAAACAUGGAGCACAUUGGAAAUUUUCUUUUAACUUGAAGUGUCACACGCCCGUGUGACUUGGGACAUGCCCGUGCAAUCACCCUGUGUCCAAGACUUGAACAUUCUAUUAAAUUCACACGGCCAAGACACACGCCCGUGUGUCUAGCCCGUGUUCAUUUAACAGACCUACCAUUUUAGAUGAAAUGGACACACGAUCAUGCCAUACACCCACGAGUGUGUCCCGUGUGUCACACAUAGCCUAGGCACAUGCCCGUGUACCCAACCGUGUCAACCCUAUUAGGCUAUUUUCGAAGCCUAUGGUCACCCCCUUUUAACACUUAUACUUAAUGAAUAUUAAAAACGAAGUAAAACAAGAUUAUGUUCUCAUAAAUGAUCUUUGCAAAAAACUUAUUGCAUGGAAACCUCAUAUCAUUGGUUUCGUACAUGCUAGGUUAUUUCCCAUCUUGUAUUUAUGUGUUGUCAUACCACUUUAACACAUUCAAGAUUGGCUCGUUCUUAUGACUCAUUGCUAAUUGGAAUUCAACCCUCGCACAUGAUUCUAAACUUGAAUGGAAAUUUUGUAGGUCAUAGCCUAUUUCAAAAUAAGCCAAUCUCCAUGGCGACAUACAAAAAGAUAGAAUUCUCUUUCAUGCCUUCAUUUGGUAAAUUAAAUGGCACAUAUAACAAAUUACUCAAAAGACCUAUACAUGCCAUUGAACAAAUCAAAAAUGUCUUUAUACCAAAGCUGAGCUAUUUGAUAGUAUGCUAACUCUCUAACCCUCUUCCAAUCUUUACAAGUCCUCGAGCUCUGGGAGAAACAGGGAAAAGAGAGGGGUAAGCAUUUUCAUGCUUAGUAAGCUCGAAUAACCAGACAGUAAACUUACCAAGUAAUUAGCAUGCAAUCAAGUUGGUUAAUAAAUUCAAUGAGCAUAGGAUGGCUUCCCUAUCACAUACACUCAAUCAUUGAGUUAGUCACAUAACAAUGCACUAUGAAAGAUAUCUUAGAUGAGCUCAUCAUUCAACAUCUCAUUUAGUAAAUAUAAGUCAUGUUAAUCUUGUUGAGUUUCUAGGAAGUUUCAAUGAUAUACCCAUUAACUGUCAAUUCGUAUGAAUGAUCAUUUCCAGUAUGCACUCCCGCGAACCUCACAUCUCAUGGCGGGAUUACCAGUCCAAGCUAAAUACCCCAUUUUAUGAACUCAUAAGUUGAUGUCGGGAUUACUAGUCCAAGCUAAAUCCCUUAUAACGAAAAACACUUUUAUUGAGCUCGGAUCUAAAUUACCAGUCCAGGCUAAAUUCAGAUCCUAAUCGGAUUACCCGUCUGGGCUAAAUCAAUAAUGCACACAUAUUCUUCGGGAGGCUCGACUAUUCAAAAGAACACCCGUCUGAGCUAGAUCGUUUUAUAAAUGAGAUCAACGGAUUACCCGUCUGGGCUAAAUCCUUUCUGCAACACAUGCAGGACCUCAUUACACAUGUCAAUCAUGGUUUAUCUUUCGAAUUCCCUUUUUAACCUCAACUGAGACAUUUAUCACAAUUCAUACUUAAACAUGCAUUUCAUAAAAUUUCAUGUUAUUAAUAAAUGCAAUCACCAUGUAUUCAUAAAUCAUAUAAUUAGGCACAUUGAGUGUUUACUUUAAGUUAUCCGAACUUACCUGGUAUUUGUUUCGGUGUCAUGUUUCGUUUAUUCUGAAACCUUUUGUUUUUCUCGAUUGACCUCCGAAAUUUGUUCCUCGAGGUCUAUAACAAUAAAAAUAGAUCAUUAACACUCCACAUUAUACAUUUCAAGUCUAAAUUCCACCCUCGGUCCAAAUGACCAUUUUGCCCCUAACCUUUCACAUUUUUACGAUUUAGUCCCUAGGCUCGUAUGAUGAAACACACGCAAUUUAUACUUUACUCAAGCCUAGCCAAACACUUUUCCCUCUUAUGGUAGCCUACAUUUUCCAUUAUUUUCACAUUCCUACCACACAUUUUACAACUUUUGCAAAAAGGUCCCUUUAGGGGUUUUUCAUGAAAAUCACCUAGGAAAAGUUGUUUAACACACAUCAAACUUUCAUAUUCCUCCAUAAAACAUCAAAAUACAAUUAACUCAUGCAUGGGUAAAUUUUUAAACAUGAACCCUAGCAUGAAAUAUUGGUAGAAAUGGAGAUAGUAAGCUACCGGGAUCUCAAAAUUACGAAGAACAUUAAAAACGGGGCUUGGGAGCACUUACUAAUGAGCUUGAAAAUCUUGGAAACCUUAGCUAUGGUGGCUUAUGAAUUUCAGCUGGACAAGGGAGAAGAAUGGCUGAUUUUUGCCUUCUUUUUCCCAUUUUAUUUCAUUAAUAUGCCACAUGACCAAAAUGCCCUUACGCCAUUUCUUUGAAAUUUCAUCCAUCCAAGCCCAUUUUUUUCCAAAAACAUAGAAAUUGGGAAAGUUGCUCCCCAAGACCUUCUAUUUUAUAAUCUAAAUCAAUUUCAUACAAAUUGCUUCUAGAAUCCAAGUUUUGUAAUUUAUUCAAUUUAGUCCCUAAUUUUCCAAUUGGGCACUUACUCAAAGAAUUCCUUCAUGAAACUUUAACACAUGCGUAUUCUCAUAUUGUAAGCCUUGUAAUAAUCAUAAAAUAAAUAUUUUGAUGUCUGAUUUGUGGUCCCGAAACCACUAUUCCAACUAGGCCCUAUUUUGGGAUGUUACAUUUCUCCCCCCAAGGACUUUCGUCCUCGAAAGUCUUACCAGUGAACUGAUUCGGAUAUUGGCUUCUCAUGGAUUCUUCUGGUUCCCAUGUAGCCUCUUCUACACCAUGUCGAUGCCAUAAAACUUUUACUAAGGCCACAUAUUUAUUCCUCGGCUGUUUAACCUCACGAGCCAAUAUCUUAACUGGUUCCUCUUCAUAGGUCAUGUCUAGUCGAAUUUCAAUCUCAGUCAGUGAAAUCACGUGAGAGGGGUCUGAUCAGUAUCGCCUUAACAUAAAUACAUAGAACACAUCGUGAAUCUUUUCCAAUUCAGGUGGAAAUGCCAAGUGAUAGGCUACCGGUCCAACUCUUUCAAUGAUCUCAUACGGUCCGACAAAUCGCGGAUCCAGUUUGCCUUUUGGGGCAAAUCUCAACACCUUUUUUCCAUGGAGAUACUUCCAAGAAUACUCUAUCUCCAACUUGAAACUCAAUUUCCUUUCUUUUCAAAUCAACAUAUGAUUUUGCCUAUCCGAUGCCGCUUUCAAACAGUCUCGUAUCACUUUAAAUUUCUCUUCAGUUUCUUUAAUCAAAUCAACUCUGUGAAUCUGAUUUUCCUUAAGUUAUGUCCAGUACAAUGGAGUUCAGCACUUCCUGCCAUACAAGGCCUCAUAAGGUGCCAUCUUCAAACUCGUCUGAAAACUAUUGUUGUAGGCGAAUUAUACUAGUGGCAAAUAUUUUUCCCAACUACCCUGAAAUUCAAGGACGCAACAUCGCAACAUAUCCUCAAGAAUCUGAAUCAUCUGCUCAGACUAACCAUCUGUCUAAAGGUGAAAAGCUGCACUAAAGCUUAACUUCAUACCCAAGGCUUCUUGUAAUUUCUUCAAGAAUCUCGAAGUGAACCUCGGGUCUCAGUCGGAAAUAAUUAAUAGUUGUACCCCAUGAAAUCUUACAAUCUCAGAAAUGUAUAAGUCGGCAAAUCUAUCGAGGGAAUAAUAUGUCCUCAACAGAAUAAAAUAAGCCAACUUCGUCAACUUAUCUACUAUGACCCAUACGGCAUUUUUCUUCUUCGAAGUCAAUGGUAAUCCUGUCAUGAAAUCCAUAGUAACUCUAUCCCACUUCCAUUCGGGGACAAUCACAGGCUGUAGAAAACCUGAAGGCACUUGAUGUUCAACUUUAACUUGCUGACAUACCAGGCAUUUCGACACAAAUUUAGAAAUCUCUCUUUUCAUGCCGUUCCACUAGUAUGUUUUCUUCAAAUCAUUGUACAUCUUGGUACUUUUCGGGUGAAUUGACAAACGGCUGUUAUGUGCUUCUUGCAAAAUUUUCCGAAUAAGUUAAUUGUUUUUGGGUACACAAAUCGUAUCUCUGAACAUCAAACAUCCAUCAGAAACAAUCCAAAAAUUUGAUUCAAUACCUCACUCACAUUGAGUUUGUUUAGCUUGAAAGCUAUCAUCAUUAGUUUGAGCAUCAUAGAUUUCAUGAAGGAAUGUCGGCCUAGCCUUUAGCUCAGCCAAGACUGAACCAUCAUCAAGCAAUGCCAAACGAGCAUCCAUAGCCCUUAAUGCAAACAAGGAUUUUCUGUUCGACACGUCAGCGAUCACAUUCGCCUUUCCCAGGUGAUAAUCAAUAAUUAGUUCGUAAUCCUUGAUUAACUCUAGCCACCUCUGCUGCCUCAAAUUUAAUUCUUUUUGAGUUAUCAAAUACUUCAAACUCUUGUGGUUAGUGAAUAUGUGGCAAGUCUCACAAUAUAAAUAAUGUCUACAAAUUUUCAAAGCAAAAACGAUGGCGGCAAGUUUUAGGUCGUGUGUAAGAUAGUUCUUCUCAUGCGGCUUCAACUAUCGUGAAGCAUAGGCUAUUACUUUGCCAUCUUGCAUAAGUACACAACCCAGUCUAUUUGAGGAUGCGUCACUGUAGACUACAAAUUAUUUUCCCGACUCAGGUAAUACUAAAACAGGAGCUUCAGUUGACAGUGUUUUUAACUUCUAAAAACUUUGUUGACACUUUUCCGUCCAUUCAAACUUAAUGUUUUUCUGUAACAAUCUCAUCAUUGGAGUUGCUAUCAUGGAGAAUCCUUUCACAAAUCUUCGAUAGCAACCAGCUAAGCCCAAAAAGCUUCUAACCUCAGUUACAUUUUUAGGUGGUUUCCAUUCAAUAAUAGCAGAGAUCUUACUUGGAUCGACUAGGAUGCCUUCACCAAAAACAAUAUGACCUAAAAAUCCAACUUCCUAAAGCCAAAACUCACUCUUGCUAAACUUAGCAUACAGCUGCUUUUCCCGCAAAGUCUGCAACACAAUUCUCAAGUGCUUCGCGUGCUCUGUCUUAUCUUUGGAAUAAAUCAAUAUGUCGUCAAUGAACACAACGACAAACUUGAUCAAAUAUGGCUGUAAGAUCCUAUUCAUUAGGUCUAUAAAUACAGCUGGUGCAUUCAUCAGCCCAAAUGGCAUGACAAGAAAUUCAUAAUCGCCAUACCUUAUCCUAAAGGCUGUCUUAGGUACAUCCAAUUCUUUAACUCGCAACUGGUAAUAGCCAGACCCUAAGUCUAUCUUAGAGAACACGGUGGCUCCUUUCAACUGGUCAAACAAAUCAUCAAUCCUUGGUAAAGGAUACUUAUUCUUGAUAGUUACCUUGUUCAGUUGGCUGUAAUUUAUACAUAACCUCAUCGAACUAUCCUUCUUCCUUACAAAUAGAACGGGAGCACCCUAAGGUGAAAAGCUCGGCCUUACAAAACCUUUAUCCGUCAGCUCUUGCAACUGUGCUUUCAACUCUCUCAGCUAGGUUGGUGCCAUCCUAUACGGAGCAAUUAAAAUAGGAUCUGUCCUUGGCACCAGCUCAAUACCAAAUUCUAUUUCCCUUUCAGGAGGUAAUCCGGGUAAUUCUUCUAGAAAUACAUCUGGGUACUCACAUACUAUAGGCACAGAUUCAAUCUUCAACUCUGUUUCCUUAGUGUUCAAUACAAUUGCAAGGUAGGCUUCAUACCCUUUUCUCAUAUAUCUCUGAGCAACCAUUGCCGUGAUCACAACCGAAAGCGUACCCAACUCUCUUGAAUCAACCCAUAGAAAUUCACCAUCCGGACAUUUCAAUUUAAUAUACUUACCACCAUAAUUUACAAUUACAUCAUGCAGUGCUAACCAAUCCAUACCAAAUAUUAUAUCAAAUUCAUCAAAUGGUAACAACAUAAGAUUAGCCAGAAAACAAUGACCCUGAAUUGUCAAAGGACAAUUCUUACAGACUUUAUCAACUAUGACUGAUCUGCCUAGUGAGUUCGACACUUUAAUAAUAAAUUCCGUAGGCUCAAUGAGUAUGUUCAUUCUAGAUACCAAGCUCAUACAAAUGUAUGAAUGCGUCGACCCCGGGUCAAUUAAGGCAAUAACACAUGUAUCGAAAAGAGAAAAAGUAUCCGUGAUAACAUUAGGAGCAGAGGCUUCCUCUCGGGCGCGUACCGCAUACGUUCUUGCCGGAGGUUGAGCCUCUAAUUUUGCAGCAUCUUUAACCACAACUCAACUGUCACUGGCACUUCCAAGAUAUCUCGGAGGUCUACCUCAUGAAAUGGGAGUACUCGACUUCAGGGCUACUUUCACUUCUUUCUCGACUCACUCUAGGCAGUCCCUGAGAAAGUGGUCAAGAGAUCCACAUCUGAAACAUGCACGUCUCUUCACUCGGCACUCUCCGAAGUGAAAUUUGUUGCAACUCCUACACUUCAGCUUUUGAUCAUCUACACUCCCCACACUAGUUACCAUCAGGGAGGAAGACUUUUGGCUUCUUCGUUUAGAGCUUCUCGCUCUACCCAAAUAUCCUACUGAUGAAAUGGAGCGUUCAUGCUGGCUCUUUGAUUUCUUGUGGGAAACAAGAGUGUUCUACCACUAGACCUCUUGCUCGCGGCUUAGGCCUCUCUCUUUGUUUGCUUUCUUUCGUUGUUAAGCUCCCCGACCUUCUUGGCCCGAUCAGCCAAUGCAACAACCUCUCAUAUUUCAAGGAUCCCAAUCAACAACUUAAUUUGCUCCUUCAGACCUUCCUCGAAGCGUUUACACAUUUUUGACUCGGUUUGGAGCCAUUCAGUUGCGUGCUGACUUAGCCUCACGAACUCUCGUUCAUAUUCUGCUUCAGUCUUGUUCCCUUGUUUGAGUUUUAGGAACUCAUUUCGUUUCAAGUCUAGAAACCGUUGGCUAAUGUAUUUCUUCCUAAACUCUAUUUAGAAGAAAUCUCAAGUGAUAUUUUCCUUUGGCACUACCGAGGAUACAGUCUUCCACCAAUGAUACGCAAUAUCUUUUAGGAGGGACACGGCACACUUCAAACGCUCCUCAGGUGUGCACGACAAAUCAUCUAACACUGGUGUAGUAUUCUCAAGCCAAAACUCGGCUCUUUCAGCAUCAUCAUCAACUUUAGCUCUGAAUUCCUCAGCCCCAUACUUUCUAAGCUUAUCAACAGGGGCUUUACCAAUUCUUACCGGUGCCCUACCUCGUGGCACAUCCUCAUUAGGUUGGUUAGGGGGCGGGGGAGGUCUUGGUAUGUUGGGGCGAUUCCUCAGGUAAUCCCCAAACCAUUCGUCCUUCAUAAGCCUUCUACUACUACUAGUAGAUACAGCUCGUUGUAUGAAAGCUGGAGCAUGGCUCUCAGCUCCCUCGGACUCAUCUUGUGUUUGAUUGGAAGACAUUUACUAUAUUCAAAACAAUUUAAACAGUUAGGAGACGUCAUACUAUCAAUAUUCGAAUGAUGGUAUGUAUAGCAAACCUCAAUACUCUCUACGAUAGUCCUAGAACUGACUAAAUCGUAGCUCUGAUACCAUUAAAUAUAACACCCUUUACCCGUUACUUGAGAUUCUCGUUCAUAAACAUAUUAAAUCUAAUCACUAAGUUGCACUCUAAUUUAAAACUAUUCAAAUAUGUAUAUCAUUUCCCUUAAACAAGCCUUCGAGACCUGAAACAUGCCUAGAUGCAGUACGGGACAAAACCGAAAACGUUUGAUAAACUUGGGGCACCUUGGAAAAUUUCUUUUAACUUGAAGUGUCACACGCCCGUAUGACUUGGGACACUCCCGUUCAAUCACCCCGUGUCCAAGACUUGAGCAUUCUAUUAAAUUCACACGGCCAAGACACACGCCCGUGUGUCUAGCCCGUGUUCAUUUAACAGACUUACCAUUUUAGAUGCAGGGGACACACAACCAUGCCACACACCUACGGGUGUGGCCCGUGUGUCAUACACGGCCUAGGCACACGCCCGUGUACCCAACUGUGUAAACCCUAUUAGGCUAUUUUCCAAGCCUAUGGUCACCCCCUUUUUAACACUUAUACUUAAUGAAUAUUAAAAACGAAGUAAAACAUGAUUAUGCUCUUAUAAAUGAUCUUUGCAAAAACUUAUUACGUGGAAACCUCAUAUCAUUAGUUUCGUACAUGCUAGGUUAUUUCCCAUCUUGUAUUUAUGUGUUGCCAUACCACUUUAACACAUUCAAGAUUGGCUCGUUCUUAUGACUCAUUGCCAAUUGGAAUUCAACCAUCGCACAUGAUUAUAAACUUGCAUGGAAAUUUUGUAGGUCAUAGCCUACUUCAAAAUAAGCCAAUCUCCAUGGCAAUAUACAAAAAGAUAGAAUUAUCUUUACAUGCUUUCAUUUGGAAAAUUAAAUGACACAUAUAACAAAAUACUCAAAAGACCUAUACAUGCCAUUGAACAAAUCAAAAAUGUCUUUAUACCAAAGCUGAGCUAUUUGAUAAUAUGCUGACUCUCUAACCGUCUUCAAUCUUUACGAGUCCUCGAGCUCUAGGAGAGACAGGGAAAAGAGAGGGGUAAGCAUUUUCAUGCUUAGUAAGCUCGAAUAACUGGAAAGUAAACUUACCAAGUAAUUAGCAUGCAAUCAAAUUGGGUAAUAAAUUCAAUGAGCAUAGGAUGGCUUCCCUGUAGCACCCCAAACCCGGCCUAGACGUUAUGGUCGGAUCCGACAUGCCACAUCGAAGCAUUCAAAACAUUUUAUAUUAUUGGUCCAGAAAAUCUUAUUUAGUGUUUUAAAAGAUAAUUUUAUUAUAGGUUAAAGUGAAUGGAAGCUAUGCACCAGGUAGGAAACCGAAAAAGAGGUGGUGAGUCCAUCGGACUGCGUAAGUACCAAGAUCCCUUCGGAUCCAAUCCUAGACAUGCAUACUGCCAUUGUCACACCUUAACGUCAUGGAUAUUUCUAGGAAACCGAUUUGAUUAAGUCAUUUUUAGGAAAAGUGAUUAAUUUUGGAAAACACUUUCAUUGCGGAAGCUUUAUUUGUUGUCGUGUUAUUUUGAAAUCAAUUGUUGUUUUUGAAAACGCACCCUAAAGCUAUCCAAUUUCAACAGUUAAAAUAAGUAAUACCUAUCUUAGUAAUACAUAUUAAAACCAUCAAAAAUAAUUAAGUGGCCUUAUUACAUUUAAAAACCCAAAACUUCAAACGUAAAUAACAGGAUAUCCAUUUCACCGGAAGAAAAUCAAACUUUCAGAAUGGGUGGCCACUCCAAAUUCCCUCACAACUCUAAGCCCACUAUGGUUGGGGAUUUCCUGCGUGGAUGAAAAUAAAAAGGGUGAGUUUGGGGAAACUCAGUGUAUAAGGAAAACCCAUUCAAAGCCCAAGUCAGCUCAAGCCAUUGGGCCUAAGCCCAUUCAGGUAACAGUGGUACUGGGCCAGAGCCCUUUUCAGAUUACAAUAAACUGGGCCUUAGCCCCUUAUUCAGAUAACAGUAUGGCCCAUAGGCCCAUUUCAAAAUACAUGCAACAUCAAUAACAUAUGCAAGCCCAUUUGGGGAGACUACUCAACCCACCAACCACUACACUCCACCCGUACCAGUCAUACACUCCAUGUGGGGAAUAGCUCAACCCACCCAGCCCAACACUCCACAGUUGCAGCCUUGCUGCUCAGUUAACAGUAAAUUGAGGCAAAGCCUCCAGUACGUGGACAAGCCACUUUCAGUACUUCCUCCGUCAAUAUCCCAGUCCCAUGCAUCAGAUAAUAACAACAUGGCAUGCAGUAAAUAACAACAGUCAAACAUGCAUUUAGGUCAAUUUAACCCUAGCGGUAUUUCGAUAAUUUAUCUCCUAGGGAUAAAACUGUAAAUUUUCCACUUUUAAAGGUAUUUCAGUAAUUUAUCUAUUUUAGGGUUUUUCAUGCAUAUUCCUACCUUUCACGUACUAACAGAAUCACGUACCGAGGGUUCUUACCGAAUUGGGCCCGUUGGUCAAUCAUUCCAAUUUUGGCCCAUUAAGCCCAAAAAUAUCGAGGGCACAAAAAUCAUGCACUUUGCAGUCCAAACACUGCAGCUUACCAAAAACAUUAAUCGAUUUACCUCACGAGCAUUCGCACACUCGCAAAUCUACAAAAUAUCGAUUUUUGACAUUUCGGCUUUUUGGCUUUUGCCGAUCUAGACUAAGAAAGAGGGUGUUAGUUACACACCUGUUUGCGACGAUAUGCUGACGAGAUCCACACACGAACUGCCUACAAUUGGAUUACUAACACGUUAAUCUAACUAUUCAAAUACAAACUACGUAUUAACCCCUUACAAUAUUCGGCCAACCACACCUACAAAUCAUAGUAAGCUUAUAAGAAAUCAAUAAGCAACUCAUUAACAAAUUUUUAUCAAUGUUUACCACAUAAUCAUAAUUUCACUGCAAGCUAUCUUCCUGAGCAAUAGUCACUAAAUUAUUUAUAACUGGAGCUACGAAACUCCAAAUCAAGUGCCAUUAAUUUUCCAUGAAAAUAGACUCAUAUAUCUUCUAUCCAUAAAAUUUCAGAAUUUUUUGGUCUAGCCAAUCAAUACCAGAUUUUUCUCAAAGUUUCCCAUGUUUCACUAUUUGACUAAUCUGACCACUCUUCAUUACGAAUCAAAUUUCUCAUUGUACAGAAUUUAAAAUAUGUUCUUGUUUAUUUCAUUAGAACCUAGACUCAAUAAGCUUUAAUUACAUAAUUUAUUCAGCUUCAAAUUCAUCUCCCACAAUUUAUGGUGAGUUUCCAAAGUCACAUUACUGCUGCUGUCCCAAGCAGAUUUAUUACCAAAUCACUCUUUCACACAUACCUUGCAUGCAUGUUAUUUAAACAUGUAUAUCACCAAUCAAUCAUCACAUAUCUAUGAUUUUACUUAAGAAUAAUCUCCAUUUCAUCAUUUUAAAGCACAACAUGUUAGCUGAUUUUUCCCUUUAACAUCUAAGGCACAUGCAUGCUCAUUUGUUUGGCUCAACUUCACCUAUCUUCCAUUUUUUUCAUCAAAAGAACAUGAAAAAACAACCAUUUCCUUAAUUUUAAUUCAUGACUAAAUGCUCACAACACAACUAAAAACCAAAAUAUGCUUCAAGAGUUAAGGUAGAAUCAAGAAGAACUCAUGAACAUCAAGAUAGAAGCCAACUACCAUGAACUUACCUUCAAUUUUCUUCCCCAAGUGACCGAACACUCAAGAGCUUUCUCCUCUCCUUUCUCUUCUCUAACUUUCAGCUAUGAUGAACAAAGAUGGACAAGACUUUGUUCUUUUCACCCCUUUUUCUUUUAAUAAAACUUCAUAUUUCAUCCAUUUAAUUCUUUAAUACAAAAGACAUGAAAUUCUUAUCAUGAAACAUUUACCUAACCCAUUAUCAUGAAACAUUUACCUAACCCAUUAUCAUGGAACAUUUACCUAACCUAUUAUCAAUUUAUAUCAAUUUGUACCAUAAAUUAUGGAUAUCAAGUGUACAUUUUGUCUACAACAACAUGAUGGCUGGCCACUUCAUGUAAAAUGGGAGGUUUGUCAUGCAAAUCCUCCUAUUUUGCACUCCUAUUUAUUUGGUCACUUCAAUUUAGCCUAUAGCAUUUUCAAACAUUUUCACAUAGGUCCUAUUUCAUAAUUUCACUCACAAAUGACAAAAAUUAAGCAUGAAAUUUUGCCAACAUUCACAGAAUUCCCGAAAAUUGGGGCGUUACAUUCCCUAUCACAUACACUCAAUCAAUGAGUUAGUCACAUAACAAUGUAUAAUGAAAGUUAUCUUAGAUGAGCUCAUCAUUCAACAUCUCAUUUUGUACAUAUAAGUCAUGUUAAUCUUGUUGAGUUUCUAGAAAGUCUCGAUAGAAUACUUAUUAACCGUCAAUUCGUAUGAAUUAUCAUUUCCAGUAUGCACUUCCGCGAACAUCACAUCUCAUGGCAGGAUUACCAGUCCAGGCUAAAUCCCCCAUUUUAUGAACUCAUAAGGUGAUGUCAAGAUUACAAGUCCAGGCUAAAUCCCUUAUAACAACAAACACCUUUAUUGAGCUUGGAUCUGAAUUACCAGUUCAGGCUAAAUUCAGAUCCUAAUCGGAUUACCCGUCUGGACUAAAUCCAUAAUGCACACAUAUUCUUCGGGAGGCUUGACCAUUUAAAGGAACACCCGUCCGGGCUAGAUCCUUUUAUAAAUGACAUCAACGGAUUACUCGUCUGGGCUAAAUCCUUACUGCAACACAUGCAGGACUUCAUUACACAUGUCAAUCAUGGUUUAUCCAUCGAAUUCCCUUUUUAACCUCAACCGAGACAUUUAUCACAAUUCAUACUUAAACAUACAUUUCAUAAAAUUUCAUGUUAUUAAUAAAUGCAAUCAUCAUGCAUUCAUAAAUCAUAUAAUUAGGCACAUUGAGUGUUUACUUUAAGUUAUCCGAACUUACCUGGUAUUCAUUUUGGUGUCGUGUUUUGGUUAUUUCGAAACCUUUCGUUUUCCUCGAUCGACCUCCAGAAUUUGUUCCUCUAGGUCUAUAACAAUAAAAAUAGAUCAUAAACACUCUAAAUUAUAUAUUUCAAGUCUAAAUUCCACCCCCGAUCCAAAUGACCGUUUUGCGCCUAACCUUUCACAUUUUUACAAUUUAGUCCCUAGGCUCGUAUAAUGAAAGGCAUGCAAUUUCUACCUUACUCAAGCCUAGCCGAACACUUUUCCCUCUUAUGGUAGCCCACAUUUUUCAUUAUUUCCACAUUCCUGCCACACAUUUUACAACUUUUGCAAAAAGGUCCCUUUAGGGGUUUUUCAUGAAAAUCACCUAGAAAAAGUUGUUUAACACACAUCAAACUUUCAUAUUCCUCCAUAAAACAUCAAAAUACUAGUAACUUAUGCAUGGGUAAAUUUUUAAACAUGAACCCUAGCAUGAAAUAUUGGUAGAAAUGGAGAGAGUAAGCUACCGAAAUCUCAAAAUUAAGAAGAACAUUAAAAACGGGGCUUGAGAACACUUACUAAUGAGCUUGAAAAGCUUGGAAACCCUAGUUAUGGUGGCUUGGAGAUUACGGCUGGACAAGGGAGAAAAAUGGUUAAUUUUUUCCUUCUUUUCCCAUUUUAUUUCAUUAAUAUGCCACAUGACCAAAAUGCCCUUAAGCCCUUUCUUUGAAAUUUCAUCAAUGCAAGCCCAUUUUUGUCCAAAAACUUAGAAAUUAGAAAAAUUUCUCCCCAAGACCUUCUAUUUUAUAAUCUAAAGCAAUUUCAUACAAAUUGCUUCUAGAAUCCAAGUUUUGCAAUUUAUUCAAUUUAGUCCCUAAUUUUCCAAUUGGGCACUUACUCAAAGAAUUCCUUCAUGAAACUUUAACACAUGUAUAUUCUCAUAUUCUAAGCCUCGUAAUAAUUAUAAAAUAAAUAUUUUGAUGUCGUAUUUGUAGUCUCGAAACCACUAUUCCGAUUAGGCCCUAUUUUGGGGUGUUACAUAAUUUACCAACUCCAAUGUCUUUGGGAAAAAUUUUAUUGCACAAGACUAUUAUAUCUUCCUCACUCAUAUGACCUAGUUGCAUGUGCCAAAGUUUUGUUGAGUCGGAAUCGAUGAAGAAAGAGUCACGUCGUGUCGCCGUGACGUGGUGGGAAUUUCGACUUUUCUUCAGUAAUCGCAGCCACACCAGUAAUUGUUGACCCUUGCAAAACGUAUAGGCUGCCCUUUUCCUCUCCCCUCAUCAUAAAAGAGCCUCAGAGAAACUUUUAAGUCAUUUGACUCAAUGACUAUCCUGCAACCAUUAGAAUCCAAAAUUCCCAAUGAGAUAAGAUUUUUCUUUAAAUCAGGAACAUACCUGACAUAUGAAAGUGUUUGAAUAAUCCUGUCAUGCAUCUUAAUUUGUAUCGUUCCAAUUCCGAAUAUUUUACAUGGGAGAGUUAUUCCCGAUCAGCACAACUCCACCUUCAACUUAACUAUAUGUAGAGAACCAGUCCCUGUUGGGAUACAUGUGACAGGAGUACUCUGAAUCUAAGUUCCAUUCAGAAGUAAGAUGAUAGCUUUUGCUCGUUGACACCAACAAGAAAUUAUCACAUUUAUCCUCAACUACACUAGCAUCAACAACGUCGGCUUUUUGCUUAUCUUUCUUAUCGUUUUCAUCAUCAUUUUUUAUAUUAUUUUGAAAUUUCCAACAUUCUGCCUUAACAUGGCCCGCCUUUUUACAAUAACCACAAUAUUUGUGAUGAUUUCUGGAGUUGGACCUUGCUUUAGACCUAUUUUGAUCUGUCUUUCUGGUUUGUCAUUUGCCUCUUGCAACUAGAACUGAGGUUUGCCCGUAUGAUUUUUUGUUUGGGCUUAACUCAUUAUUGAGUUUAUCCUUACUCAGAAGAUUCCCCUUCACAUCCUCGAACGAGUGAUGGUAUCUCCCAUAAAUCAAAGUUUCCCUGAAAGUUUUAUAAGAAAAAGGCAAAGAGCAUAACAAUAACAUAGCUUGAUCCUUAUCACUAAUAUUUGCUUCGAGAUUCUAUAAGUCUUUAAAAAGGGUAACAAACUCGCUAAUAUGAGUUUUGAUGGACUCACCUUUAGCCAUUCUGAACAUGUAGAAAUGUUGUUUUAAUACUAACCUGUUGGCUAGAGAUUUUGUCAUAUAUAAGGUUUCUAGUUUCUUCCAUAACAUAAACGAUGUUUUCUCCUUCAAAACCUUCUAUAACACAUUAUUCGUGAGAUAUAAUUGAAUAAUGGAUAGAGUCUUUUCAUCGAGCUCUUCCCAUUCUGACUGAUCCAUAUCUACGAGCUUUUUCCCUGUAAUGACCUUUUUCAGACCGUUCUAAACCAAUAUUGUUGUCAUUCAAACUUUCCACAAACUAAAAUUUACAAUUCUUCAAACUUCUCAAUAUCAAACCUUGACGUUGCCAUCUCUAAACGGGUUGACUGUAAAAAUUAAACUAGCUCUGAUACCAUUUUGUGGGGGAAAAACCCAUUAAGCAAUGAAUAAAGUAAAUAAAAUAAGAAUCGAAAAGAUCGAACAUGUAAAUUUUGCAUGGAAAACUCCUCAAGAGAGGAUAAAAACCACGGGAAAAAACAAAUUUCACUAUAAUAAAGGAGAGUACAAAAGAUGGAGGAGAGAAUUAAAAGAAAACCCGAAGCCCUUCAAGAAAAACCCUUCAAAACAAAGAAUAAAAUUCUCUCAAUCUAAAUAAAUUUUUGUUAUGUAAAACCUAGAGUAACUAAGGACUAUUUAUAGUUGAAAUUUGUAGCAUAUAUGACUACAACAAUUAGAGUUUAAGUGGGAAAGUAGAAACAAAGUUUAACUAGGAGAAAAAUAAAUUUUGGUCAAAAUAAGAGGCAUUCUUCCACACCUUUCCAAAUAAUACCUUAAGAGAGUGUCACAAAGUUACCCAAUGGAAUAGCAAGAUACAAAAGCUUAAGAUACUCCAAAACAGCAAACAAAGUGAGACCACACUAUUGCCUAUUUAUAGGCGUCUACAAGUGAUUAUAAGAUAGUGUUUUGAUAAGCUUUAAACUCUCCUUUAAAAGUUGAAAUUAUCAAAUUAAUUAUCUUGAAUAUUUAUCACAUAAAAGACUUUAUAACCAAGUUUUCCAAUAGCUUCAAACACUCUAAAAGGUAAGGAUAAGGAUAAGUGCCCAAAUUUCGAACUCCUCUCCUUCCUAGGCUAAUCAAAUGGAUGAUAAUCAUAUUCCAAUUUACCAAGAAAUUCUCUUAUCAUUUGUUGUUAACUAAUAUUAGAACAUAAGCCAUUAAAAGUCAAACAUGCCAACACCCAAAAAUGUUGAUUGCUCCAAAAAGCUUGUUUUAAUUGUUGUUCAAACAAGUCAGUACAAUUUCCAACAAAAAUUAAUAAUAACUAAAAAAUAUUAAAAAAUAAAAAAAUAUAUUUAAUAAAUGAAAAAUCAAAUAAAACCUAAUAAAAAGCUCAACCUUUUGUUAAAAAAAAUCAAAUAACUGAUAGUGUCUAGGAGAUGAGGAGUUAUACAUUUAAAUAUAUUGUAUUAUAUUAUUAUGUCGUAUAUUAAAUUAACAUUUAUAAUCUUUUUUUUUAAGGAAACCGUUAGUCUCAUAUUUUCGUCUUCUGUUUUUUUUUUCCGGUUAACAACAAAACUAGAAAAUACUGCACUUACACAUGUAUAUAUGUUGACCAUAUCUAAGAAAUAUGUUACUGAAUCAUGUGAAAUUCAUUCCCUUGAGCCAAGAAAAAGGAACGUAAAAUCAUGUGAGUUCACGUGGCAAUUAGGUAGAAAUUAGACAACUUGUCUAUGCUUCAAUCAUUAUGAGGCAAACCAAGACAAGUUCAACUUUUUUUUUAUCCUCUCACUGUGAAACCUUUUGCAGGAAGACUUAGGAACAAUAGCUAAGCCUAAAUCCUGCUAGAAUCACAACAUAUUGUUUUGUUUAUUAAAAAAAAAAGAUGAUAUUGGUCUUUGAUAUGUAAAAUUGAUCUAUACAUGCAUUGAUGUUGAGCAAUUUUUGUUUGAGGAGUUAACCGCUACAUUAUAUAGAAGUAAUUAACGUCUUGGGGAUUUUUUAUGCAAAAAAAUAUAUACAUAAAUUUAUAUGAAAAAUACAUGGUUAAAAAAAUUUGUAAAUAAAGCCUUGACAUGGUAGGUAAAAGUGGAAGCUAUAGGCUUUGAGUAACCAUAUUCAAGACCCACCGUACACAGUUGAAUGUAUGGGUUUUAAAGUCCUAUUAUUAAUUGUUAUGUGUUGGUUUUAGUUUGAUUAAUUAUAUUAUAACUUACAUUGUUUCUGUUUAUAAUUUAUAUUUUAUGUAAUAGAUUGAUUUUUUGUCUUAAUUUUUAGUCUAUUUAAAUGAUAUAAUUGUUUAAUUCUACACUUAAUAGUUACUUUGACCUAUAUUUAUAUUUUAAUUUUUCUGUAUUUUUAAACUUUAAAAAAACAUAUAUUUAUAUAUAGAAAGUUUAUGAAUAAAAUUUCUUUUUUCGAAAAACAAUAGAAAGCAUACGCAUUUAAUAUUUGGCAAAAAUAAAGUGAGUAAUGAAAGAUUGAAUUAAGGCAAACUAUAUUUGAUAGCAUCUUUGAUUGGUAAAGCCACCAAUAUCAGAAAACCGGAAACACUAAGACUAAUACGAUGCAUUAAUCAGCGGAGUAGUUCAGCAUUAGUGAUGAAGAUGAAAGUGGUAGAUACAAACCUUUUUCAAAGCAUUAAACACACUCAACCAUAAGCUGAAACAUGAAAAAGAAAGAAAGAAACCUUGGCAUUGAAUUGGGCCAACUACCAACGCCUAACCAUAUACUAUUCGUACGUGUUUCUCAGUUCUUUUGAUAUCCCUUCACUCAACUUUUGGCUAUAAAAACCCUCCUACGCUCAAGCCCUAACCACGACAAUCAGCUAUAGUACUUCUACUCCAAGCAAGCAUUUUCCUUUUCUUGUGAUUAAUCGAUAUGGCUAGCUCAAUGUCCCUUAAGCUUGCAUGUGUGGUGGUGUUGUGCAUGGUGGUGGGUGCACCCCUGGCUCAAGGGGCCGUAACCUGUGGUCAAGUCACAAGCUCCCUCGCACCCUGCAUUAAUUACUUGAGAGGGACUGGUGCUGGUGCUAUUCCCCCAGGUUGCUGCAGCGGCAUCAAAUCUCUCAACUCCGCCGCCCAAACAACACCAGACCGGCAAGCAGCUUGCAAAUGCAUCAAAAGUGCGGCCGCCGGCAUUCCUGGCAUCAACUUUGGCCUUGCAAGCGGACUACCAGGCAAGUGCGGUGUCAACAUCCCUUACAAGAUCAGCCCUAGCACUGACUGCAGCAGGUUCGUAUGAGUUGUUUCAUUGCUUAUGCUUAUUAAUUGCUCAACAUUUAAUGGUGUGUCUUUUGUUGUUUCAUUUGCAGCGUCAAGUGAAAUUUUGGCAUGGAAUGUUCAUCAGCUAGUGGAAGCCAAAAUAAUGAUAGCUACAGAAUAAAAAUGGAUGUUUAAAAUCCAUCCGUAGGGAUAGCAGAGGAGUUAUCCUAAUUUUAGAGUUGUGCGUUGUGUACUAGGUCGGUUUUUGCGACUAUGUAAUACUAUCUUUAUCUACAAAUUAAUAUCACUCAUUAUUUUGUGUUUCUUCUAUAUGAUAUUUAUCUAUAUACCCUUCUCUCAAGCAUUUUAUAUCAACAUUCACGUGGUCUAAUAAUAAUGAAAAUCAUGAUUACUCAACCCUAAGUUUAAUUAAAUCAAUUUAUGCACCGGUUCUGUUCUUUAGUUGCAUGUACCGGAUGCAAUUCCCAUUGCAAUCUGUUUUGUAAUUGAAAGGUUAUACAACUUGCUAUAUAUAUCGACAUAUUUUUAAUUGAAAAAUUUUGGGCUCAUUCUUAAUUUACUUUAAAUCUUUAAAGUGGACUACUCCUUUGGAGACAUUUCUUUUUAAAUGAAAAUAUUAGAAAUACAAUUAAGAGAGAUUAUUCAUCUGAUCAUGUUGAAACACGGAUCAAAGUUCAAAGUUCAUGAUCAUUACGCACAAAACGUUUUAUGAAGAUUAACUGAUUAAACGAGAUUAUUAUUUGAUCCACUUGAACUUGCCUGACUCGUGGAACACAUGGAAAAGUCUAUCUACUUAAACCUUUGGAGGUUCAGUGAAACUCUCCAGUAAAAUUAGAGUUACCAGAGUAAUUAAUGUAAAGCCUAAGGGAUAAAAAUGUAUAGAGUUUAAAUCUCAUAGGACUCUCAUCUUAUAAAUAAGUACUAAUAUCAGUCGUCGAUAUAAUUUAAUCUGUAUCAUUGGAUCUAGGGGAGCUCAACUAUAAAUAGAGACCUCCUUCAUUUGUAAUCAUCUCAUUGUACUCAUGAACAAAGCCAAAAAUAUUUUUUUGGGAUAGAAUUAAAUUAUAUAUUUUUACAAUAGUAAAAAUACAAUUUCACUAAUUUAAUAGUUAUCUUUAUAAUUUUUAAAGAAUUAAAUCAAAUUUUUAUGAUGGGGAAAGUGAAAUUUUACCAUUAUUAAUUUUAAAUUUUAUAAAUUAUAAAGGGAUAUAAAUGAAAUUUUUUCUAUUUUAGAAGGGAGGUCCCUACCAGCCCUCUUAGUUUCACCACUAAUUGUACUUCAUUCCUUCUUGAGUUAAAGAAUUUAUUAAGAGUAUUUACUCAAACACCUUGUAUACAUCGUUUUCUUAUAUCUUUUCAAUUCUCUUAUUGCUCUUUCAUUUUAAGUUACUUCCACAAUAUUUUUUGCUAACAUAGAGAAUUUUUAGGAAAAUUAUCACUUUUCGAGGGUUAGGUUGACUUAGGCAAAUUUAACGAAAAGAAAUCACUUAAAACCACACGAUUUAUUUAAAUUCUAAUCCCAUAACAGUAAAGUUUUGAUAUUUGAGUAACUCAACAUUUAUGUUUCAUGAAAAUAAAAAUAAUGAGAUUCACUCCUUACAAUAAAAUUUCUAUGUUGCACCUAAUUUACCAUUCACAAUAUGAUACUCAUAAUUAAGAUUAAUACAAUACAUGGGUUUGUCAUAAUGUAAUCUGAAAUAAGAAAGUAACAUUUUUUAAAUAAAUAUAAUUAGAAUCUAUUUUAUUAGUUCUGAAUUUUCAAAGUUUAUAUUAGUUUAAAACGGUUUUAAUAAUUCUUAGUUACAUAUCGCUGAUUAAACUUUUAAAUUUAAAUUCAACCGAUUCAUCUAAUAUAAUUCUAACAACAUUAAUAUAUAAUUUUUGUAUUUUUAUAAACACAUAAUUCUAAAUAUAUAAAUUCUUAAGUUGGUGAAUUGUUUAUUUUACACUAAUUUUAUAAUAAACUAUAUGCUAAUGAGAUAAUUUAUUUUACUAAAUUAUCAUUAAUGCUCCCUGAUUAGGAAUGUGCAUACAAAUUUGAAUAUCGCUGAAGAGAUAGCGAUUGUUUGUAAUAGAGAUUUAUCGUAUAAGUCUCAUCAUAAUUUCAUUAUCUUAGAAUCUAAACACAUUUUAUACAAAAAUGUUAUUUUAAAAUUAAGUGAUGUUUUGGUUGAAAUAAUUAAGUCAAAAUUUUAAACUUAAGUUUCAAUUUUAUUAUAGUAUUUUUUUAUUUAAAAAUAUGAAAAGGCAAAAAAUACUCUCUUAUUAAUAUUUUUUUUUAUUUUAUAUUAAAACUAUUUAGUAAAUUCUCAAUAGAGUUAGUAGCCGGUUGACUCGUGACACCAACUCAACUAAGGCUUAAUAUAAGUAUAAAUAGAUGAGUAAAUUUAGAAUAAUUAUUGUUAAUGUAACUGUAAAAAUUUACCAUUACAGUGUAAUGGAUUUUAAAGGGUUGAUUCUAAAAUCUGACUCUAAAUUUUUCAUCGAGCUUUGCUCUAACAACACACUUAGACGAUGGGAUCUCUCCAACAUUCUCGGUGAAAUUAAUUUUUUUGCUACAAGUAACCAACGAGGAAAGGGUGGAGGAGAAGAGUCUCGAUUCACCUAUGAUAGGAUGAGUUAAGGAGGGAGAGAGCGAGAGAGCUACAGUUGUUGUCUAGGUUUUCAGGGGAGAAAGAGUCGAUGCUUGGUUCCUCAUGCACCAGAGCUUACAUAGGGGAUCACCCAUUGUCCUGUAGUGUCGCGUAACUGACAAUGUUGUGUCCUACAAGAUUGUGCGUGCCAGCCAAGUGACAAGGCCGUCAUAGGUCAAUUGUCAUUAUAUAGUGUAUUGUGUGAUCCUACUCUAACAUUCUUGUCUUUGGGGUUGUACGAGACUAUUACGCUUUAGUGGUCCUCACGGAACUGCGUAACGAGCUAUCUCUAGGUAGUUUAGAUAGGGUUCAUGGGAGGUCAUUUGUGAGCAAUCCUAAGCGAAGGAUCGCUACGAAAGGUUCUUAACGAAGAGUCAUACGCAAACUGCUUCCAAUGGAGAGUUGUUUGCAUAUUGCUUCAUGUCUUGCCACGUAUUGAGAUGGAAAUAUAACAAUAACAUUAAAUUUUUUUCACAUGGACUCAGAGAAGCUAAUACAAUCCCAGACGCACUAGUUAAAAUUGGCACCCAUAGGAGUCAUUUAUUUCAUGUAUUUUGGGAUAAAUUUUUGGUGUUGUUGUAUGUGUUUCUUUAUAGCAGUGGUAUGCUAGUACAGCACUUGAACAUGCCUUGCACGGAUACUUUUUAUGAAACUGUAAGUCGACUAAUAAAAACGAAGUUAUGAAUAAACUGUACAUCUAUCUACCCACCUUCUUCCCUACCAUUUAUCCCCCGCCUUACUUUGGAAAAGAUUUAGGAGGGUUUCAGAUUUUACAUUUUAAAUUUUAGAUUUAUAUUUCAAAAUCCAUAAUCAUUUUUUAAAUUUGUGGAUCUACUCUAUUUAGUUGGAAUUUUAAUAAAUCUAGAAAUUUAAUAUAUUUAUGCUAAUAUACGCAUUACAUUCAUUUAAUUUAAAUAUAAAAUGACAUUAAAAUAUACAUGAUCUGAAACAUAUUAUUAUUAGACUUUUAGUCCCACCAUUUGCAAAUGUUAUUUGUGAGUUUAAAUCUCAUCAUGUAUUGGUUCUCUUCAAAAAAUUUUGAUUUAAAUCUAAAUAUAUUUAUGUUAUCAGUUAGUUAUGCUUUGUACUAUAUAUAUUCUAUUUUUAAUUGAUCAAAUAUAUAUUAUUUUUUAUUGCACUAGUAAACUAUUUAAAGAAAAUGUUAUUAUUAUUAUUUCCUUGGCUUUUCUUUUAUUUAUUUGGAACAUUAAAAAAUGAAAGGCUUUUCUUUAACUCCAUAUUCGUAUAACUUUUUUUUUAAAUAUUAUAACUAAUUUUAUAAUGCACACAAAAAUAGACAAAGAAUUUAUAAUUUUUUUUUAAGAAGACAGAAUUUAUAUUUAAUAUAAAAUCAAUCCUCGUUGAAUAGGAUUGCUUAUUACGACACACCUGUAAGCUCAUUAAAAUCAAUUUGGGGUUAGUAGAGAUAUAAAUCAUAUCAUUAAUUAUUUUUUUAUAUUGAGUCGGUGUGAUUUAUGUAAUUUAUUAUUCUAAUUCAUUUUAGGGAAUUUUUUAUGUAUAAAUCUUGUGUUGAAAUCAUAUAAUUUAUCUUACAAUUAUGAAUUUAUCUUUUGACGCGUCGAAAAUUAUUUAUUUGAAGGUUUUAUUAAAAAAUAUUAUUUAUAUUAUUUAAUAUUAUCGUCAAUAACUUUUUAUCCAGUGACUAGAAUAUUAUGAUAUAAAUAUUAGAGUUUAGGUUUGAUGACAAAUAAUUUUAUUCUCCACCCUUAAUUAUCCAAUAUAUAUAUAUUUCAUAUUACUUAAUUUUUUUAAAGUCAAAUUUUAUUAAAGAAUGAAUAUGAAAAAAUUAAAAAUAUUUCUUUUCUAAAAUAAUUUGACAAGCAAUAAAGCAUAAAAAAAAUUCCAUAAACAAUAAUUUCGAAUAAUAAAUUAUAAACUUUUGAUAAAGAUGUACUCAAAUAUCUUAAUAACUAAUAAUAAAAUAUGUAUAUAUUUUUUAAUUUCAUGUUUAAUUUAAAAUUUUUAAAAUAUUUCUUCAUAUUACAAAUGUAAUUUGUCUCCCUUUUUUACAAUAGUUGGAUCACUCUUCAUAAUAUACACAAUAAUAUAUUAUAAAGCAAUUUAUAAACAAUAAUAUAUUAUUUAUAAAAUCUUUUAAAAAUUAAAAAUUAAUUCACACGAUGAAUCUGUGCAUCUAAACAUAUCAACUACUUAAUAAUAUAUUUUGCAUACAAUUUGAUAAUAGUCCAAUUUGAAAAAAUAUAUAUUUUUGUGCUUUCUCAUAAAAUUCUUAAAUAACCCAUAAAAAGAUAUUAUAUGUUUUAAGUGCAUCUGAAUUUUUUCAACUUUAGAGUUAUUACAAAAGCAACAAAACCAAUUAAAUUAAUAUUUGGUUGGUUAAAGUUUAGGCGUUAAUAACUUAUUUUAUAUAGAUAUAAAAACAUUCAUACAUUCGUAUAGUGUUCAUAAUAUUUUUAUGCCAUUUAAUGUAUGAAUUGAUUUUCCAUAUCUUCUUUGUAUUGUUAAUUUUAACACUAUAUUUUUUUACAAAAAUUUAAAUUUUUAUACAUAUAUAAUAUUAAUAUAAAAUUUAAUUUAAUUUUCAAAAAGCUUUGAGCCAACAUAUUCAAAUUAGUCAACAACCUAACAAAACAAGUGGUUGAGGUUGCUUGUUGGCGCUGAUAUAGAUCCGACUAAUGUCAUUCACUACGAAAAUAAUGGAAAAGGCCACCUGUGGGGCCAACUAGGUAGAUAUAUUAUGAAUUGAAUGACAUGUGGCUGGUUGUAAUACCUCAUUGCAUUCAUUGCUUCAUUCACCCCCUAUUGAAAGUGAUAGAUUUUUUCUUUUAGGGAGAUUUAACUUACAAAUUCAUACUCUCUUUUUUUUUUUAUCAUAAGAGGUGUUUAAACUGUUUUUUUUUAAGUUUGGUAUUUCGGUUUAAUCAAAUUAUUAAGUUAAAAAAAUUUUAACCCAUUAAUUAGUAUCUAAGCUACAUAUUUUUUUCAAAUUGAUACCUAAACAUUUUUUUAUCCUACGUGGUACUUAAAUUAUUCUUUCAUUUUCCAUUUAAUACCAAAAUAUUAUAUUCAUUAAAAAAAUCUAAUCAAUAAUAGAUUGACAUGUAAAAUUUUAAAAAAAUAAUUAAUUCUUCUCUUCUCUUCUCUUUUUUUUUCAAUUAUUUCCCUCAUUUUAACUUUUUAUUUUUUUUUUCUUUCUUCUUCCUUUAUAAUGUCUAACAAUGACAACAAAUGCAAUGCUCAAAAUUCGCCCUCGUGAGGUUAAGACUAUGGAAAUUAAUUUUCUUUUCGAACUAUAUCGCUUGUAUGUUAGACCUGACGAGAUCGUAAAAAUUCUUUCAUUGAUCAAAACCAAUUUUUUUUCAGAAUCAGGCUAACAGGUCAUACUUUUGUAGGGGUGAGCGUCUAAUCGAAUCAAAUAGAAAAAUUUCGAUUUAAUCAAGUUGACGAGUCCUAUUUUAUCAUCUUAAAAUGAUUUAAAAUUUUAUCGAAUCGAAUCGAAUAUAUUUGUCUCCAGUUAAUUGAAAAAAAUUCUUUGGAUCCUUGUAGCCACUGUCACUCAUCAUAAUCAAAUUUGUCCAUCGUAAUCAAAUUUGUUAUUAACUUUCAUCCCUUCAUAAUUUAUUUAUUAAUCUUUUAUAUACGGGUUAGCUUCUUUGCUUGCUUAGUUGCUUCAAUUAUCUUUUAAUUCUUGUCACUGUGUAUUUUGAAAUUAAAAAAUAUAUUAAAUGUAAAAAAAUAUUUUUUUAAUAAAAUUUAUUUUAAAGAUAAAAUGUGAAAUUGGUACCAAUAGAAAGUUUUAACACAAAUAUUGUAUGACAUCACCAAUGAUACAAUUUUAACAGAAAUUGAUAAAGAUUCAACAUGAUUAAACAACUUAAUAAUAUAAAUAAUACAAAAUGUGAAAUUUAAUUUAUAAUAUAAAUAAUAGCCAUAAAUAAAAUUAUUACUAUUUAGGUCUAAGGAUUUUUUUUGGAGGAUUUUGAUUUUUGAUUUGGGGAUAAAGGGUGAGAAGUAAAAGUUUUGGGGGAAAAGUAGAAGGGUUUGGGACGGGGUAGGGGUGGGGGUGGGGUUGAGGCUGGGGGAAGGGGAAUAAAAGUUUCGAGGGUAAAGUUUGGAGGUUUGGGGUUGUAACACCCCAAACCCGGCCUAGAUGUUAGGACCAAGCCUGGAAAGCUACAACAAAUCAUUCCAAAAAAUGUCACUUUUAACUAAUUAAAGUUUAAUUGUCAGAAAAUGUUUAAAUAGUUGAACUAAUGUAGAAAUAUAAAUUUGCAAUCUGUAAUUCAAGAUAAACAACUAUAGUAUAAGUUUAAUUAAAGCGGAAAAUUACUAAGUAAGAAUGACUGAGCUCCCGCCACGGCGACCGGCCUAAGUCGAUGAGUUACCAAAAAUUCAGUCAACAGACAAAAUGAGUCGGUAAACACAACAUGUAAAUUAUAUUUUUAUUAAGCAAAACAACAGAACAUAUCUUCAGUUUUUCAAAAUUCGAACAGUUUUCAAAAUCAUAUACGGAAGCAGAACAGAAUAUGUCAGUUACACACCAUCUCCAUCCAACCCUACACACCAAAAAGGUAUGGAAUGCCCAUUCAUCCCUACACACCACAUAGUGACCAUAUGUCAUGUUCAAAAGGUUACAAACUAAAUUCUAGGACAGAAUGUGAAAGUCGCCAAAAUUAGAUACAUUUACGUGGCUUAGCCACCAAUCUUAGUAGAUUAUUUAACUGCCACAACUUCCUCCUUAUUCAAUCCCAACCCCAAUGCAGAUGCAAAGUUACAGAUACAGAUAUAAGCAUAGAUGUUACAGAUUCAGAUUAUACUCAGUUAACACAGAAUACAACUAUUCGCUAGUUUACAAUUCUAUGAUGUAUAUAAAAUAAUAGUUUAUACAGAAACAAAUUACUAGUCAAUGGGUUUUAUAACCCAAAUCGGAUCAUACAAACCCUAAGGUAAGCCUACGUUCGACUGGAACGACGUUUAUAGCCCUAACGAAAAAUUUGAAAUUUUGACCCAUACACUUGUGUGGAUUCACAUGUCUUGGAAGGCUGGCCUAUGUGGCACACGAUCUAUAACAUGGCCUGGCACACGACCAUGUGGCUCAAAAAAAUGAGUUACACAGUCUAGCACAUAGUCAAGCACACGUUCAUGUGACUCAAUUCAUAAAAUUUCCUUCAUAUGGCCUGGACACACGAACGUGUCCUAGCGCGUGUGACUCUAAUCCACAAAUAGUAAGUUACACGACCUAGACACAUGCCCACAUCCUUGGCUUGGUGACCCUAAUACACAAACAGUAAGUUACACGGCUAUAUGAUUAACAACCAUGUGUUCCAGUGUUCGCAAAUCAUAAAAAAAUGCGUUUUCUUUAAACACUUGAUGUAGUUUCGAUGUAGAAGCAACACACAAGAAUUUGGAACCUAAAACGACAAUUAAUUGACCAAUUAAACGACUAAUCAACUCAAAAUUCCAAAAUUAGCACUCAAAACUAACGUACGUCGAAAACUUCGAUGCAACCAACCAAAGCAGAAAUUUUCGCUUAUUGACAAGCGAGCAACAAUAGUUCAGACCUAAUUUCGCAGGAAAACAUUACUUUUGAAACCUUUUCCUAAAAGAAGAUCCAUUAGAACUAUUAACGAGAUUUUACAAUGAUUGGCAGUAAUAUCGAACCUCGACGAAACAGAAAAAGUCUAGCAAAAAAUAGGCAGAAAAAAACAACAGAAAUUACGAAAUAUCCUUGCAAUCAACGUAAAAAACCACACAGAUUUCCCAAUUAAGCACGAUAGCAAACUUACGGAAGCAAUCAAGCAAGAAAGGUGUAAUAGCCCAUUUUUAGUAAAAUCAGAACAGUGGUUUCGGGACCACAAAUCUAGAGUCAAAAAUAUAAUUUUAUUAUUAUUUUAUGGUCUACAUCAUGAUAUUAUUACAGUAUAAAAAUUUUGUUAAGAAAUUUUACCGUUUACAUGUUCAAUUUGAUAAAAAGGACUAAAUCGCGUAAAGUGCAAAAGUAGAGUUUUAAUAGCUAAAGGUAUUAAAUAGCUAUAUAAAUUUAAAUUAGAGGUCCUUAUAUGGUAAUAACCCAUAAAUGUGUUAGUGGAAUGUCAUGGCUUGGUAAACUUGUAAAUUGAAAUAAUUUUAAAGGUCAAAUAAAUAAUUAAGUAAAUAAAGGCAAAAUUUAGUAAAAUAAAGCCAAGUAUAAUCUUUUAUCCUCUUUAUUCAACCGAUUAGCUUAGAAAAAGAAGCCAUUUUUUCUCUUUAUGGUUCGGCAAGCUUGUUUCCAUCAAUUAGGUAUGUGUUUUGUCCCCCCCUUUUUUUAUAAUUUCUAUGUUUCUAGGAUCGUUGUAACUUAAUCUAGCUAGCCUGGGAAUUAAUUUGUGAAAAUGUUAAAGUAUUUGAGUUUUACUAUUGAUGAACAUGUUAGGGUUUUGAAGUUUAAUAGUAUAAAAUAAAUGGUUGUUGUUAGAUAAACAACCUUUUUAAAGGAAUUUUUUAUGAAAUUAUCAAUUAGGGAUUAAAUUAAAAAAUAUGAUAAAUUUGUGGUACAAUUUUGAAUUUGUGAAAUAUAUGGGCAGCUAUAAAUAUGUUUAUAGUUCGGCUAGGCUUGGGUUUGGAUAAAAUCGAAUGAAUUUCAUUUUUCGAGCCUACGGACUAAAUUACAAAGUAUUAAAAGUUACCAUUUUGCCAAAAAUGUAUGCUGGACUAAAUUAAAAAUGAAUUAUAUUGAAUUGAGUUAAAUUAAUUCGUAUAGAUCCGGUUAGACCUCGUAUGGAGUUCUAUUAGGGCAAAGGAAAAAUAUCAGAUUAGUCGCCUUCGUAUCUACGUACACUUGUCGAGGUAAGUUCAUGUAAUUAAAUUGUGUAAUUAUAUGCUUUGAUUGAAUUAGAUGUAUGUUAUUUGCAUUAUCAUCAUAAAUGAAUAUCGAUCGCAUAUCUGAUGACGUACGACGAUUACCGAGCCCCAUUUGAACCUUAAGAAUUAGUAGGAUAUAAAUAACAUGUCAUUAGGGUUAUCGAUUUCAGUUCUUAUGAGCUUACCGAUACUCAGCUCGUAUGAGCUUACUGUUAUUCAGCUCGGAGGAGCUUACUGUUUACAGCUCGUAUAAGCAUACAUGUACAUGAGUUGAUGAAUUACAGUUUAAUACACCUCGUGUGUACUACUACAUAUCCAAUAAUAAUCUAAAUGGUUCAACGUGCACUGUUCUGUUAUGAUAUUACAUGAGUUCAAUACGAACUAAUACAGGUAUUUACAUAAGAUAUAUGAAAAUGAUUUGUACAUGAUAUGUAGAUACAUGAUGUGAAAAUUAUAUGUACAUGGAAAUUUGAUAAUUGUUGAGCUCAUACAUGUUUCUUGAUAUUUAUAUGAAUUACAUGACUAAAAUGGUUGAUCAAGAUAUGUGUUUAGGCUUCUAUCCAAAUUGAGUUUGGAUAUGUUUUGUAUGCUUACCUUAAAUGUGACUAAAUGGUAAGUUAAAUUCUAUGUUAUACGAACUUACUAAGCUUAAAUGCUUACUCUGUGUUAUUUUUCGUGUUUUUAGUGAUUCAGAAGCUCGUUCGGGUUGGAAGCUUGUCGGAGCUAUAUCACACUAUCCAUUGGCUCUUUUGGUACACUCAAUUGUUUAAUUUCAGUUAUAAUGGCAUGUAUAUGUUAAUUUGGCCAAUGUUGGCUUAUAUGUGUUUUGUUGAGAUUAGCCAUUUGUUUGGUUUGUGUUAUAGAAUUUUAGAUAUGUUCAUAUUUUGCUUAUUAUAGUUGACGUGUAGUUUGGUUCAUGAUUGAAUAAAGAGUGGUAAAAAGGUAGCCUAAUGUGCAUUUCAUAUAUGUGUUUUGGAAUGUGAAGAAUUGAUCAUGAAUUAGUGUCUGGAUAUGUAAGGCAUAUAAGUUAAAUAUGUUAGUAUGUGAAAUACAAUUUGGCAUCAAAUGAUGUGUUUUGGAAGGCAAGUAAUUUGGUAAGAAAUGAUGUAAAUCUGCUUAAUAAACUUUGGAUGCAAAUAUGCAUAUAAGUGAGUUAAACAUUUGGAUAUAAUGAAUACAUGAAAAUUCUUAUUAUAAGUUGUCAUUUGAGGUGCCUAAGGGCAUAUUGGUUGUAUGUAAUAAUAUUACAUGUUUUAAGCUUGAUUUUGGCUGGUUUUGGAUGCCUAUUUAUGACUUGGUUAUAUGCAAAAUGUUGUGUUUAGGUUGGUACCAAGUUGGGUGAGAAAUGUGGCUUGGAAAAUGACCUAUUUUCAUACACAUGGGUAGAGACACGGGCGUGUGUCUCAACCGUGUAGGUGAUAUGGCCGUGUGUCCCCUGUAUCUUUUAAAGAAUGCAAGUUAGUAUGCUCACACGGCCUGGCACAUAGGCGUGUGGCUUGGCCGCGUAACCCAAGUCAGUGAGUUACACGGGCAUGGACACAGGCUGGGACACGGUCUUAUGUCCCUAUUUCGAAUACCCACACAACCUAAGACACGGGCGUGUCUUUUGGCCGUGUGAGUCACACAGCCUGGCCACACGGCCAUGUGACCCCUGCAGUUUUGAAAUUUUUAUAAGUUUCUGAAAACUUCUCUGAAUUUUUUAUUUAGUCCCGAAUUAUUUCUAAGGUGUAUUUUGGGUCUCGAGGACUUGUAUUAGGGACAAUAUGCAUUAUUAUGAUUGGUUUCUGACAUGAAUACUAUAUGUUAUGAAAUGUUUGAAUUUUCUGUCCAUUUAAAUUGUAAACUUCGGUAAUACUCCUAACCCUAUUCCAGCGACGGAUUCGAGUUAGGGAUGUUACAAAAGGAGAAAAAGAAAAAAUAAGGAAAAGAAUUGUAAGGAAGGAGAAGAACAAAAAAUAAAAAUAAAAAAACUAAAAAUAAGUUUUAAACAAAAACAAUUAUUAAAAUAAAAUUGAUUUCCCGAUAGCACACCAAAAUAUUUCCUUAUUUCUUAUGCAGAGACUCAAACAUGAGACCUUAGGUAAUAUAAAACUUAAUCAUUAAACCAGAUGACUCAUUCUUGACACAAAUUAAUGUAGACACAAACUUAAGUCAAACAUUCAAGAAUAAGAGUUGAAACAAAAGAAUAAUAAAAUUCUCUAAAAGUACGACUUGAACCCUCGAUCCAAAAACCAACACAUAUAACUUAACCACUGAAGCAGAUACUUGCUUAUAAAUAGACACUAAUAGUAACAAUUCAAAAUUUGGGGCGUUACAGGGGCAGACAAAGAGGAAAGAGUAAAUUUUUGGGGGAAAAGUAAAAAUGUUUGGGGUUUGGGUUUUGAGGUAAAAUGUAAAAUAUUAUAGUUUGGUAUUCGGCUUAAUCGAAUUAUUCGGGUUAUUUGAAUUCAAAAACUCAACUUGACUCGAACUUGAAAUUAAAAAAAAUCUAGUUGAUUUGAUUAAUUCGAUUAGAAUAAUUCAAAAUUCGAGCUUUUUUCAAUUUUUUCGAGUCUAUUCAAAUUUUGCUCACCCUUAAUACUGGGAACCAAUUAGGAUACUAGUUUGGAGAUAGGGCUUGAACCAAUUAACCUGCAAACUGAUACAGAUUUAUUGAGCCGAGCUAAAAAAAAACUAGUUGAACUAGUUUUCUCUAUUUUUUAUUUUUAUCUUUAUGAAUUUUUAAUAAUUGAUUUCAUCAAACUGGAUAAAUUGAUUAAACCAGUAACUAAUGAUCUAGCUAGUUUGAAUAUGGUAAUUUUUAAUUGGUUAUCAUUUUUUAAAUAGACUUAACGAUUUGAGUAAAAUUUAAACUAACAAAUGUAUCAAUUUGAGAAAAAAUAAAUUAAGUACCACAUGUGACAAAAAUGUUUAAGUAUCAAAAUAAAAAAAAUAUAAUUUAAAUACAAAUUUGUAGAUUAAGGUUUCUUUUAACAAACUUAACGGAUUAAGGAAAUUAUCAAUUUGAGAAAAAAAAUAAUUUCGAUAACAGUCGCUGGUGACAAAAAAGGAAUUAACUACCAAAAUGAGAGAAAAGGGAAAAGAUUGAUAUAAUGUGAAUUGAAUGACAUGUGGCUGGUUGUAAUACCCAACAAGCUUUAACAGGUGUCACUGAUUAAAAUUAUAUCAUAUGUAUUCUAUCAAAAAUAUAUUAUGUAAAAUUACAAUUUUUAAAUUUAAUAAAAAAAUAUAUUAAAAAUUUUAACUCCGGCCAAAACGUGAAAUAAAUCGUUUUUUAACAGUGUUUUGGAAAAAAAAAUUAGGGUUAAGUACCGAAAUGAUCACUAGAGUAUUACUUGUGUUUUAUUUUGAUUACUAAAUUUUUAAUUAUUUUUAUUUUAGUCACUAAACUAUAUGAAAUCAAAUAUUUUUGUCACUAAAUGUUAAUGACCGUUUGAAAAUUUUUCGAAAGUGUUGAAAUGUGUUAUUUUUUAUUUGUCUAAUAAAAAAUUUAAUCUUCUUUACACAUUCUAUCAAUUUGAUUCUAAAUAUAAAAAAUCAAUAAAUUUAACACCAAAUGUUUACAAAAUUUGUCACUUUAGUUCAAAUUCUAAAAAACAAAAUUAAUAAAUUUAGCUCUUAACAUUUACAAAAUGAAAAUUUUUAAUUUUUAAAAAUUUUGUAAAUUAAAAAGAAAAACAAGUGUAAUAAUUGUAAAAAUUAUUAACAAUUAAAAAAAUCCAUAAAGCCGUUAGCUACCUCAUAGUCAGUGCCAUUUAAAAACAUGCUUAGCCAUAAUAGUACAAGAAUUAAUGAAAAAGUAGAGUAAAAUUCAAAACAAUCAAUCUUAUCGAUAUACUUUUUCAAGGCUUUUAAUGUAAACUAAAAAUUCUUGUCCCAUCUUGUUCUUCUUCUUUUUUCUACAUUGGUUUAAAUUAUUAUUUGCUAUUAAGACAUUGUCAAUUUCAGUAUUUGUCUCAUUGCUUGAUCUUCACAAGAAAUUCUAGAAACAUAGUAUUGUGUUUUUGAGAAACCGUGAACCUUGUUUUGUUAAUCUAGGUUUACACCAAAUUUCAUUAUUGUACUCUACUUGUGAUUUAUUUGUGAUUCUUUUUUCAAUUUCUUGUAUUUGAAAAUAGAGUAUUAGUGAUUUUUUAGUACUGCUGCUAGUUAUGUAUGAAGUUGCUCAAAUUUAUGUGUUUAGCCAAAGGGUAGGGGAAUCAAUGCAUCCGCUACACUUACUUUCAAUGUUUCGCCUUGUCUUGGGGUUAAACUAAAGUUGAAGUCUCAUUUUAAAGUUGAGAGAUUAGAUCGUGGUGAUGAUAAUUAUUUCUUUUUUUUUUUUAAGUUUAUUUAGGUUUGUGUGUUGAGUUUUUUAAAAAAAAAUUUACAAACUUUUAAAAAUCAAAUCUUGUCAUUUUGUAAAUGUUGAUAGUUAAAUUUAUUGAAUUCUUUUAGAAUUUGAAUUAAAAUGAAAAAUUUUGUAAACAUUGAGGGCUAAUUUUGUUGAAUUUUUUUAUAUUGAAGACCAAAUUGAUAGAAUAUAUAAAUAUUAAAAAACUAAAUUUAUUAUUAGACCAAUAAAAAAAAACCAAUUCCACACUUCUUUUAAAUUUCAAACUGCUCUUAACAUUGAGUGAAGAAAAUAUUUAGUUUUAUAUUAUUACCAAAAUAAAUAAAAAUAAAAAUUCAAUCAACCAAAUAAUCUAUAAAUAGAUUUAGAAUGUUGCAUGAUAUAUAUAUUAAAAAAAAGAAAAAAAAACGAUGCAUGUGCCCUAAUGUUGUGAAGUUUUUUUUUUCAUUGAAAAUAACAAAAUAACUAUUUGUUUAUAUUUUAUAUUAGUUCUAUGGCAUACCGCGUGGAAAAGGAAAAUUCAUGUAAAUAAUAUAUUUAUAAAAAUUUAUAUUAAAACUAAAUGAGAUUUUAGUUGAAAUAGUUAAGUUAAAAAGUGUAAAAUUUAUGAGCUAUAAGUUUAAAUCCUAUUGUAGUGUUAUUUAUAAAAAAAAUGAGAAAAGAUAAAAAUACCUUUAUAUUAAUAUUUGUUAUAUUAUAAAAUAAGGAUAUUUUUAACAAAUUUUCAAUUGAAUAGAUGUUUGGGUGAAUCCUAAUACCAAUUAAAGUAUAUAUACACAAACAAUUAUAAAUCAAAUUACUUUUAAUAAAAUGCUAUCAUUCAAUUCAAUGACAAUAAAUGCAUUUAUAAAUACAUCAAAUGUAAAUCUCAUGUUUAUAAGAAAACACGUAGAAAAAAAGUUAAACCAAUAUUUGAGUCCUAGCUGUGGAGGCAUGAUUGAGUGAAAUCAAAUGGACGCUGGUUUUAAUUCUAUUGAAAGAAACCAAUAAUCACGUAGGUUGGCAGUUGAACAUAAUUGAAUGGUCUCAACUUUUAAUGUGGUGUUAAUGUUUGGAUCGGAUAAUCUCAACUUACCUAAUAGCUAGGAAAGUAAAAUUCAAACAUCACCCGCUACUACUUUUGGCUAUAAAAACCCUCCUACCCUCAAGCCCUAACCACGACAAUCACCAAUAGUACUACUACUCCAAGCAAGUAUUUUCCUUACACGUUUGUUUUUCUUGUGAUUAAUCGAUAUGGCUAGCUCAAUGUCCCUUAAACUUGCAUGUGUGGUGGUGUUGUGCAUGGUAGUGGGUGCACCCCUGGCUCAAGGGGCCGUAACCUGUGGUCAAGUCACAAACUCCCUCGCACCCUGCAUUAAUUACUUGAGAGGGAGUGGUGCUGGUGCCGUUCCCCCAGGUUGCUGCAGCGGCAUCAAAUCUCUCAACUCCGCCGCCCAAACAACACCAGACCGGCAAGCAGCUUGCAGAUGCAUCAAAAGUGCGGCCGCCGGCAUUACUGGCAUCAACUUUGGCCUUGCAAGCGGACUCCCAGGCAAGUGCGGUGUCAACAUCCCUUACAAGAUCAGCCCUAGCACUGACUGCAACAGGUUCGUAUGAGUUGUUUCAUUGCUUAUGCUUAUUAAUUGCUCAACAUUUAAUGUGGUGUUUCAUUUGCAGCGUCAAGUGAAGUUUUGGCAUGGAAAGUUCACCAGCUAGUGGAAGCCAAAAUAACGAUAGCUACAGAAUAAAUAUGGAUGUUAAAAUUCCAGAGUUAUGCGUUGUGUACUAUGCCGCUUUAUGCGACUACGUAAUAUAAUCUUUAUCUACAAAUUAGUAUCACUCAUGUCUCCAUUCCCCUUCUUUCAAGCAUUUUAUAUCAACAUUCACGUGAUCCAUAUUUCAUUCCUUAAAAAAAAAAAUUAAGAAAACAAAAAUUAUGAGAUUCACUCCAUAUAAAAAAAAUUCAAUGUGGCACAUAGGAAGUUUAUCGUUUCAUAAUACGAUACCCAUAAUUAAAAAGUUCAUUUAUAUUUGUAACUAGGGUUGAAAUCAUAAAAUUAUUUUUGUGUAAGUUUGAAUUUAUAUUUUACUAAAAAAUAAUCUUUAUUAAUUGUAAAACUUUAUAAAAGAAAAUAUGAGUUUACCUAACCGUAUAUCCCUAUAUGUUGCAUUGUGGGGUUAAAGUCUUUGCAUGAUAAAUCCAUUAUCUUCAUAUAUCUUGUAUUGUGGGGUUAAAGUCUUCGCACGAUAAAUCCAUUAUCUUAAAAUCUUAGAAGAAAAUGAGUGAAUGUUGGAAGUUUAUUCUUAAUGUAAUUCUAGAAACUAAUUUAAUUAUUAUUAUUAUUAUUAUUACAAAUUUGUGCCUUUGUAAAAUAAAUAUAUACUUCUAUUUUUAUUUUUACAAAAUACAAAUAUUAAAUUUUAAACCUUAUAAACUUUUAACCAUAAAUUUUUAAUCGUUAAACCUAAACCCCACCUCUAAUAUAAAAUCCUUUGUCCACAAACUGUUCCAAUCAUUUGGGAAAGAGAAAAUCAAACUGUAAGCCUACUAAUAAUAUAUCGUUAUGAUUAUUUAACAUUUGUUACUUGAUUUUGAUAUUUUUCUUAUAAUUUCAUACUUAAUUUUUUUUAUCCAAUUUCACACUUAAACCUUUUAAAUAUUAUACAAAUUACCUCAAAAUACUAAUGAUAUUAAUUUUUUUAUGAGGGAAAAGAAACAGCUAACGUAUGGUUGUCAUGUGACAAAUGAUAUGGAAUUUAAUGACAGGGAUGAUUACAUUUAUUUGAAGUUUUCUCUAUUUUUUUAAACAAUAUGUUCACAAUUUACAUUUCAUCAAGCCUGAGAUUACUUUGACAGUUAAUGGCAAGAGUGUUACAAGAGGAACCAUAUGCUUAAAGCAUGACCUAGUUUUCAUAAAGCCCUCAAGUCCCAUAAAAAUAGGAAAAUUAUGUUAAAAAAUUGUACCUACGCUUAAUAGAAUAUUGAAAAAUAAAAAAAUAAUUUUAAAACCCAAAAAUAAAAAGAAAUUCAUUAUUAAAUUAAAAAGGUAAAAUAAAAAAAUUAAUUAAACUAAAAGUAAUUCAACAAUUAAAAUACAAAAAAUCAAUCUCAUGUCAUCCGUCAUAUGUUAAUCAUACAUUGAUUAUAUUUGCACCUCAUAAAUAUAAAAUUAUUAUAUUGGAGUAAUUUGUAAAACCUUUAACAAGUUAGAUACCAAAUUGAAAAAAAGAAGAAGCUUAAGUGCUAAAUUAAAAAAUAUAUAUUAAGUUCGAGAAUUAAAUUGAAAAAAAAAGCAAGGGUACCAAAUAAGCUAAGACCCACACUCAACCCGACUCCUAUUAAAUAUCUCUUCGUCUCACUUCGGCAAGAGACAAAGGAUAUAUAGUUUACACUACUAAAAUUCAACUGUAUAUGUAAUAGGCCAAUUUUGGCCUGGCCUAGUUAAUAAAUAAAACCCAAACAAAUAAAUAAUAAAAGUCUAAAAUUUACAGUCCAUUUUUACAAACAUCAGGGCCCAAUUUACAACAUGCAUAGCCCAAAUAAAAAAAAACUACCCAAACCCAAUUACAAAGCCCAAAACAAAUCAACCCUAGCCCACUCAAAACAUUUCAGCAAAAAAAGUAAACCCUAGUCACAUGCCUUCAGCCGCCGCUUCUCCCACACGUUACCCUCGACCACUGCACGCACGUCUGUCACCGCCCUUCCGCACGUCUGACAUCUCUGACGACCUGCAACACGCAAGCGAAAGAAGCCAAGCAGAAGAACCAAGAAGAAACGACAAAAAAAAAGAGGAAGCAAACAGUUUAUGACACGACUAUAAAAGCCGAAAUAAGUCCUUUGUAAUUUUUUUAAGCAUACUAGAAAUAAAAAAGUAGAACAGAAGUUUCGAAAAGGUGUUAUUUUGAUCCUAUUCUUUUUGUCUCGAUUCAUUUUUCUAGUUUCCUUUUAUUUAUUCUUAACACGAAUCUAUUUUUAAAAUAAAAAAAACAAGGCAAAGAUUUCCAAAGGUGACCCUUUUUUUUAAAAUCUAAAAUUUUUCUACCUUUUUUGUUUUUUUAUUCUCAUUAUUUCUCACGAAAAAUAAAGAGAACAGAAAUGAAGGAUUUACUUGGGCUGUUUCGCACUCUGGUCGCCGAAAACUCCCUCUCCGGCGUCGAAAUCGUCUUAGGAAGAAGGUGACAAGGGCCUUUCUUUCGAUUUUCUGGUUAGGAAGGCUUUGCCUUCGGUUUCAUUUUCUUGAAAAAGGUUAAAAAGGCCGAAUUUAAGGGUAGCUCCGACCACCGUCCACGGCGGGGAGCGGAGGUCCGAUGACGUACGAUGAUGGGUUUUAUAAACCCUAGCAGAGAAAAUAAAUGGGAGGGGGGCUGCUUUCUAUUUUUUUUAAAAGAAAAAGAAGCAUGUAAUAGCCCAAUUUAGACCCUAAUCAGAAUGGUGGUUUCAGGACCACGAAUUCGAGUCAGAAAAAUAUUUAAAUAUUAUUUUUCGUGUUUAUUAUAUGUGAAUUUGCAUGUGUGAAAUUUUCGUGUAAAAAUUUGAUUGUUUGUGUGCUUAAUUUAAUAAAAGGACUUAAUCGCGUAAAUUAAAAACUUGAUAGUGAAAAGCAUAAGGGCCAAAUUGUUAAUGGCUUUGUAAGUUGAAGCAUUUAAGUGGCAAUUUGACCAUAUUUAGUUAGAUGGACGGUUGUGACCAUGCAUUAAAAUGGUUUUAUAUUUUUAUAUCUUAAGGUUAAUUUGGUAAAUUAUGAAUUAAUAAUGUUAUAAUAAAACAUAAAAAUAAAACCACCAUGCAUUUGUUCAUCUUUUUGACUGAAAGUUGUGAAAGAAAGAAAAGAAAAUAAGCUUGGUGAUAUUCAGCCAUUUCUCAAGCUUGAUUCAAGGUUAGUUUGGUUUCGGUUUUUGAUAAUUUUUACGUUUUUGAAAUUGUUACUUCGAAUACUAUCUGACCCAUGCUAGAAUUUUUGAUUUUGAUGAAUGUAUUGAGCUGUGCCAUUGAUGAAUAUUUGUGUUUUGUGAUGUUUGAUGAUGAAAUAUUAAAGAUAUGUUUUAGAUUAAUAUGUUUUGUAUUGGAAUUUUUGAUGAUUUUGAGUAAUUAGAACUAAAUUGUAAAAAUAAUAAAUUAAGGGACUAAAAUGUGAAAUAAACAAAAUUUGAGGACUUGUUUGGGUGUGGGGAGUAUUCGGCCUAAGUAUAACAUGAGAAAAUUAUGCUUGUUUUGUGUUUUAUGCAAAUAGGACUAAUUUGUAAAAGUAUGAAAUAUCAGGGGUAAAAUGGUAAUUUGCCCAUUUAUGUGUUGUUGGAUUAAAUUGAAUGAAAUUGUGUUUGAAUGAGAUAAAUUUGAAAUUUUAUAGAUCAAGAAUAAAAGAAAUCGGACUUGGAUCGAGGAAAAACAAAAAUAGUCGAAUAGUCGAUUUACAUCGUUCGUCGAUAUCCAAGGUAAGUCUUUAAGCAAUUAAACAUCAUUAAUUUUGAAUGUAAUUUAGUUUAAUAUACUGAUUCGGAAUUUAUGGAUUUGUAAUAGAGUUAGACGAAUGUGAAAAAGUAUAUAAAUAAUGUAUUUGAGUUUAACUCGAUUGAGUUAUAACAUUUGAAAGUCCGUAUGAACUAUAUGGAAUAUCUGAAAUGUUUGAUAUAUGAAAUGUUUAUGAGACAACUUUAUAAUAAUGAUAUUCGAGCUUUGAGCCUAGCAAGCCUUGUGUUGGUGAAUUUAAUCGGGCUUGACGCCCAGUAGGCUUAUUACCGUUGUAUAAAAUCAGACUUUGAGUCUAGCAGGCCUUGUGCAGAUGUGAUACAGGCUUAGGUCUAGCAGGUUUUAUACCGGUGAAAUAUUAUAAGUCUAUGCCUAAAAGAUUUUAUGUUGAUGUGAUAAAUGAAUAUGUUGAACGAGCUAAAACGAUCAGGUACGUGAUAGCUAGACUACCUAUUUGAAAACAAGAUGAAUUUAUUCCUUGAUAUGUGAUGAAAAAGAAUUCAUGAAUUUAAUGUAGUACAUGUGCUAAUGUGAGAAAUAUAUUUGAUCUUAUAAUUGUACAUGAAGGUAUUGUUAAACUUUGAGUGAUGAGUAUAUGUCUUAAAAUAUAUAUGUAUAUUCGAUUAUAUAAAUCAAUGUGGUUUCGAAUUUCUCAUAUGUAUAUUCGAUUAUAUAAAUCAAUGUGGUUUCGAAUUUGAGAACAUAUUGGUGCUAUAUACUUGUUUAUUCGGCCAAAAAGAAGUUGCCUUAUGAAAGUAUAUGUUUUAUAUGUGUGGAAUUAAAAGUUUGAAAAUAAAAGUGAUUAAAAAUGCAUAAGUUGAUUUAUUUAAUUGAAAUGAUUAGUAAUUAAAUGUUAUUAUGCUUUAAUUGUUUAAUUUGCUUAAGGAAUACUAAGCUAAGUUAGCUUACUUUGUGUAUAUAUAUAUUUGUCUUUGUUUUAUAGUUUUUGGAGAUCGUUACAUGCUCGGAGAUUGUCAGUAAAGUCAAUCGCACUAUUGUUUAUUCUCGGUACCUUUGAAAGUUUUAAAUUCAAACUUAUGGCAUGUAUAGGCUGAAUGAUGUUUUGUUAUGAUGAACUUUGGCUUUGUAUAAAGCCAUGCGAAAGUGGCUUAUUUAAAUGCUUGAAUUUGGUUUUGGUAUAAUGAUGGUUUGAGUCCAUUUUGGUUAUUAUGCAAUGUGUCAAGGAUGAAUGAUACUUGUGAUAUCUAUUUGAGUGUUGAAGAUGCUUGGUAAAUUUGGAUGUGUGCAUUGGAUUGAUUCGGUUAUGGUAUGGAAGAUUCAUGUUUUGUAUAUAUAUAAAUAUAUCUAUUUGAAGUUAAUGGUUUACUCUUGAGAGAUAUAAAAUGUAAUAUGAGUUGGUUUGAAAAUUAUACAAUGAUGUAUCGUGAAUUUAGAUAUAAGAUAAAGGUAUAUGAGGUGGUUAUGUCUAACUUGUGAUUCGACAAUUGCUUUUAUAAAUAUUCAUGCUUGAUGAAUUGACUUAAUAUGUAUUUCAACUAAAAGUAUACUAUGUAGUAGGUAGGUAAUAUGUAGGAUUAUUUGCGUCUUAGGCAAAGUUUAGAUGACCAAAUUGACGAUAAAUAGGUUAGUUGUAAAUCCGCAUUUUUGGUAUGUGACAUGAGUGCAUUUCAAAUCUUUACUUGCAAUAUAAAAUGGUUAACAAUAAAUAAGUAAUUGAGUUAAAUUUUAGUUUGUGAAUUAAGCUUGAUAAGUUUCGUUAUUAAUGUUCUAUUAUAGUUCAUGUUUAAUAUGGUUAAAAAAUAUAUAAGGUUUAUUUGUUUAAUGAAACAAUUUGAUUAUUUGUGAAGAUAUGAAUGUCGUGUAUGCUGAUGAUUAAAUUGUCAUGUGUUAGAUUUUUAUUUGAUUUAAUAUGUACAUGUUUCGAAAUAUGUUUUAAAAUAUUCGAUGUUUAACAGAUAUCCGAAUUUGACUUGUAUUUGUAUAUUGUAAUGAUAGAAUUUCGAUUAAUAUUUAUUUGGACAUUCGUAUAUACAUAUGAAUAUGACUUGUGUGAGUAUUCAGAGUUGUGUUUUUUUCCAGUAAUGCCUUCGAACCCUAAUUCAGCGACGGAUACGGGUUUGGGGUGUUACAUUUUAUUAGUAUCAGAGCUAUAGUUUAGUCGAUUCUAGGACUAAUGUAGCAUGUGUGAGUUUAGCUAUACAUGCCAUAGUGUUUACUGCGAUAAUGUGAUGACUUCUGACAUUGAAAAUGUGUUUUCGUAUUGUAAAUAAAUCCCGACAGAGCUGUAGUUGAUGAUGUCGAGAGUGUAGCACAUGCUCCUGCGCAUGAGACAGCACCAGUUGAAUCUCGGCUGAUCUCGAGUAGCCGUGAAGGGGAGGCUAAACAAGCCUUCUAUCAACUAACGAAUGAUUGGUUUACUCAAUAUAUUUGAACUAACCCGGCUACACAACAACCUCCAUCCCCGAAUAAUUCAUCUUCGAUACCUGUGGUUCCUCCUAUGAUUGAUUCGAUGAGAUUUAAUAAGCCUUCCGUUGAUAAAAUUAGAAAACACGGGGCUGAAGAAUUCAGAGCUACUGAUGAUGAUGAUGCUAAGCUAGCUAAAUUCUGGCUUGAUAAUACUAUCCGUGUGCUUGAUGAGUUAUCUUGUACCCCGGAUGAGUGCUUAAAAUGUGCUAUAUCCUUGCUACGAGACACCGCAUACCACUAGUGGAAUAUACUAGUAUCGGUGGUUCCGAAGGAGCGAGUGACUUGGGACUUCUUUUAGACUGAGUUUCGUAAGAAAUAUCUCAGUUAGAGAUUCAUUGACCAGAAGCACAAGGAAUUUCUCUAAUUAAAAUAGGGUCGCAUGACUGUGAUAGAAUAUGAGCGAAAAUUUGUGAGACUCAGUUGAUAUGCUCGUGAGUGUGUUUCAACUGAAGCUAUCAUGUGUAAAAGAUUUGAAAACGGUUUGAACGAAGACAUUAAAUUUCUGGUUGAUAGACUUGAAAUUAAAGAGUUCGUGGUACUUGUUGAGCGAGCUUGCAAAGCUGAAGAGCUCGGGAAAGAAAAAAGAAAAGCUGAUUUUGAAGCUAGAGAUUUUCGCAAAAGAUCAUUGGGUAAGACUUUUCAAUUAGCAUCGAAGAAGUUCUGAGAUGAUUCUAGUCAAUCUAAAGAUACUGCGAGCUUUUCUAGACGAGAUUGAGACUGACCCCCUGUGAGUUUGCGAGCCACUUCGAUAGUUAGUGUUGGCAAUGUUCGACAGAAUAGAGUCGAGUGCAAGCAUUGUGGUAAAUGGUAUUCUGGAGAUUGCAGAUUGCAUGACCGGUCUUGUUUUAAAUGUGGAUCGAUGGAUUAUUUUAUCCGAGAUUGCCCAAUGUUAGCGAGCAAAACACUGUUCAGAAUGCAAGACCGAGUAAUAUGUCAGUGCGAGGCAGACCACCUAGGCAUUCGGGUAAUGUAGGUGGCAGUCAGAUAGGGAUGAAAGAUACAGCAGUUCGAUCUGAGGCUCGUGCACCUACCAGAGCAUAUGCUAUACGUGCUCGUGAGGAGGCUUCUUCCCCAAAUGUUAUUACCGGUACUUUUACUCUUUAUGAUACUAGUGUUAUUACAUUGAUUGAUCCUGGUUCGACUCAUUCUUAUGUGUGUGAAACAUUAGUAUCCAGUAAGACUUUGCCUGUUGAGUCUACUGAGUUUGUGAUUCGAGUAUCGAACCCCCUAGGCCGGUGUGUUCUGGUUGAUAAAGUAUGUAAGAAUUGUCCAUUGAUGAUUUGAGAUUCAUGCUUUCCAGCCGAUUUGAUGUUAUUUCCUUUCGAUGAGUUCGAUAUAAUUUUGCGUCUGGACUGGCUGACUUUGCACGAUGCUGUUGUUAAUUACAAAAGAAAGACCAUUGAUUUGAGAUGUCAGAACAACGAGAUUACUCAGAUUGAAUCUAAUGAUCUGAAUGGUUUACUAGCAGUAAUAUCUUCGAUGUUAGCUCGGAAGUACGUGAGAAAAGGUUGUACAGCUUACUUUACUUAUGUGCUUGAUAGUAAAGUGAUUGAAAAAAAGAUUGAAUCUGUACUAGUUGUGUGCGAGUAUCCGGAUGUGUUUCCUAAAAAAUUACCAGGUUUGCCACCUGUCUGAGAGGUAGAUUUUAGUAUUGAGUUAGUACCGAGGACGUCUCCAAUUCCAAUAGCUCCGUAUCGGAUGGCACCUACUAAAUUAAAAAGAAUUGAAAGCUCAGUUACAAUAGUUAACAAAUAGAGGUUUUGGACGACCGAGUUUUUCUCCUUGGGGUGCACCAGUUUUAUUUGUGAAAAAGAAAGACGAAACUAUGAGAAUGUGCAUUGAUUAUAGACAGCUCAAUAAGGUGACUAUAAAGAAUAAGUAUCCGUUACCACGGAUUGAUGACUUGUUUAAUCAACUAAAAGGGGCUAAACUGUUUUCAAAGAUAGAUUUGAGGUCCGGCUACUAUCAGUUGCGAGUUUAAGACUCUGAUGUGCCGAAAACUGCCUUCCGAACGAGGUACGGACGUUAUGAAUUUCUGGUUAUGCCUUUUGGACUUACUAAUGCACCUACUAUUUUUAUGGAUUUGAUGAAUCAAAUUUUUAGACAUUAAUUGGAUCGGUUUGUGGUUGUGUUCAUUGAUGAUAUAUUGAUCUACUCCUGUGGUGAAACUGAACAUGCCGAACAUUUGAGACUUGUGUUACAGAAUUUGCAAGAAAAACAGUUGUAUGCGAAGUUCAGUAAAUGUGAGUUCUAGUUACAUGAAGUUAUUUUUUUGGGACAUGUUGUUUCAGCAUCAGGUAUUCGGGUUGAUCCAAGUAAAAUUUCAGCAAUACUUGACUGGAAACCUCCGAGAAACGUUUCUGAAGUCUGAAGUUUUUUGGGACUUACGGGUUACUAUAGGCGAUUUGUGAAAGAUUUCUCUAUGAUUGCAACCUCGAUGACGAAGCUAUUACAGAAAUAUGUUAAAUUUGAGUGGUCUGAAAAGUGCCAGAAAAGUUUUGAUCAGUUGAAAUUCCUUUUGACCGAAACUCCAGUGCUAGUUCAGCCAGAAUCGGGUAAAGAAUUUGUUAUCUAUAGUGAUGCAUCUUUAGAUGGUUUGGGUUGUGUACUGAUGCAAGAAGGCAAAGUUAUAGCUUAUGCCUUGAGACAGUUAAAGCUACAUGAAAAGAACUAUCUGACACACGACCUAGAGUUGGCAGCUAUUGUAUUUGCGUUGAAAAUUUGGCGUCACUAUCUGUUUGGUGAAAAAUGUCAUGUUUAUUCUGAUCACAAAAGCUUGAAGUACUUGAUGACUCAGAAAGAUCUGAAUUUGAGACAACACCGAUGGUUAGAAUUGCUAAAAGACUAUGAACUGGUGAUUGACUAUCACCCAGGAAAUUGACUAUCACCCGGGAAAGGCUAAUGUUGUUGCUAAUGCUCUAAAUCAAAAAUCCCUGUUUUCUUUGCGUGCAAUGAAUGCACAUAUGGUCAUGUCAAAUGAUGGUACGAUAAUAGCCGAGUUAAAAGUAAGACUGUUAUUUAUUCAGCAGAUUUACGAAGCUUAGAAGGUCGAUAAUGAUUUGAUAGUAAAGCGGGCUCAAUGUGAUUUGAACGUUGAUUCAGAAUUUCUAGUGGAUUCUGAGGGAUGUUUGCAAUUCAGAAACCGAAUAUGUGUUCUGAGAAAUACAGAGUUGAUUCAGAUGAUUUUGAAUGAAGCUCAUAACAGUCGGUUAUCUGUUCACUCGGGUAGUACGAAGAUGUGUAAUGAUCUGAAACAGCACUAUUAGUGGCAAGGUAUGAAACGAGACAUUUUUGACUUUGUAUCGAAAUGUUUAAUCUGUCAGAAAGUAAAAGCCGAGCGUCAGGUACCUUCUGGAUUGCUACAGCUGAUCAUGAUACCUGAAUGGAAAUGAGAUAGAGUCACGAUGGAUUUUGUAUCCGGUUUACCGAUGACAUUGAGCAAGAAAGAUGCAAUCUGGUUUAUUGUGGAUAGAUUGACUAAAUCAUCUCACUUUGUUUCAGUUUGUACAGAUUAUUCACUCGAUAAACUUGCUGAGUUAUAUGUUUCUCAGAUUGUGAGACUACACAGAGUACCUAUUUCUAUUGUGUCUGAUAGAGAUCUGAGGUUUACAUCGCGGUUUUGGAAGAGACUGCAAGAUGCAUUAGGUACUAAACUACAUUUUAGCACUACUUUUCAUCCCCAGAUAGAUGGUCAGUCUGAGCGAAUCAUUCAGAUACUUGAGGAUAUGUUGAGAUGUUGCAUUCUCGAGUUUGAAGGUACGUGGGAACAAUACCUACCUCUGAUUGAAUUUACGUACAAUAAUAGCUUUCAAUCGAGUAUCAAAAUGGCACCUUUCGAGGCUUUGUACAGUCAUAAAUGUCGUACACCAUUGUAUUGGACUGAGCUCAGUGAAAAUAAGAUAUCCAGGGUUGAUUUGGUCAGAGAAACUGAACAGAAAGUGAAAGUGAUUCAUGAAAGUUUAAAAGCAGCAUCAGAUCAUCAGAAAUCAUAUGCGGACUUGAAACGUAAAGAUAUAGAGUUUCAAAUCGGGGAUAGAGUAUUUUUGAAAGUCUCACCAUGGAAGAAAAUACUCAGAUUCAGUCAUAAAGGCAAGUUCAAUUAGAGAUUCAAUGGACCGUAUGAGAUUAUAGAGCGGAUUGGGCCGGUUGCGUAUAGACUAUUGUUGCCACCUGAGCUAGAAAUGAUCCACAAUGUAUUCCAUGUUUCAAUGCUUCGUAGAUAUCGAUCUGAUCCUUCACAUGUGAUUAGUCCAUCUGAGAUUGAGAUCAAGCCCGAUUUAAAGUAUGAAGAAGAACCGAUUCGUAUUCUAGCUCGUGAAAUUAAAGAGUUGCGAAAUAAUAAAAUUUCGUUAGUUAAAGUACUGUGGCAUAAACAUGGAGUUGAGGAAGCAACGUGGGAACCAGAAGAUGUAAAGAGAGAACGCUAUCCAAACCUAUUCACCGUUAAGAUUUUCGGGGACGAAAAUCCGUAAGAGGGGAGAGUUGUAACAACCCAAUUUAGACCCUAAUCAGAAUGGUGGUUUCAGGACCACGAAUUCGAGUCAGAAAAAUAUAUAAAUAUUAUUUUUCAUGUUUAUUAUAUGUGAAUUUGCAUGUGUGAAAGUUUCGUAUGAAAAUUUGAUUGUUUGUGUGCUUAAUUUAAUAAAAGGACUUAAUCGCGUAAAUUAAAAACUUGAUAGUGAAAAGCAUAAGGGCCAAAUUGUUAAUGGCUUUGUAAGUUGAAGCAUUUAAGUGGCAAUUUGACCAUAUUUAGUUAGAUGGACGGUUGUGACCAUGCAUUAAAAUGGUUUUAUAUUUUUUAUCUUAAGGUUAAUUUGGUAAAUUAUGAAUUAAUAAUGUUAUAAUAAAACAUAAAAAUAAAACCACCAUGCAUUUGUUCAUCUUUUUGACUGAAAGUUGUGAAAGAAAGAAAAGAAAAUAAGCUAGGUGAUAUUCAGCCAUUUCUCAAGCUUGAUUCAAGGUUAGUUUGGUUUCGGUUUUUGAUAAUUUUUACGUUUUUGAAAUUGUUACUUCGAAUACUAUCUGACCCAUGCUAGAAUUUUUGAUUUUGAUGAAUGUAUUGAGCUGUGCCAUUGAUGAAUAUUUGUGUUUUGUGAUGUUUGAUGAUGAAAUAUUAAAGAUAUGUUUUAGAUUAACAUGCUUUGUAUUGGAGUUUUUGAUGAUUUUGAGUAAUUAGGACUAAAUUGUAAAAAUAAUAAAUUAAGGGACUAAAAUGUGAAAUAAAUGAAAUGUGAGGACUUGUUUGGGUGUGGGGAGUAUUCAGCUUAAGUAUAGCAUGAGCAAAUUAUGCUUGUUUUGUGUUUUAUGCAAAUAGGACUAAUUUGUAAAAGUAUGAAAUAUUAGGGGUAAAAUGGUAAUUUUUCCAUUUAUGUGUUGUUGGAUUAAAUUGAAUGAAAUUGUUUUGAAAUUUUAUAGAUCAAGAACAAAAGAAAUCGGACUUGGAUCGAGGAAAAACAAAAAUAGUCGAAUAGUCGAUUUACAUCGUUCGUCGAUAUCCGAGGUAAGUCUUUAAGCAAUUAAACAUCGUUAAUUUUGAAUGUAAUUUAGUUUAAUAUGCUGAUUUGGAAUUUAUGGAUUUGUAAUAGAGUUAGCCGAAUGUGAUAAAGUAUUUAAAUAAUGUAUUUGAGUUUAACUCGAUUGAGUUAUAACAUUUGAAAGUCCGUAUGAACUAUAUGGAAUAUCUGAAAUGUUUGAUAUAUGAAUUGUUUAUGAGACAACUUUAUAAUAAUGAUAUUCGGGCUUUGAGCCUAGCAAUCCUUGUGCUGGUGAAUUUAAUCGGGCUUGAUGCCUAGCAGGCUUAUUACCGGUGUAUAAAAUCAGACUUUGAGUCUAGCAGGCCUUGUGCCAGUUGUGAUACAGGCUUAGGCCUAGUAGGUUUUAUGUCGAUGAAAUAUUUUAAGUCUAUACCUAAAAGAUUUUAUGUUGAUGUGAUAAAUGAAUAUGUUGAACGAGCUAAAACGAUCAGGUACGUGAUAGUUGGACUACCUAUUUGAAAACAGGAUGAAUUGAUUUCUUGAUAUGUGAUGAAAAAGAAUUCAUGAAUUUAAUGUAGUACAUGUGCUAACGUGAGAAAUAUAUUUGAUCUUAUAAUUGUACAUGAAGGUAUUGUUAAACUUUGAGUGAUGAGUAUAUGUCUUAAAAUAUAUAUGUAAAUUCGAUUAUAUAAAUCAAUGUGGUUUCGAAAUUUGAGAACAUAUUGGUGCUAUAUACUUGUUUAUUCGGCCAAAAAGAAGUUUCCUUAUGAAAGUAUAUGUUUUAUAUGUGUGGAAUUAAAAGUUUGAAAAUAAAGGUGAUUAAAAAUGCAUAAGUUGAUUUAUUUAAUUGAAAUGAUUAGUAAUUAAAUGUUAUUAUGCUUGAAUUGUUUAAUUUGCUUAAGGAAUACUAAGCUAAGUUAGCUUACUUUGUGUAUAUAUAUAUAUUUGUCUUUGUUUUAUAGAUUUUGGAGAUCGUUACAUGCUUGGGGAUCGUCAGUAAAGUCAAUCGUACUAUCGUUUAUUCUCGAUCCCUUUGAAAGUUUUAAAUUCAAACUUAUGGCAUGUAUAGGCUGAAUGAUGUUUUGUUAUGAUGAACUUUGGCUUUGUAUAAAGCCAUGCGAAAAUGGCUUAUUUAAAUUCUUGAAUUUGGUUUUGGUAUAAUGAUGGUUUGAGUCAAUUUUAGUUAUUAUGCAAUGUGUCAAGGAUGAAUGAUACUUGUGAUAUCUAUUUGAGUGUUGAAGAUGCUUGGUAAAUUUGGAUGUGUGCAUUGGAUUGAUUCGGUUAUGGUAUGGAAGAUUCAUGUUUUGUAUAUAUAUAAAUAUAUCUAUUUGAAGUUAAUGGUUUACUCUUGAGAGAUAUAAAAUGUAAUAUGAGUUGGUUUGAAAAUUAUACAAUGAUGUAUCGUGAAUUCAGAUAUAAGAUAAAGGUAUAUGAGGUGGUUAUGUCUAACUUGUGAUUCGGCAAUUGCUUUUAUAAAUAUUCAUGCUUGAUGAAUUGACUUAAUAUGUAUUUCAACUAAAAGUAUACUAUGUAAUAGGUAGGUAAUAUGUAAGAUUAUUUUCGUUUUAGGCAAAGUUUAGAUGACCAAAUUGACGAUAAAUAGGUUAGUUGUAUAUCCGCAUUUUUGGUAAGUGACAUGAGUGCAUUUCAAAUCUUUACUUGCAAUAUAAAAUGGUUAACAAUAAAUAAAUGAUUGAGUUAAAUUUUAGUUUGUGAAUUAAGCUUGAUAAGUUUCGUUAUUAAUGUUCUAUUAUAGUUCAUGUUUAAUAUGGUUAAAAUAUAUAUAAGGUUUAUUUGUUUAAUGAAACAAAUUUGAUUAUUUGUGAAGAUAUGAAUGCCGUGUAUGCUGAUGAUUAAAUUGUCAUGUGUUAGAUUUUUAUUUGAUUUAAUAUGUACAUGUUUUGAAAUAUGUCUUAAAAUAUUUGAUGUUUAACAGAUAUCUGAAUUUGACUUGCAUUUGUAUAUUGUAAUGAUAGAAUUUCGAUUAAUAUUUGUUUGAAAAUUUGUAUAUACAUAUGAAUAUGACUUGUGUGAGUACUUAGAGUUGUGUUUUUGUCCAGUAAUGCCUCUUGACCCUAAUUCGUCGACGGAUACGGGCUAGGGGUCUUACAAAGUAAAUGGCAAAAAAUAAAAAAAUAAAAAACUGGUUUAAAUAGCAAGGCAAAACAGUGCUGUUUUGCACCUAAAGCCCUAACACCAAAACGGCGUCGUAUAUGCCUUGACCCGCGCGAUCCGACCUGCUCCAAGGGGGUUUUGCGCGUUUUUGAGUUAAGGACUACUUGCGCUCGUAGUCCCUUCGAUUUUGGGUUUGUUAUGUUUGGCCCUUUUAUUAUUUUUAUUUUUUUUAUAGAUUUAAUUGCUUAAUUUUAUUUGGUUUUCGAUUGAGUCCUUGGCUCUCUAAUGCUUUGAAAACGGACAUGCAUCCUUAGAGUUAGGGAAUAAUUACAUAUUUAACCCCUGUUCUUUCGCGCGUGUCUUAUCUUAGGCCUUGCUUCCUUUUUUUUGUUUUUUUUAGAUGUGGCCCUUAAUUUUAAUCUUUUUUUUAGUUCGACCCUUAACCCUAUAACAUUAAACUUUUUUUUUAUAUUUUACUUAUUAUAUUUUUUUCAUUUAUUUAUUUUAAACAGUUUUAUAUGUUAUUUAUUUUAGAUUUUUAUAUAUUAAUUCUUUAAACUGUCUUAUGUAUUAUGUAUUUAAAAUUGCUUUACAAAAUUUUUUUAUUUUAAACUUACUUAUUUUAUUUAUUUUUUAAUGCUUUCAUAUAUCGUUUAUUAACCUUUUAUACAUUAUUUACUUUAGAUAUUUUUAUAUAAAUUAUUUAUUUUAAACUAUUAUAUAUUUUAAAUUUUCAUUUAAACUAUUAUAUAUUUUAAAUUUUCAUGUAUAAUAUUCAAUUCAAACUAUUUUAUAGGUUAUUCAUUUAAAAUUUUUGUAUUACUUAUUUUAAGUUGUUUUAUUAUUAUAUAUUUUAAAUUUUUCUUUUUUUAUACAUUAUUUAUUCGAAACUGUUUAUAUAUUAAUUACUUUAAGUCGUUUCAUUUAUUAUACAUUUUAAACCUUUUUUUAUAUAUUAUUUAUUUAAAACUGUCUUAUUAUUUAUUUUAAAUUAUUUUAUAUUAUUUAUUUCAUUUUUCUUUGAUUAUUAAUGUUGGUUUUCUAAAUAAUGUAUGUUAUCUGAUUAUUACCAUUGUGUGAAUACUGUCAUCAUAUGCUUUAGGAAUUAUUUAUUAAUAUUUUCAUGUUGUUGACAUUCAUUGACAUAGCAUUUAAUUCAUGUAUUAUUAUUUCAUGCUCUAUAUUCCCUUUUAUUUCAUUUUGUUUAAAUCAUAUCGCGUAUUAACCUCAAAUGUAUUUAUCCAAAUAUGGACCAUUUUAUUCCAAACAAAAUAAACGCCCAUUGCUAAGUGUUGCUCUUGUUAUUAUUCAAAAAGGAAAAUCUUCAAAAUAAGAUAAUAUUUCGCGUUUCGGGAAUUCAAGAAAUUGUACCCUAACUUACGGGGUUUCGAUUUUCUUGGUAAACCUAAAAAGCUAAAUAUCCUUUUUAGAUUUCAAAAUACGCAAAGUUCUCAAUAAAAAUUAAAUGCAAACUUAUUCCCGAGGAUUAAAACGUCGCAUCUUAACUUACGGGAUGUGACAUUUUGUUAUAUCGGGAUGAGAGGGCCUUUGAUGCUCAUUUUAACUUAAUUCAAGCAUUUUUCAAAACAAACAUUAAUAAAAAUGGAUUGUAUUUUAAUUCUUUUCAAGUUUGCAACAUUUGACAUUAGGACAUUAAUCAAUCAAUUAGGUACCAAAUUUGGGCAUUACGAGGGUGCUAAUCAUUCUUUGUACGUAACCGACUCCCGAACCCGUUAUCUCAAAUUUCUUAGACCAAAAAAUAUUAUUUUAAUAAAUCAAAACUGUUUAUUAAAAACAACCAUUUUACGAGGUGACUUGAUCACACCUCAUCAAAAAAAGAUUGGUGGCGACUCUAUUUUCGUUUUUUUUAAAAAGUUGACUCUUUUUCGAAAAAUGAUUUCAACCGCUUGGCGACUCCACUGGGGACUUUUGAGAGUCAAGCCAUAAAUUGAUUAAUUAUUGUCUUUUGUCAAAAAAUUGAAAAUCCGUUUUAAACUUACAAUCCUUUCAUUGCAUUUCAUUUUUGGGGUUUUCGUCGUUUUGUAUGAUUGGCUUUUGGUUCGAGUCUUAGUAUAAUUUUGCGCAUCAUAUUGCAUAAUUGGUCAAUUUUACCCUUUUAAGUAGGAGUGAGAAACUAUUCCUUCGUGAGGUCUUCACCUCCGUAUAGGAUAGUAGAUUGCUUUUGGGAUACAUCCGUACUUGCACCUUCGUGAGAUUUUUAUCUCCGUAUAGCCGUAGGGAAAUGUAUUCCCCUGAACUGAACUCGGUCCGUAUGAGCCUAUAAUGGGUGAGGAUCGAGGAAUCUUCUGAUUCAGGUACCUUUACUUUUGAACUAAACCACAUGUAAUGAGCCCUAAGAGCCUAUCCUAGGUAGAACCACGCUAAACCCUAGCGGUUACCCGAAUAGGUGCUUGAUUAUUUCCUAUUUGCUUUGAAUUUUAUUUUUUGUAUAUAAUACUGACUUGUUGUGUUUUUCUGUUAUUGCAUGGCAUUACAUUAUAAAAAGGUGUUGAUUCAAAAAGCUUAGCAUUGAAAAGGGGUUUCUUGAUAGAGUGGAGGAUAAUGCGGUCGUCCGAAUAUGGUCCGAGAGGAUGCAGCAAGAGAAAUGUGAUAGUUUGACCGAGGGAUAUGAAUCAGAGUUGUCAAAUUUCACCCGCAUUAGUGUGACUUAGAAUAACCUACAAGAAUUAAAGAAGAUAUGACACCAAUGGAGUGACGAGAUUAAGCAGCUAUUUUACUAUAACUACGGCGACUUGCCCUAUCUACUCGAUAUAAAGGUGGACAAGCAUUUAUUCCAAGCCCUUGCCCAGUUUUGGAAUCCCGCCUACAGUUGCUUCACUUUUGGGAGAGUUGAUUUGGUACCAACCGUGGAGGAGUACAUGGCCUUACUUCGUUGCCUGAGGAUUAAAGCUGACAAAGCUUAUUCCAGAGCUGCUAACGUCCCUACCUUUGUAAAGAAUUGAUGAAUAUCAUGAGGAUGAGUGAGCAGUGGGUUGCAGCUUGGAUUAAGCAAAAAUGAGACAGUAAAUGUAUUCCUUGGAAGAACUUGAGAGAUCUAAUUCUAGCACAUCCGGAUAUGAAGAAGAGGGUUGACGUUUUCGCUUUGAGCAUCUAAGGUUUGGUCAUCUUUCCCAAGGCAUUAGGAAAUGUAGAUGAAGCAGUCUCAGACCUAUUCGAUCGACUUGAUAAAAAGGUCACACCCAUCCCUGCGAUCUUAGACGAAACUUUCAAAUCAUUGAAUGCUUGCCGGAGAGCAGGUGAGGGGAGGUUCAUAGGAUGUGCGCAGCUUUUGCUAUCAUGGUUUCAUAUCCACUUUUGGAGGGUAGAAAAAGUCUCAUAUCGAGUUUUUUUCGAAACUACUCUCCAUUGAAGGAACUAGUGGCUACGCUAAGGCGAGAUGACUUUUCCAAAGAGAAAUGGAUAGCGAUUCUCUAGAAUGUACAAGUUGAAGACGGCGAAUGGAGGGCGCCAUGGAUGAUCCCUGAUGAGAUCUUGUAUCGGUGUGGUGAAUUUGACUGGGUCCCUCUACUUGGGAUAUGGGGAGCUACUGGAUACGGUCUACUACUUGUGCUAAGAUAGUAUCGAUCAAGGCAGUUCAUACCUAUGACACAAGGGUUGGCUCAGUGCAAGUUUUCAUAUAAGAGCGAUAAUUAUAAGAAGAGAGUUCGUGAGAUAUCGAAUGCGUGGAACCAAACCCGUAGACUGAAGGACUCAGGCGAGACCAAUGACGACCCCCGAGUAUGAUUGGUGGUGGGGUAAAAGAAUCAACGACAAUAUCCCAAUGCCAAGUCAAAAAAAUGCUCGACCAAUAGAGGAGCACUUACGAGUAGUCCCGUUUGAAUUAGAAAUCAUCAAGCAAGAUUUUGAGAAAAGGAGUCAAAAAUUGGGCAAGAAAAUAAAGCAGUUAGAGGAGGAAAAGAUGUGGCUAGGACUAGACAUCGACAUCCAUAAGCUAGAGGCUGAGAAACUAAGGAAAGGAAAGAACAAGGCCAAAGAAGAUUUGGACAGUUGGAAAACGUAUUACAAGAAGUUACGUUUGUCAAAAAGAACUGCUGGUUUGGGCAAGACAUUAGAGCAAUGGCAAUAAGAAAUUAAAAAAGAAAAAACUAGAGCCGAUAGUGGGAGAAGAAGUUUCAAGAUGCUCAAACACGGGAUGGUGCUCUAAAAAGGAGUUUGCUAGAUAGCCAAAGUGAAAAGGAGAAGUUAAGAGCUCGGGCGGCAAAGUUAGAAAAGUAAUUACAUCAACAUCGUAGUCGCAACUCCAUCAUCGAAUUAAGGGCCAGCCUAAACAAGAUUGAGGAGUUGAAAGGAAGGAUAGAAGAGCUCGAGAAUGCACUGCGAAAUGGUAAACUUCGAGUUGAACUUCUUGAAGCAAGUAAUGAACAUUGUAAAGAACAACUCCACCGCUCUUAAGAUCAAAUCAGAGAUAGGGAUUAUGUCAUGGGUGAAGCUGUGGCUCAAGUACGAGAAGUGCUGACCAUCUACAAAACCUGGCGGUUCAGGCUAAUGUACUAAGUGUAAAGUAUGAGUUAGAAUCAGGUCAGGGCCGAGAGUUAGCUUGGCUUCUUAGGAAGGUUAAGGCUUUGGGCAUUAGGGCAAAGUCGUAUAUGUAAUCUAUCUUAUGUAAAGAAAUUUGUUUUCUAGCAAAGUUGUUCUAAUAAAAUUGAAUCAGAAUCAACGUCUCUUUUUGUUUUCAUUUCUUUAAUUUGCAUUACAUUUCAUCAUAUGCAUUAAGUUUCAUAAAAAGACCCUAAUUAAACAAAAUUAUUUCAGUUAAUCUGGAAACCAAAAAGUGUCAACCAGCCGAAUAUCGUUACAAUACCCGUCGCAAAACCAAAGCAAAGUAUCAGAGAUUAGAAAGAUUGGAACAAAUGCAAAGAGAUAUACAAUAGCAAUUGCAAACACAGAUGCAAGAGCAAUUGGCUAGAAUCGAACAAGACAUGAGGGAACAAAUGCAAGAAUCCCAGAAUAAUAUGAUAAGUCAAUUGGCACAGUUGCUGGUUAGAGAACGCGAAAAAGGGAAGGGUAUUGCAGUUAACUCGGGGAACGAUAAUGAAAACCUUGCCUAUCCCUCGGGUUUUGCUCCAGUCAAUUGCCAACCACAACCAGAGGCGUACCCACGGGGGGUACCACUCAUUAUCAAGCCCCAGUAAUAUCAGGCUGGUGCCUCGACACCGAUGAACUUUCCAACAGGCUCGGGCUCCAAUCCAAGGGAUAAUCCAACUAAUCCAGUUGUUUCUAACCUUGAUGAUGUAGCAGAAAUAGAAAAAGUAAGAGUAGAUCUACCAAAACAACUCGAGGACUGUUGCAAAUGGCUUGAAGAGAAAUUCAAAGCAAUGGAGACUGUUGACUACCAUUGCGGGGUUGAUGCCAAAGAUUUGAGCUUGGUCCUAGAUUUGAUCCUCCCACCAAAAUUUAAAACUCUAGAGUUUGAAAAAUACAACGAGACUAGCUGCCCCGAAGCCCACAUCACAUUAUUCUGUCAAAGGAUGACAGGAUACAUUAAUAAUGAUCAGUUAUUAAUUCACUACUUCCAGGAUAGUCUGGUUGGGUCUGCGGCCAAAUGGUACAACCAGCUAAGCCGUACCCAAAUUAAUUCAUGGAAAGACUUGGCACAAGCUUUCAUGAAGCAAUACGGCCACGUAACAGACAUAGCACCUAACCAAAUCACGUUACAAAAUAUGGAAAAGAAACCAAAUGAGAGCUUCAGGUAGUAUGCCUAAAGAUAGAGAGAGAUAGCGAUGCAAAUCCAACCACCUUUCUUAGAGAAGGAAACGACCAUGCUUUUUAUCAAUACUUUGAAGGCUCCAUUCAUUAACCAUAUGCUAGGAAGCGCUGCUAAUAGCUUUUCAAAUAUAGUGAUGUCUAGAGAGAUGAUAAAAAAUGCGCUAAGAUGUGGGAAGAUAGACGUGGGUUAGAGUACCAAGAGAUCAGCCCCGAAAAAGAAGGAAAACGAGAUAAAUAAUGCGAGCACAUACAACAAGGGUUAUUCAAAACCCAUUACUGUAAGCCAGCUAAGGACGGUGACUACUAGCCAUCAAGGCCCUCCAAGGCAAGAAUCCAACCCGAGGCCAAAUAUAGAGAGGCUCCAGUUUACGCAUAUUUCGAUGUCAUAUAGGGAGUUGUAUCAGAUUCUAUUCGAUGCUCAUGUAGUGUUCCCUUUCUACUUGAAGCCUAUGCAACCUCUGUUCCCAAAAUGGUAUGAUGCAAAUGCCCAAUGUGAGUACCAUGCAGGGAUAAUCGGGCACUCGAUCAAGAACUGGACUAUGUUUAAAAAUUUGAUAGAAAGAUUUAUCAAAAUGGGUAUCGUAAAGUUUGACACCUAUCAGGACCCAACGUAGCAAGAAAUCCAUUGCCCGAUCAUGUUAAUAAAGGGAUAAAUGUGAUAGUCGAGAGCGGGGGCAAAAGAAUCAAGGCCAAUGUGGCAGAAGUAAAAACCCCACUGAGUUGGGUUCGGAAAUAAAUGGUCGAUAGAGGUUUGAUCAUACAACAUUCAGGGGAAAGACCUAGAGAGGCGAGAAAAUAUGUGAGUUUCAUGCCGAUGAGGGUCAUGACAUCCAAGAGUGCAAUGAGUUCAGGUCUAUAGUCCAAAAUCUAAUGGACAAUAAAGAGAUGGAAUUUUAUGAGAAAACCAAAGGAUUAGAAGAAUGAGAGGUUUACACCUCAGAGGAGGGAUCAGCAGAAAGGGUCCAAAAAGUUAAUCACCCAGUGGUGAUCAUUUUGCGACCAAGGAACAAUUAAGCAGGAAUACAAAUGGCACCAAGAGUCAUAAUCCAAAAACCUGUAUCCUUUCCCUACAAGGAUAGCAAAAGGGUUCCUUGGAACUAUGACUACAACGUGACAAUCCCGGGAGAGGUGAACCCAACUAAAGCUUCAGAGGAAAGCCAAGAUAUAGGUUUUUAUACACGUAGUGGGAGGCUUUAUGAUCCUGUGGGUACAAGAAUCAGAACUGUAGGAAAGACCCCAAUAGUAGAGCAAAAGAAGGAGAAGACGAUCAGGCUCGAAUCGCCAGUUAACGAGCCAAUAACUGAGAAUGAAGCUAGGGAAUUCCUGAAAUUUUUAAAGCAUAGCGAGUAUAGCAUUGUAGAAUAGCUGCAUAAGCAACCGGCUCACAUCUCAGUGCUAGCUUUACUCUUAAGUUUGGAGACACAUCGUAGCACGCUAAUGAAAGUGUUAAAUGAAACUUAUGUCGCUGACGAUAUCUCUGUAAACAAACUGGACCGUCUAGUCAACAAUAUAAGUGGUAACAACUUCAUCUUCUUCAAUGAUGAUAAGAUACCUCCUGGGGGUAUGGGAUCUACAAAGGCUCUACAUAUCACCACCUGUUGUAAAGGAUAUACAUUUCUGGGUGUGUUAAUUGAUAAUGGAUCGGCAUUGAAUGUCUUGCCCUUAUCCAUGCUGAAUAGGUUGCUUGUGGAUAGCUCUCACAGGAAGACAUGCCAAAACAUAGUAAGGGAAUUUGAUGGCACCGAAAGGAGAGUAAUGGGAAGAAUUGAGAUACCCCUUCUGAUUGGCUCGAACAUGUACAAGGUGGACUUCUUGGUAAUAGACAUUAAGCCCUCUUACAAUUGCUUGUUGAGGAGGCAUUGGAUUCACUCAGCGGGAGCAGUACCGUCGUCAUUACACCAAAAGUUAAAGUUGGUAACUGAGGGUAGACUGGUAACGAUAAACGCGGAGGAAGAUAUUAUUGCAUCCGUUACCAGCGACGCACCAUACAUAGGGACGGACGACGAGGCGUUAGAAUGUUCAUUUUGAUUGUUAGAAUUUGUCAAUGCAACAUUCAUUAUCGAAGGGAAUAGGAUCCCAAUGCCCAAAAUAUCCAAUACUACAAGAAUAGGCCUGGGAUUGAUGAUUGGAAAGGGAGCCUUACCGGGAAGAGAACUCGGAAGAUAUCUCCAAGGAAGGGUCGAGGCAUCGAUGUUGAAAGGUAAACGAGACUGCUUUGGCUUAGGAUUUAAGCCAGAUGCAAGGCAAAAGAAAAAAGGAGCAAGAGAAGAAACAAGAAAGGAGAAGAGCACAUUUAAGCGGGGGAGAGGUCAAAUGGGAGCCAAUGACCUUUCCUCAUAGAUCUAGAAUGUUUGUGUCAGGAGGAACAAUCUACCCCGAAUAGAAGAUGACAAGAAAAGGUGUGUGCUGAAGAAAUGUUAGAAAAUUUGAGCAUUAAUGCCAUAUCCGAGGAAGGAACAGGAGAAGGAAAUAUAUCAGGCAUUUGCCCAUACGUGCCGAUGAGCGUUUUGAACAAUUGGACCAAGGAGCAGAUCCCUAUAACUUUUAAAAUUAAUUCAGAGUAAUGUCCAAAACAAGCUUAUUGCUCUUAGCCUAGGGCAAUAAGAGUCCUUUUGUGAAAUAGGCUCUUGUCCAGUAUCGUUAUUUUAACAAAAAUGCAUUUUUGCGUAUCAUCUUGAGCAUAUAUCCUUUUAUUCUUUCUAUUUCAUUCAUAAUCAUACCACACAAAUAAAUAUUCUUAGAAUUUUUUGUUCUUUGGAUUUUUUUCAUCCUUAUAACAGGUUUCCAGAUAUUAAUGGUAUGAGAAACGUAGCUACUAACUCAGAGUCUCCUUUUGAGCAAGAUAUGUGUAUGAAAGAUUCUCAGGAUUUUGAAGAUGACCAAAACUGUAACCUAUCUCCUGAUUUGUUAAGGAUGGUAGAGCAAGAUGAGAAACAAAUCCUGCCUCACAAGGAGUCAGUGGGAAUUGUGAGCUUAGGAGAGGAAAAAGAGGUGAAGAUUGGAGCUUGUAUCGUUGCAGAGACAAAAUGAGACCUUAUUGAGUUACUUCGAGAAUUCAAGGAUGUCUUUGCAUGGUCAUAUCAGGACAUGCCCGGGUUGAAUACUGACAUCGUGGUACACCGACUCCCUAUAAAAGAAGAGUGCAAGCCAGUUCAAUAGAAACUCCGAAGGAUGAGACUCAAUAUUCUGUUGAAGAUAAAAGAAAAGGUCAAAAAGUAAUUCGAUGCCAGUUUCUUACAAGUGGUUAAAUACUCAAAAUGGGUAGCCAAUAUAGUCCUUGUUCCUAAGAAAGAUGAGAAAGUGUGAAUGUUCAUGAACUACAGGGAUUUGAACAAGGCCAGCCCAAAAGACAAUUUCCCGUUGCCUCACAACGAUACUUUAGUGGAUAACACAAUAGGUUACUUGCUUUUCUCCUUCAUGGACGGCUUCUCGGGAUACAACCAGAUAAAAAUGCAUCCUGAACACAUGGAAAAGACCACAUUCGUAACCAUGUGAGGAACUUUUUGUUAUAAGGUGAUGCCAUUUGGACUAAAAAACGCAGGAGCGACAUACCAGAAAGCCAUGGUAACUCUAUUCCAUGAUAUGAUGCACAAGGAGAUCGAAGUUUACGUCGACGAUAUGAUUACAAAAUCUAAAAUAGAAAAAAAAGCAUGUGCAAAUCCUGAGGAAACUAUUCUUAAGGUUAAGAAAGUUCCAGCUAAAGCUCAAUCCCGCAAAAUGUACGUUCGAGGCUAGGUUAGGAAAGCUGUUAGGAUUCGUAGUCAGUGAAAAGGGGAUAGAGAUUGACCCAGACAAAGUCAAGGCUAUACAAGAAUUGCCUCCACCUCGCACUAAAAAAGAAGUUCGAGGUUUCCUAGCAAGACUAAAUUACAUCACCCGGUUCAUUUCACAACUAACAAAGAAAUGCGACCCCAUAUUCCGUCUCCUUAGGAAACACAACCCAGGUGUAUGGGAUGAGGAGUGCCAGAAAACUUUUGAUAAUGUCAAACAUUACUUGUCCAAUGCCCUAGUACUAAUGCCACUUUGCUCAGAUAAGCCGUUGAUACUAUACUUGGCAGUAUUUGAAAAUUCCAUGAGAUGCGUGCUAGGCCAACAUGAUGAGUCGGGAAGAAAAGAAAAAGUGAUAUACUAUCUCAGUAAGAAGUUCACUGAAUGUAAGACAAGGUAUUCGCCAAUUGAGAAGUUGUGUUGCGCCUUGAUUUGGACACUUAGAGACUAAGACAGUACAUGUUGUACCACACAACUUGGCUCAUCUCAAAACUAGUCCCUCUGAAGUACAUGAUGGAGUCGACUGCUUUGAAUGGAAGAAUGGCUCGAUGGAAAAUUUUACUUUCUGAAUUUGACAUAGUCUACGUGAACCAGAAAGCUGUAAAAGGGAGUGCAAUAGUGGAUUUUCUAGCCAGUAGAGCUCUAGAAGAUUACGAGCCUUUGAAUUUUAAUUUCCCAAAUGAAGAUCUGAUGUAUAUUGCAACCACUGAAGAUGUUGCUCAAGAGGAACAUCCUUAGAAACUAAACUUCGAUGGGGCCUCUAAUGCUGUGGGAAACGGAAUCGGGGCAGUCUUGGUAGCCCCAAAUAGAGAUCAUUAUCCCUUUACUAGUAAAUUUGAUUUUGAUUGCAUAAAUAACAUGGUGGAGUACGAAGCAUGCAUCAUGGGUAUCCGUGCAGCCAUUGAACAUAAAAUCAAGGUGUUAGAAGUAUAUAGGGAUUUUGCACUAGUAAUCUAUUAGCUCAAGGGCGAAUGGGAAACAAGAGACCCCAAAUUGAUUAGUUACCAGCUAGUUUUAGAGUUAAUUGAGGAGUAUGACUACAUCACUUUCUGUUAUCUCCCACAAGAUGAGAACUAGAUGACCGAUGCCUUUGCUACUUUAGCUUCUAUGAUCAGAGUAAACAAGCAAAAAGAUGUGAAGCCUAUCCGAAUGAGUAUUUAUGAGGCUUUGGCUUAUUGCUACAAUAUUGACGAAGAAGAAAAAUAAAGAUGAUCACUCUUGGUAUCACGAUAUAUUGCGAUAUGUGAGGAAUCGUGAAUACCAAACCAAGCAACUGAGAAUGAUAAAAGGACAUUGAGAAGGCUGGCCAGUGACUAUGUCCUAGACGAAGAAAUCUUAUAUAAAAGAAAGAAGGAUCAAGUGCUGUUAAGAUGUGUGGAUGCUGUUGAGGCUAAGCAAAUCUUGGAAGAGGUCCAUGAGGGUGCCUGUGGAACACAUGAUAAUGGUUUUACAAUGGCCAAAAAAAUUAUGAGAUUCAGAUAUUAUUGGUCUACUAUGGAAGGGGAUUGCAUCAGCUAUGCCAAGAAGUGCCAUAAAUACCAAAUUUAUGGAGAUAAAAUUCAUGUACCUCUUUCACCACUUCAUGUCAUGAAUUUACCAUGGCCUUUCUCUAUAUGGGGCAUGGAUGUUAUUGGGCCAAUCUCACCGAAAGCGUCUAAUGGGCAUUGAUUCAUCUUCGUAGUUAUUGAUUACUUUACCAAGUGGGUAGAAACCACCUCUUAUGCCAAUGUCACAAAAUCGACAGUCAGAAAAUUCUUAAAAAAGGAGAUCAUAUGUCGAUAUGGAAUGCCCGAAAGGAUCAUAUCUGACAACGCAUUGAACUUGAAAAAUAGCACAAUAGCAGAGGUCUGUAGCCAAUUCAAGAUCAAACACCAUAACUCGUCACCAUAUCGCCCAAAAUUGAAUGGUGCGGUGGAAGCGACCAAUAAGAAUAUCAAGAAGAUCGUGGCGAAAAUGACUGAGACUUAUAAAGAUUGGUAUGAGAAGUUACCAUUUGCCCUUUAUGCUUAUCGAACGUCUGUUAGGACCUCCACCGGGAUAAUGCUUUUCUCUUUGGUUUAUGGAAUAGAGGUGGUUCAGCCGAUUGAGGUUGAGAUUCCCUCUCUACGAGUUCUGUCAGAACUAAAGUUAGAUGAAGCAGAAUGAAUCUAGUCUCGAUAAGAAAAGAGGCUAAAAGUUAUCCGUCAUGGUCAAAUGUACCAAAAGCGAAUGAUGCGGGCUUAUAACAAGAAGGUUCACCCUAGGGAAUUCCAUGAAGGGGACCUAGUUUUGAAAAAGAUCCUCCCCAUAUAAAAGGACUUCAGAGGAAAAUGGAUGCCAAAUUGGGAGGGACCAUAUGUGGUGAAGAAGGCCUUCUCUGGAGGAGCUUUGAUUUUGACCGAGAUGGAUGGAAAAAGUCUGCCUAAUCCCUUGAAUUCAGAUUCGGUCAAGAGGUAUUUUACCUAAAAAAAAGAAGAGGAGAGGCCAAUGUAAAAACCCGCAAAAGGGCACUUUGAGACCAAAGGGGUUUUGAGUUGAAAACCCAAGAAUGAGCAAUUCAAAUUUUGAUCAAAGAUGGGGCAUGCGAUAGUCUUGUCUUUUAUUAAUUAACAAGAAGGAGGGAUGCUACAUCUUGGGGCAUCAACAAAGUACUCUAGGUCUUCUAAACACAUAUCAAGUUCAAAGGGUCCUCAAGAAGUUUUGUGCAAAGAAGCUCAUGCUACGAUAUCUGAGGCACCUAUUUUCAUUUUUUUCAUUUUGUAUUUUAGCAAAAUUUACUAUCUUGAUCAAAUUAUUCAUUCUAAGCUUCGUUCUCAAUAAGAUUCUUUUGGUCUAUUGCGAUAAUCUUUUUCAAGUGUUUUUCGUGGAAAUAACGAUUAGUGGACUAAUAAUAUUCAAAGGAAAAGGAGUUUUGCAUAUUACUCUAAAAUGCUUCUAAAUAAUACAAGAACCUAAAACGGGACCACUAGUUAGAACCAACUAAAUUCGAGAGUUGAAAAUGUUGGGGAAAGAAUGAUCCAAAUUAAGAUUAUCCUUCAGGUUCUUUGCCAGAGAUACCAGCUGAAGAAAAAGGAUAGAUAAUACGUUAAUGAUAAAACCUCGAUGAACAAUGAGCAAUGCCAACACAAGCAUUAAAAGAAGAUCAUGCUAAAAAUGACAUUUUUUCUUUGUAUUCAUGAAAACAUCAUUCAUAUACAUCUAGUUAUGAGCAUUUGAUUCACCCUGAUCAUAACAUCCUAGUCACUUGGCAUAAAGAUAGGCCUAUGAAAUCAAUUUUAAAGGUCAUGUUCCCCGAAGAACGGUGCAACAGAUCAGUGAAACCACAAGUUCUAUACCCCCGAAGUUACAAUGGGACGAAUUUAAGUCAUCAUGGUGAAUCUUAUCUCUCUAAAGUUGCAGUGAAGCAGAUUAAAACCACAAACCUUAUCUCCCUGAAGUUGCAGUGGAGCAGGUUGAAGUCACGAAUCUCAUUUCCUUGAAGUUGCAGUGGAGCAGAUUGAAGUUACAAGUUUUAUGUCCCUGAAGUUGUAGUGGAGCAAACUGAAGAUAGAAAAUCAUAUCCCUUUUGAAGUUGCAGUGGAGCGGAUUAAAGCUAUAAAUCCUAUACCUUUGAAGCUGCAGUAGGUCGGAUCAAAUCCAUCAUGGUAAAUCUUAUCUCCUUAAAGUUGCAGUGGAGUAGAUUGAAGACACAAACAUUAUCUCCCUAAAGUUGCAGUGGAGCAGGUUGAAGUUAUGAGUAUUAUCUCCCUGAAGUUAUAGUGGAAUAAACUAAAGCUACAGAUUACAAAUAUUAUCUUGCUGAAGUCAUAGUGGAGUGGAUCAAAGCAACAAUUCCUAUACCUCUGAAGAUGCAAUGGGAUGGAAUGAGGCUACUCGAAGAAGAGAAAUACUAGAAAAGUCAAGAUUCGAUAAGACUAGGCAAAACUGGCCUUUUUCGAAGUCUUUUCUCCAUUCACGUUACAUGUCAACGAGCAAAGAGGGGCAGUUGUAAUAGGCCAAUUUUGACCUGUCCUAGUUAAUAAAUAAAACCCAAACAAAUAAAUAAUAAAAGUCUAAAAUUUGCAGUCCAUUUUUACAAACAUCAUGGCCCAAUUUACAACAUGCAUAGCCCAAAUAAAAAAAAACUACCCAAACCCAAUUACAAAGCCCAAAACAAAUCAACCCUAGCCCACUUAAAACAUUUCAGCAAAAAAGUAAACCCUAGCCACAUGCCUUCAGCCGCCGCUCCUCCCACACGUUACCCUAGGCCGCUGCACGCACGUCUGUCACCACCCUUCCGCACAUCUGAUGUCUUUGACAACCACCUGCAACACGCAAGCGAAAGAAUCCAAGCAGAAGAACCAAACAGAAACAACAAAAAAAAAAAUGGAAGCAAACAGUUUAUGACUUGGCUAUAAAAGUUGAAAUAAGUCCCUUGUAAUUUAUUUUUACGCAUACUAGAAAUAAAAAAGUAGAAUAGAAGUUUCAAAAAUGUGUUAUUUUGAUCUUAUUCUUUUUGUUUUGAUUCAUUUUUCUAGUUUUCUUUUAUUUAUUCUUAACACGAAUCUAUUUUUAAACUAAAAAAACAAGGCAAAGAUUUCCAAAGGUGACCCUUUUUUUUUAAAUCUGAAAAUUUUCUACCUUUUUUUUUAUUCUCAUUAUUUCUCAUGAAAAAAUAAAGAGAAAAGAAAGGAAGGAUUUACCUGGGCCGUUCCACGCUCUGCUCGCCAAAAGCUCCCUCUCUGGCAUCGAAAUUGUCCGAGGGAGAGGGCUACAAUGGCCUUUCUUUAGGUUUUCUGGUUAGGAAGCCUUUGCCUUCGGUUUCAUUUUCUUGAAAAAGGUUAAAAAUGCCGAAUUUAAGGGUAGCUCUGACCAUCGUCCAUGGCGGGGAGCGGCGGUCCGACGACGUGAGAUGAUGGGUUUUAUAAACCCUAGUAGAGAAAAUAAAUGAGAAGGGGGCUGCUCUCCGAUUUUUUUAAAAGAAAAGGAAGCAAAUGGCAAAAAGAAAAAACUGGUUUAAAUAGCAAGGCAAAAUAGUGCCGUUUUGUACCAGAAGCCCCAGUACCAAAACGGCAUCGUAUAGGCCUUGACCCGCGCUAUCUGACCCACUCUAAGGGGGAUCUGCGCAUUUCUGAGUUGAGGACUAUUUGCGCCCAUAGUCCCUUCGGUUUUGGGUUUAUUAUUUUAGGCCCUUUUAUUAUUUUUUUUAUAGAUUUAACAACUUAAUUUUAUUUGGUUUUCGAUUGAGUCCUUGGCUCUCUGAUGCUUUGAAAAUAGACAUGCAUCCUUGGAGUUGGGGAAUAAUUUCAUAUUUAACCCUUGUUCUUUUGCGCGUGUCUUAUCUUAGGCCUUGCUUCCUGUUUUUGUUUUUUUUAGAUGUGGCCCUUAAUUUUAAUCUCUUUUUUAAUUCUACCCUUAACCCUAUAAAAUUAAACUGUUUUUUAUAUUUUACUUAUUAUAUUUUUUUUCAUUUAUUUAUUUUAAACAGUUUUAUAUGUUAUUUAUUUUAGAUUUUUAUAUAUUAAUUCUUUAAACUGUCUUAUGUAUUAUGUAUUUAAAAUUGCUUUACAAAAUUUUUUUAUUUUAAAUUUACUUAUUUUAUUUAUUUUUUAAUGCUUUCAUAUAUCGUUUAUUAACCUUUUCUACAUUAUUUACUUUAGAUAUUUUUAUAUAAAUUAUUUAUUUUAAACUAUUAUAUAUUUUAAAUUUUCAUGUAUAAUAUUCAGUUCAAACUAUUUUAUAGGUUAUUCAUUUUAAAAUUUUUGUAUUACUUAUUUUAAGAUGUUUUAUUAUUAUAUAUUUUAAGUUUUUCUUUUUUUAUACAUUAUUUAUUUGAAAUUGUUUUUAUAUUAGUUACUUUAAGUCGUUUUAUUUAUUAUCCAUUUUAAACCCUUUUUUUAUAUAUUAUUUAUUUAAAAUUGUCUUAUUAUUUAUUUUAAAUUGUUUUAUAUUAUUUAUUUCAUUUUUCUUUAAUUAUUAAUGUUGGUUUUCUAAAUGAUGUAUGUUAUGUGAUUAUUGCCAUUGUGUGAACACUGUCAUUAUAUGCUUUAGGAAUUAUUUAUUAAUAUUUUCAUGUUGUUGACAUUCAUUGACAUAGCAUUUAAUUCAUGUAUUAUUAUUUCAUGCUCUAUAUUCCCUUUUAUUUCAUUUCGUUUAAAUCAUAUCUUGCAUUAACCUCAAAUCUAUUUAUCCAAAUAUGGACCGUUUUAUUCCGAACAAAAUAAACGCCCAUUACUAAGUGUUGCCCUCGUUAUUAUUCAAAAAUGAAAAUCUUCAAAAUAGGGUAAUAUUUCGCGUUUCGGGAAUUUAAGAAAUCGUACCCUAACUUACGGGGUUUCGAUUUUCUUGUUAAACCUAAAUAGGUAAAUAUCCCUUUUAGAUUUCAAAAUACGCAAAGUUCUUGAUAAAAAUUAAAGGCAAACUUAUUCCCGAUGAUUCAAACGUCGCAUCUUAACUUACGGGAUGUGACAUUUUGUUAUAUCGAGAUGAGAGGGCCUUUGAUGCUCAUUUCAACUUAAUUCAAGUAUUUUUCAAAACAAACAUUAAUAAAAAUGGAUCGUAUUUUAAUUCUUUUCAAGUUUGCAACAUUUGACAUUAGGACAUUAAUCAAUCAAUUAGGUACCAAUUUUGGGCGUUACGAGGGUGCAAAUCCUUCUUCGUACGUAACUGACUUCCGAACCCGCUUUCUCGAAUUUCGUAGACCAAAAAGCAUUGUUUUACUAAAUCAAAACUGUUUAUUAAAAACAACCAUUUUACGAGGUGACCCGAUCACACCUAAUCAAAAAAAAUUGACGGCGACUCUAUUUUCGUUUUUUUUAAAAGUUGACCCUUUUUCAAAAAACGGUUUCGAUAGCAUCAUCUAUGAUGUAAAUUGCCCAUUCUAGAGGCUCUUCACACCCCUUAUGGUGUGAACCACAUUCAUUGUAUUAUUCAACAUUUUGCAUAACAUUAAAUGUUUUAACAAUAAUAUUAAUAAAUCAAAAGCUAGAAAUGCUCAAUUUGAGGUCUAACCUUUUGGGUAGCUCGUAUAAGGAUCAAAUAUUUCAAAAUUGUCAUAUAAGGCCUAACCUUUACAAAAGUGUUCAAAAGAAGGCUCAACUUUUCAAAAUGUUCAAAUAAUGGCCGAACCUUUUCGAAAGUGCUUAAAUAAUAGCUAAACCAUUUCAAAACUACAAAAAUAAUGACUUCUUAGAUAUCGUAUAUUGGGUUUCAAAUUAUGUUAAUAUUAUUUUCUUUUCUUUUCAAAUAAUAUUUGAUUUAGUUUUUAUUUAUUUUAUUCUAAAAUGUUAUCAUUCAACUAAUUUUUGCUAUGAACUUGACUGAAGAGUAUGAAAAACUCUUAUUUAAAUACGUAUAUAAAAGUAAGGCUCAUGUGAUAAUUUUGAAAGGUAAAAUCAUUAAAUAAGCAAUCCAUAAAAAGUUGAAUCCUAAUUUAAUUGUUUAAGGGUGUUAUUAUAUAUAUUUAAUAAAAUGAUAGAGGAUAAUUUAAAUUUGUAUAGGGUGAAUAAAAUAAAUAUACAUCUAUAAUAUUAAAACAAAAUGUAAAAUAACAUAAUUCAGUCCUAGUUAAGGAGCAAAGAAGUUGGGGGCAUGAUUUUCAGUUCAGAUUGGGGUGAAUGAAUGAAUUGAAUUGAAACGAAAUGAAAUGAAAGUAAACAAAAAUUGAAGCAGGCGAGGGUUUCCCACAAAUGAAGUAGGGGGUGAUUUGGCACAAGCCUUGUGGUUGUGGCCAUAUUAAUUAAUUAUGAAACAGAUGAAUAUCGUACCAUUAAUCGCUGGCCUUACGCGUCAGCCCUUGGCAUUAUUUUUCAAAGUGUAAAUGCAUGGGACGUCCUACAACUAAAGGACAAUAAUUUUGUCAUUUUCUGAUUACGUGUUUUCUGUAGAUUGAUAUUACACAACAACUGCCGACUAUGUCACUCAUUAUCUUGCCAACUCCUAGGCCUACGAUGAAUUCAGAAGCACAACCCUGUAAAAUGUGGGUUUUCCAAAACCCACUUAAAAAAAUUCAUUAUUUAUGAAAAUAAUAUAGAUAUAAAAUUUUUUAUGAAAAUGAAUUGUUUUUUUUAUAGUAUAUGUUAGUGUUGGUUAUCUCAUCAUCAGCACCAUCUUCCAUCAUCCAUUAAUCAUUGUCCGAUGAUUGCCUGGUCAAUAAAAAGCCACAAUAUUGAAUAAGUCAAUGAUGAUCACUUUAAGAACAAGAAGCAGGCAGUAGAGAGUGUCCUGUGAUGAUAGCAGGAAGCAAAGGAAGAAGAGGAAGAAGACAUUGGCAGUGGAGGACAUGCAGUUAGCGGCAACAAAUAUGACAACGCCGUAGUCUUCUGUCAAUGAUAAAACGUCUGUCUUUUUUUAAAAAACAAUCACCGGUCCUAGUAACUAGAGCACACAGGAAAAAAAAAUCAAAACCACACCGAUGCCGACAAUGAGAACGUCAAUACCAACACUGAAAAACUUUUUUUUUUUAAUUUGAACCGGUGUUGGCAACAUGAACACCGACAUGUAUUAAAAUAUUAUUAUUAGUUUUUGAUCUUGGAAUACAGUAUUUUUUAAGUGUAUAUGAAAAAUGAAACAUAUUGGUGUCGACAAACAUAGUGCCAUCACAAAAAAAUUUAUUUUUUAUUUGACCGGACAAUCAUCGGGCAAUGAUUAAGAGAUCAUAGAGGGUAGUGUCAACGGUAAGGUGGCUGGCACCAUCAUGCACUAUAGAAUCAGGUCAUUUCCAUCAAAUAUUUUGCACCUAGGUCAUUUCCAUAAAUAAUUUAUUUUUUGGAUCAAUUUUGAAAAAAAAAAGCACCAGAUUUUAGUUUAGUUAAUUCAUUGGAUCACGCUUAAAAUUAAAAAAAAAUCUUUUUAUUAAGAGUAAAAUUGAAUUAAUAAAUUAAUUCUUAUGUAUUGGAUUAAAAAGUAAAUUAGUUCUUUCUAUUAAAAAUUUUCCAUUUCUAUUGAUAAAAACUGAUUUGAUUGAUAGAAUAAUUAGAAAAUUACAUAUGGUAUGUCACGUGUACCUCUAAUAUAAAAAGACUAAUUUACUUUUUUUAAGUAAAAAGAGAAAAAUGUAAUCUACUCUUAAAAUAAGAGCCUUUAUCAUACUUUUACCAUUUAAAAUAUUAUAUUUGUAGUGAUUUUAUCAGCUUCUUUACCCAACUAACCAAAAAAAAAAUUUAUUUGCGACAUUGACCCAGGUUGAAAAUCUAUAACGAAAAUGACUUGAAAUCUACAGUGUCGGGCAGUGUCGACACUCUGAUGGCCGUCAUCAAUGUCAAUCAUCGUAUAAUGAUUGCUUGUUGAUUGAGUUAGGGUUUAAAAAAUAAUUUUUUUGUUGCCGGCACUACAAUGACUGACACCUGUAUGUAUUUUUGUGUACUUUUUUGAAAAAAUGGGUAUUUUCCGGUUCAAAAGUUUUUUUAUUAGCUGUCAGCUUCUAGGUGGUUGGCAUCGGGAAAAAAUCAAAUUUUAUUUUUCGGUAUUUUUUGGUGCUGACACCCGUGUUGGAUUAAUUUUUUUUUAGUACCAGCCUUCUCUCCACCAGCACCGGUGUGGUUUUUUGGCAUGCUCUGGUUGCAAUGACCAGUGACCAUUUGGUUCUUUUUAAAGCUUUGGCAAUGUGACUCCUAAGCCUUCAAUUGUAUGAGAAGAGAGAUUUGAAGAAAAUAACAUAAUACCAGGAGAGAAGAAGCACUGAAUAUUUGAGAAGAAAAAGAAAAAGAUUUUGAGUUCAAUUUACUGAUUACAGUACUUAGUAGGCAAAGGAAACAAGAGAAGAAAAUGAAAAAAAAUGAAGAGUUGUAUUAAAAAAAAGAAGAGUGAAAGAGAAGAAGGCAAGACAAAUUUAAAUUAGACAUCUAUGGUUUCAACGGGAAAAACAGUUGUAUAUGAAUUUGCAUUAAUAAAUUUAAUUAAUUGUUUUUUAUGGUUUCAAGGCAAGAAAAAAUUUAAUGCAAUUUUAUUGUUUCAAUAGGAAAAAAAGUUGUAGAUGGAAAAAGAAUUCCCCCCCACUCUUCAUUAUCACCUUUCUUAGAGUGCGUUAAUUAACUUUUAAUCAUGUGCAACUUUUCCGACUAAAUUACCUAAAAAGGCUCAUUUCCAACUAUAUUUACGGAAAUGGACUGAAUAUACAAUUAAGUAUCGAAAAUGGCCACUUUUUGCAAUAUGCACCUACGUGGCUACGUUUAAAGGGGAAAUUGCCAGCAAAGCGCGCCCUUGGGAAAACGUCAACGCGCUUUGCUGACGUGGCAAAAAAAGCUCCCCUAGGGGUGCGCAUUGCUGGCAAAUUUUCAAUCCCAAUGGCUAAUUUUUUUGAUCGUUGGGGGGUCCAACGGUAAAAAGAAAAAGUAUAAAAUCCCCCUCCUAUUAUUUCACACAUAAGUUCUUACAAUUUAGCAAAAAAUCUCUACAAUUUCUCCAUAAAGUUCUCUAAUUUCUCAUUAAAUUUCUCAAAGCUCUUUAUAAUUAGUUAUUUACUUUAAUUUUUCUAAAUUAGUAUUAUUUUUUUAUAAUUUCAAAAAUAUUUGAUCGUGUUAGCAAUGGCUUGGGGAUUAAUUCGUCUGAAUCAUAAACAUAUCUCCGUCGAACAAAUGAAAAUGAUAAUGGUUUGUUUUAAAUUUUAAAUAUUAUUUAAUAUUUUUUCAUUUAUUUUAAAUUUCAAAUAUUAUUUAAUAUUUUUUGCAUUUAUGUAAUUUUAAUUAAUUUGCAUUUUAUAAUUUUUUAUAACAGUCUGUAGAUCGGGUGUUAUAAUGUUAUAUUCGUAAUAUGGCUGGUCCGUCAUCACCGUUGAUAGAAAAUUACUUGAGGGAAGCGGGCUUUUGGCACACGACGACUAUAGGCCGGGGGUGCAAGUUAGACUCGAAACUCAUUAACGCAUUAAUAGAGAGGUGGAGACUGGAGACACAUACAUUCCAUCUUCCAUACGGAGAGUGUACUAUUAAAUUGGAGGACGUCUAGUUACAAUUAGGAUUGCCAGUGGAUGGGGUCGCACUCACCAGGUCCGUUCAAUCUGCUGAUUGGGGUGCCAUAUACUACAAUCUUUUGGGUGCGAUUUCGGAUAAUAUUUACGGAGGUUGGAUCGAGAUGGGCUGGUUACAAGACACAUUCUUGGAGCCAGGGAAUGAUUCGACUGAAGUAUAAAGAAGACGAUAUGCACAGGCAUACAUCCUUGAGAUGAUUGGAGGUUAUCUGAUGCUGGACUUGUCACGAAACCUCGUACAUCUGAGGUGGCUGCUGAAGCUUGUUGAUUUUAGAGCAACUGGCAAAAUUAGUUGGGGGUCUACCAUGUUGGCAACAUUGUACCAGGAGAUGUGCGGGACGACGCCACCAAAUAUAACCAAAAUUGGAGGUUGCCUAUCACUACUACAAUCAUGGGCUCGGUUUUGCGUUCCAUUUUUACAUCCUCGAGUGAACCACCCAUAUACAUUCCCACUCAUUACAAGGUAAAAUUUUUAUUUGAUUUUACAAUUAUUCAAUAGAUUUAAAAUAAAAUUGUAUGCUGAAAAUUUAUUUAAUUAGGUGGAACCAUUCGAUGAGUUAUGUUGGAAUACCUACCGCUCUUAAAGAUAUACGGCUUCUAUUAGACCAAUGGUCGGAAGCGUAACUAAGUAUUAAAUAAAAUAUAUAUACAUAAAAUAGUCGUUUCAUAUUUAGUAUUUAGUAUUUAGUAUUAUGUAUAUAACUAAUAUUUUUAUCCCGUUCAUAUAGUUUCAAUGGACACCAUACGAGGAUUCGGCAAUACAGGCUGUAAUUCCGAAAGAAUUCUUUUAAAGUCUAAACAUUUGGCAUGUUAAGGUCUCAUUGGUAAACUAUGCUACUGUCGAGAUGCAUCUGACAGAUAGAGUGCUGUAAUAAUUUGGAUUCCGACAAUUGAUUCUUGAGGAACCUGAGGUGCUCGAUGACCAGCACAUAAUCGACUUAUGGAAAAUGAAUACGAAUUGGCCAGUAUUCUGGUCAGAAUAUAUCAAAAUUUGGGAAAACAAGUAUUAUCAUAUACCUGAUCGCGAAUCGAUCAUCGUCCCAGAGUUAGCGGGCACCCCGAAUUACAUGCCAUGGUUUAGGAUCCAUGUCAAGCUAUAUUUGCUUUCAGAAGAGCAGAGGCGUCGACAAAUCUGUGUGGAAAGGGAACGAUGGGGCCUUUUAAAUCCAAGGAGAAGGGAUGAAGCACCCACACAAUCAUCAGGCCCAUCAAUAACACCCACACAAUCACCAGCCCAAUGCUUCAACCGAUGACACCCACAUCACAACCUUUUCAGAUUAUACCAAGUGCGUAUCCUAGCCUUUAUAUGUAUCCUAACCCUUAUAUGUUUCCUUUUCCUAGUCCUAUGCCAGGUUGGAAUGCAUGGUCCGGUGCAUCUCCUUUCUUGAUGACUCCAACUCAACCGAUGAUAUAUAGGCCAUCGUCACUUCAGGGAUCACACGAGGCACAGUCGGCGAGCUUAUCUCAUUACCAUUUCCCAUCGCCUUUUAGGAUUCAAACACCUCCGUCGCGGGUGAUGAAAACACCUCCACAUUUUUUUAUUCUACCAAUGUGAGUAAUCCUCCCAACACCCACAACCUGAACAACCACAACCCCCGCCGAAGCAACUAAGGAGGAAUCUGGUGCUUAAUCAUCGUCGACCACCAUGUGGUAGUGAUUUCAACCAACAUAUACAUUAAUUUUUUAAUAUAUUUAUAGAAGUUGUUUCUAUAUUGUUUCAUUUAAUAAAAAAUAAGUUGUUUUAAAUAUUUUAAUAGUAAAUUAAUUUUAUAUUUUGAAUAAAAUAAGUUCUUUUGAAUAAGGCUGAAUAGAAAUAAUACAACAUCGUUUCAUAACAACAAUUAUCAACUAUUUCGGUUUGGAAAUGAUUGAAUUGUAUGACCUGGGUUCCUACACCAUCCACACAAUUUCUAUUGGUUUUUCUGUGACAGCCCUAAAUUGACCCUAGUCAGAAAGUGGUUUCGGGACCGCUAAACCGAGUCACCGAAGUAUUUGAGUAUAAUAUUUAUUGUCUAAAAUAUGUGAAUAUGAGUGUGUGAAAGUUUUGAGCUUCGAUUUGGUCAAUUGCAUGUGAAUUUAGUUAAUAGAACUUAUGUGUGACACUUUUGAAAUGUGAUGGGUUAAUCUAUAAGGAUCUAUUAGUGCAUGUUAUGAAAAUAAUGGGUUUGCAUGUCAAAUUUCCACCUAUGACAAGUAGUGGCCGGCCAUGCUAUGGGUUAAAAUGUAUUAUAAACAUUUUAUGUUAGUGUUUUAUGUUAGAAAUAAUAAAAUAAAGAACAUGGGUAAUAAAAUAAUAGUGGUUCGUAGGAGGAGAAACAAAAAAAAAAUAGCUAGGUUGCUCCUUCAUUGCCGUAACUAGAGGAAGAAGAAGAGGGGAAGUUCGGCCAAGGUGGUUCUUUAGAUUAAGGUAUGUUCAAUGUUGCUUUUGGGGGUUUACACAUCCUUUGGAGGGUUAGCCUACUUCUAUUUAUCUCAUGGAUGAAAUUGGGGUUGUUGGAGAGUUAGGAUUCGGCUAAGAGGCUUCAAAAUUCUAGUUGAUGCCUUGAUACUACUAGCAUGUUAGCUAUAUGGAUGUGUUAAGUUACUUGAGAUGUUAGAUAAAUUUGAACUCCCUACCAAAUUCUUUAGGCAACCCAUGUUAGAAAUUUCGGUAUUGAGAUGUCUAGAUCUUUCGGCCAUUGUAGCUAUGGAGGAAUAAAGUUUUGUUUCUUGUUAAAUUGGAUGAAUCUUGUUGUAUGAGUGCUUGAACAAACUACGAUUAAAUGGAUGCAUAGAUUCAAAGUGGGAAGAAUUGGCUAUUAUAUUUGAUGCUAAUACCGAAUAUGAAGAUGUUGAACUUGAAUAAAUAAUAUUCAGCUAGCAUGAUAAGUUAUGAAAUAUUAAGUAGAUGAUAUAAUUGAUUGGUGAAGUGGCUAAUAGGGAUUUUUAAUGAAAUUAUGCCAAGGCCGAAUGUAUCAUGAAGUAAAUAAAAAUGCUAAAUGUGCAUUAUGUGCUUAUAUGUGUAUUCGACCAAGGAAGUUUGAUAUGAAGCUUUGAUAGGUUUGAGAGAUGAAUGAGCCAUAGGUUAUGUAUGGAUGAAUUUUAUUCAUAUGUGUGUGUGUGGCAUUAGUAGUUAAUGGCAUUCGGCAUUGUUUAAUUAAAAUUAGAAAUGAAUGCUUGAAAGUUAAAUAGGUCGCUCUAAUAACCAAAUAUGCUAAAAACUAAUAUAUGGACAAAUGAUACGAAUGAAUUGGUUUUUGAAAUGUAUAUGGUUGCCGUAUGUAUGUGUUUGAUUGAGAAGUAAAUUUGUUUGAUUUAGCUCAAGAGCUUAGAGGAUCAAAGUUGGAUAAGGGAAAGGAAAAAGUGAUCGAAUAGCCGUUGAAAUCGUUCGACAACAUCCGAGGUAAGUCUUUGAGUAAUGAAAUUUAGCUUACGAUUUAAUAAGGCAAUUAUUUGUCUAUGAGCAUAAUAAUUAACUCGUGACUUGACGAUUCUACUUGAAUUACUUGAUAAAAUAAAUAAGUAAGGUAUUUACUUGGAGCCGAAUGGUUAUAGAAAUCUUGUGGGAUUAAUGAACCGAAUGACGUAUGGUUAGUAAACAUGCUGUUAUUGUAUUCGAGUAUCAGGAAUGAUAUCCAGAUGUGAUAUGAUAUAUAUAUAUGCAUAUAUGCAUGAAUGCUAAUCGGGGUCUAAAUCUGAGCUUGGUCUCGAAGGGCUUUUGAGCCAGUGCUAAUAACCGAACUUAGUUUCAAAGGGCUUUUUAGAGCCAGUGACAUAACCGGACUUAAUUCCGAAGGGCCUUCGAGCCAGUAGUCUAAUCCGAGCUUGGUCUCGAAGGGCUUUUGAGCCGGUGCUAAGAGUCGGACUUUAUUCUGAAGGAUGUUGCACCAGCAUAAUAUUUGAGGGUGAAAACCCGUAAGUGUUCUUACGAGAAAUCAUAUAAUACAUGCUGGAAUAAUUUUAAUCACAUGCGCUACUUACUGUAAGACAACCAGGUAAGUAAUUCACCCUUGUUGAGAAUGUGAAUAUACUUCAAUUAUGAAUUUGAAAUUUGAUGGGAAUGCUUAGCACAUUAUUUAAAUCAUCCGAACGUUUAUGAUCGGAUUAUGAUGUAUGAGUUCCGAAUAUGAGAGUUCAAUGUCAUAGUUAUGAAAUGUGUGUGCAUAUGCAUGAAAUGGACAUGGAAAUUUGAGAUGAGAGCAUUCGGUUGUGGAUUGGAGUUGGCCGGAUAAAUUGGUUUCACCUUUGUGAUAUUAAUGAUAAAAGUGAUAUCACGGUUCUGUUUCUAUUCGGCCAAGGGAUGAAACAAACAAACUUGAUAUUUUUAUGCCAUCCUUUUAAAUGAUUUCAUUACUUAAAACUUACUAAGCAUCGAAAUGCUUAUUCUCUGCUUUAAUUCUCUGUUUGUAGAUUUUGUUCGUCAGCUAUCAGACUCGGGAUUGUCAAAGUCGAAGUCAUCCACACUAUCUAAACCACUUUUUGGUACUCUUUUAGUUCAAUUUGAAAUGGCAUGUAUAGGGCUGACCCUUGUUGUUAAUUGAGUACCCUUUUGUAAUGUAUAUUCGUAUAGCAAUGCGAAAAUGGCUCGUAUAUUUUGAAGUAUAACAUUAUGGUCUUAUGGUAUGGUUAUUAAGUGGUGUGGAAAUGUUUGGUAAUGACUAGCCAUUGGAAUGGCCAAUCAUGGUCCUAUUGGUGCUACGUAUGUCAUGGCUAAUCGGGAUUACCCUUGAUAAUAAUGUAUGCCAAUUUGCUAGUUGAUUCAUGGAAAACUAGGAAAUAGGUGAAAUCUGCCUUAAAAUAGAUGCUGAUGGCAGCAGUGAUGUGAGUGUUAAAAAUCACUAAAAAUAGUAUAAAUGUAAUUAAAUAAUGAAUAAAUUAUGUAAAUGAACCUUGAUGAGUCUAUUUUCAUAUGGAAGAAGCGAAAAAACCAUAUGAGCCGUAUUUUAUGAGAUGUUUAAGUUUUCGUGAAACAGGGCCAGAGCAAUUACUGGAUCCCCUGUUCUGACUUUGAAAAUUUACCAUAAAUUAACCAGAGACAAUUGGAAGUCAUGCUUCAUAUUUAUAGAUUCCAUUUUGAGUCUAGUUUCAUUAGAAACAAACGGCAUAAGUAUUGAAGCUCUGUACAGGGAGAUAUCUAAGUCGUAAUGCAUGAAGGUCAGAGUAGUCGAACCUUGAAACAGGAGAGACUUUAACUAAUAAACUGUACUAAUUGGCUUGACCAAAAAUUCUAGAAAAAAAUUUGUAGAUGGAAAUAUGAGUGUAGUUUCAGGGAAAAUUUACGGAAUCAGUUUUCGAGUUAAGGGAACUUGAGAUAUGAUUUUUAAGGUGGCAGUAACACAGUUAGCCAGCUUGUCUGGAAAUUUUAAAAAUGAACUGUAUAAAUAAAUGAAUUAAGUCCGUUAACACCUCGUGUCCGACUCCGGAAACGGUCUCGGGUACGGGGCGUUACAAUUUUAUUGGUAUCAGAGCUACGGUUUAGUCGAUUCUAGGACUACCGUACUACGUUCGGGUCUAGCUAUACAUGCCAUUGUGUGUUUAUUUGAUAGUGGCGAUUUCUGACAGUUAAAAAUGUGUUUAUUUAUAGUAAUGGAUCCCGAUCCCAACCGACUGGUAGCUGAUGAUCUUGAGAGUGUAGCUCCUGCUCCCGCACAAGGGACAGUGCCGGUGGACUCUCAACCUAUUGCUAGUAAUCAGAAUGAUGAAGCUAGACAAGCUUUUUAUAGCGUGAUGAAUGAUUGGUUCAACCAAUACAUUCGAACUAAUACGGCUGUUCCACAACCCCCAUUCCCGACCAAUACAACCCCUGCACCUGCGAUACCCCCGGUAACCGACCAAAUAAGGUUAAAUAAGCCCCCAGUUGACAGAAUCCGAAAACACGGGGCUACUGAAUUUAAAGCUACAGACAGCGACGAUGCCGAGCAAGCUGAAUUUUGGUUGGACAACACUAUUCGGGUACUUGAUGAACUAUCUUGCACAUCCGAUGAAUGCCUUAAGUGAACUAUCUCCUUGCUACGUGAUUCUGCCUACUAUUGGUGGAAUACGUUGAUUUCGGUUGUGCCCAGAGAGCAAGUAACUUGGGAGUUUUUCCAAACCGAGUUUCGAAAAAAGUAUAUCAGCCAGAGAUUCAUUGAUCAAAAACAAAAAGAAUUUCUUGAACUUAAACAAGGUUCCAUGUCGGUUACUGACUAUGAACGAAAGUUUGUAAGACUUAACCGGUACGCUCGGGAAUGCAUUUCCUCAGAAGCUGUAAUGUACAAACGUUUCGAGGACGGACUGAACGAUGAUAUAAAACUGUAUGUUGGCAUUUUAGAAAUCAGAGAAUUUGUGGUACUUGUCGAGCGAGCGUGAAAAGCCGAAGAGCUCAGUAAGGAGAAAAGAAAAGCUGAUAUGGGAGCAAAGGAGUUUUGUAAGAGAUCUUCGGGAAAGCCCUUUCAAUAGUUAUCGAAGAAAUUUAGAGAUGGUUUAGGCCGAUCUAGAGACACUUCAGGCUUUUCUAGACGAGAUCGUGAUCGACCCCCUGUGAGUACACGAGUCACUUCGGUGGCCAGUGUUGGAAAUGAUCGUCGAGACAGGACAGAGUGCCAGUAUUGUGGUAAAUGGCAUUCGGGAAGUUGUAGAUUCCAUGACCGCUCCUGUUAUAAGUGCGGAUCGGCUGACCACUUUAUCAAGGAUUGCCCGAGACUGUCUGAACAAAAUGUAAAUCAGAGUGGGAAACCGGGUGCUACUACUGCUUGAGGUAGACCAUCUAGAAAUACGGGAAAUCCUAGUGGCGGUCAGAGAGGAUCUAGAGACGCUACAACCAGAUCUGAGGCUCGUGCUCCUGCCAGAGCUUAUGCUAUACGUGCACGCGAGGAUGCUUCUUCGCCUGAUGUUAUUACCGGUACAUUCACUCUCUUUGAUACCAAUGUGAUUGCAUUGAUUGACCCUGGUUCUACUCAUUCUUAUAUAUGUGAGACUUUAGCAUCCAGUAAGACUUUACCUGUUGAGUCUACUGAGUUCGUUAUUAGAGUGUCGAACCCCUUGGGUCAUUGUGUGCUUGUUUAUAAGGUGUGUAAGAAAUGUCCCCUAGUAAUUCGAGGUUCCUGUUUUCCGGUGGACUUGAUGCUUUUACCGUUUGAUGAAUUUGAUGUUAUUCUCGGUUUGGACUGGUUGACCGUGCAUGAUGCGGUUGUGAAUUGCAAGACUAUGACUAUUGAUUUGAGGUGUGCAAAUAAUGAGAUAAUCCGAGUUGAGUCUACUGUUUUGACUGGAUUGCCAACAAUAAUAUCCUCGAUGUUAGCUCGAAAAUAUGUGAGAAAGGGGUGUGAAGCGUACCUUGCAUACGUACUUGAUAAUAAAGAGUCAUAAAAGAAACUUGAAUCGGUGCCAGUGGUUUGUGAUAUUCGGAUGUUUUCCCCGAAGAAUUUCUAGGGUUACCACCUGUUCGGGAGGUAGAGUUUGGCAUCGAACUUGUACCUGGGACUACACCGAUUUCGAUAGCUCCGUAUCGUAUGGCACCAACGGAAUUAAAGGAAUUGAAAGCUCAGUUGCAAGAGUUGACGGAUAGAGGUUUCGCUCGACCAAGUUUCUCACCUUGGGGUGCACCAGUAUUGUUUGUGAAAAAGAAGGACAGAACCAUGAGGUUGUGCAUCGACUAUCGUCAGCUGAAUAAAGUGACAAUAAACAAUAAAUAUCCGUUACCGCGUAUUGAUGAUUUGUUUGAUCAACUAAAGGGAGCCUCAGUGUUUUCAAAGAUAGAUUUGAGAUCGGGUUAUUAUCAGUUGCGAAUUCGAGAUUCGGAUAUACCCAAAACUGCUUUCAGAACGAGAUAUGGUCACUACGAGUUCUUAGUGAUGCCGUUUGGGCUCACUAAUGCCCCUGCGGUAUUUAUGGAUUUGAUGAAUCGAAUCUUCAGACCGUAUUUGGAUCGGUUUGUAGUUGUGUUUAUCGAUGAUAUUUUGGUCUAUUCGAGAAAUGAAACCGAUCAUGCUGAACACCUGGGAUUAGUGUUGCAAAUUUUACGGGAUAAGCAGUUAUAUGCUAAGUUCAGUAAGUGUGAGUUCUGGUUAAGAGAGGUUAGCUUCUUGGGACAUGUGGUAUCUGCAUUGGGUAUUCGAGUUGAUCCGAGCAAAAUUUCAGCCAUACUUAACUGGAAGCCUCCGAGAAAUAUUACUGAAGUUCGGAGCUUUUUGGGACUUGCCGGUUACUACAGACGCUUUGUAAAGGGUUUCUCGAUGAUAGCCACACCAAUAACGAAACUACUUCAGAAAGAUGUUAAGUUUGAAUGGACAGAAAAAUGUCAGAAAAGUUUCGAUCCAUUGAAAACUUAUUUGACUGAAGCUCCAGUACUAGUGCAGCCCGAAUCAGGCAAGGAGUUUGUCAUCUACAGUGAUGCAUCCUUACUUGGGUUGGGUUGUGUAUUGAUGCAAGAAGGUCGAGUUGUGGCCUAUGCGUCGAGACAAUUGAAGCCACAUGAGAAAAAUUAUCCGACCCAUGAUCUCGAACUAGCUGCCAUCGUAUUCGCUUUGAAAAUAUGGCGACAUUACUUAUUUGGUGAGAAGUGCCAUGUAUAUUCAGAUCACAGAAGUCUCAAAUAUUUGAUGACUCAAAGAGACUUGAAUCUGCGACAAAGACGUUGGCUCGAGUUGUUAAAAGAUUAUGAGCUUGUCAUUGACUAUCACCCGGGAAAGGCUAAUGUGGUUGCAGAUGCUUUAAGUCGUAAAUCACUAUUUACUUUACGAGCGAUGAAUGUACACUUGUCUGUUCUAUCCGACAAUGUGUUAGUAGUAGAAUUAAAGGCCAAACCAUUGUUGAUUCAUCAAAUUCGUGAAGCUCAAAAAGUCGAUGAUGAAUUGGUUGCAAAACGGGCUGAAUGUGUCUCGAACAUGGAAUCAGAGUUUCAAAUUGACGAUGACGAUUGUUUGAGGUUCAGAAGUCGUUUGUGUGUCCCAAGAAAUUCAAAACUUAUUUCGACGAUUCUGAACGAAGCUCAUUGUAGCCGAAUGUCAAUUCACCCGGGGAGCACGAAAAUGUACAACGACCUGAGACGUCAAUUUUGGUGGCAUGGCAUGAAACGAGACAUUUCCGAUUUUGUUUCGAAGUGUUUAAUAUGUCAACAGGUGAAAGCGGAACAUCAAGUGCCUACAGGUUUACUUCAGCCGAUCAUGAUACCUGAAUGGAAAUGGGAUCGAGUCACGAUGGAUUUUGUAUCUGGGUUGCUGUUGUCGGCAACUAAGAAAGAUGCGAUUUGGGUUGUUGUUGAUAGACUGACUAAGUUGGCUCAUUUUAUUCCCGUACGUACGGAUUAUUCAUUGGAUAAACUAGCUGAAUUGUAUGUUUCUCAGAUUGUAAGGUUACAGGGGGUACCUAUUUCUAUUGUGUCGGAUAGAGAUCCGAGGUUCACCUCGCGAUUUUGGAAGAAACUGCAAGAAGCCUUGGGUACUAAGUUGCAUUUUAGCACCGCUUUUCAUCCACAGACUGAUGGUCAAUCCGAGCGGAUAAUUCAGAUACUCGAGGAUAUGUUGAGAUGUUGCAUCCUUGAGUUUAGUGGUUCAUGAGAGCGGUAUUUACCUUUGAUUGAAUUCGUUUACAACAAUAGUUUUCAAUCAAGCAUUAAGAUGGCACCUUACGAGGCUUUGUACGGUCGUAAAUGCCGUACACCGUUGUUUUGGACCGAACUCGGUGAAAGUAAAAUUUUCGGAGUUGACUUGAUUAAAGAUGCUGAGCAGAAAGUAAAAAUAAUUCGUGAAAGUCUAAAGGCAGCAUCAGAUCGUCAGAAGUCGUACGCGGAUUUAAAACGAAGAGAUAUUGAGUAUCAGGUGGGAGACAAAGUGUUUCUUAAGGUUUCACCUUGGAAAAAGAUACUCAGAUUUGGCCGUAAGGGCAAACUGAGUCCGAGGUUCAUUGGGCCGUAUGAAAUCUCCGAACGAGUUGGUCCAGUUGCAUAUAAGUUGCUUUUACCCCCUGAACUUGAAAGGAUUCACAACGUUUUUCACGUUUCGAUGCUUCGACGUUACAGAUCUGAUCCUUCGUACAUAAUUAAUCCCUCCGAGGUUGAAAUUCAAUCCGAUAUGAGUUAUGAAGAAGAACCGAUACGUAUCCUAGCUCGUGAAGUGAAAGAGUUGCGAAACAAAAGGGUUCUGUUAGUGAAGGUGUUAUGGCUCAAACACAGGAUCGAAGAAGCUACUUGGGAAACCGAGAACUCUAUGAAAGAACGUUACCCAAACCUAUUUACCAGUAAGAUUUUCGGGGACGAAAAUUUCUUAAAUGGGGGAGAGUUAUGACAGCCCUAAAUUGACCCUAGUCGGAAAGUGGUUUCGGGACCGCUAAACCGAGUCACCGAAGUAUUUGAGUAUAAUAUUUAUUGUCUAAAAUAUGUGAAUAUGAGUGUGUGAAAGUUUUGAGCUUCGAUUUGGUCAAUUGCAUGUGAAUUUAGUUAAUAGGACUUAUGUGUGACACUUUUGAAAUGUGAUGGGUUAAUCUAUAAGGAUCUAUUAGUGCAUGUUAUGAAAAUAAUGGGUUUGCAUGUCAAAUUUCCACCUAUGACAAGUAGUGGCCGGCCAUGCUAUGGGUUAAAAUGUAUUAUAAACAUUUUAUGUUAGUGUUUUAUGUUAGAAAUAAUAAAAUAAAGAACAUGGGUAAUAAAAUAAUAGUGGUUAGUAGGAGGAGAAACAAAAAAAAAUUAGCUAGGUUGCUCUUUCAUUGCCGUAACUAGAGGAAGAAGAAGAGGGGAAGUUCGGCCAAGGUGGUUCUUUAGAUUAAGGUAUGUUCAAUGUUGCUUUUGGGGGUUUACACAUCCUUUGGAGGGUUAGCCUACUUCUAUUUAUCUCAUGGAUGAAAUUGGGGUUGUUGGAGAGUUAGGAUUCGGCUAAGAGGCUUCAAAAUUCUAGUUGAUGCCUUGAUACUACUAGCAUGUUAGCUAUAUGGAUGUGUUAAGUUACUUGAGAUGUUAGAUAAAUUUGAACUCCCUACCAAAUUCUUUAGGCAACCCAUGUUAGAAAUUUCGGUAUUGAGAUGUCUAGAUCUUUCGGCCAUUGUAGCUAUGGAGGAAUAAAGUUUUGUUUCUUGUUAAAUUGGAUGAAUCUUGUUGUAUGAGUGCUUGAACAAACUAUGAUUAAAUGGAUGCAUAGAUUCAAAGUGGGAAGAAUUGGCUAUUAUAUUUGAUGCUAAUGCCGAAUAUGAAGAUGUUGAACUUGAAUAAAUAAUAUUCAGCUAGCAUGAUAAGUUAUGAAAUAUUAAGUAGAUGAUAUAAUUGAUUGGUGAAGUGGCUAAUAGGGAUUUUUAAUGAAAUUAUGCCAAGGCCGAAUGUAUCAUGAAGUAAAUAAAAAUGCUAAAUGUGCAUUAUGUGCUUAUAUGUGUAUUCGGCCAAGGAAGUUUGAUAUGAAGCUUUGAUAGGUUUGAGAGAUGAAUGAGCCAUAGGUUAUGUAUGGAUGAAUUUUAUUCAUAUGUGUGUGUGUGGCAUUAGUAGUUAAUGGCAUUCGGCAUUGUUUAAUUAAAAUUAGAAAUGAAUGCUUGAAAGUUAAAUAGGUCGCUCUAAUAACCAAAUAUGCUAAAAACUAAUAUAUGGACAAAUGAUACGAAUGAAUUGGUUUUUGAAAUGUAUAUGGUUGCCGUAUGUAUGUGUUUGAUUGAGAAGUAAAUUUGUUUGAUUUAGCUUAAGAGCUUAGAUGAUCAAAGUUGGAUAAGGGAAAGGAAAAAGUGAUCGAAUAGCCGUUGAAAUCGUUCGACAACAUCCGAGGUAAGUCUUUGAGUAAUGAAAUUUAGCUUACGAUUUAAUAAGGCAAUUAUUUGUCUAUGAGCAUAAUAAUUAACUCGUGACUUGACGAUUCUAUUUGAAUUACUUGAUAAAAUAAAUAAGUAAGGUAUUUACUUGUAGCCGAAUGGUUAUAGAAAUCUUGUGGGAUUAAUGAACCGAAUGACGUAUGGUUAGUAAACAUGCUGUAAUUGUAUUCGAGUAUCAGGAAUGAUAUCCAGAUGUGAUAUGAUAUAUAUAUGCAUAUAUGUGUGAAUGCUAAUCUGGGUCUAAAUCCGAGCUUGGUCUCGAAGGGCUUUUGAGCCAGUGCUAAUAACCGAACUUAGUUUCGAAGGGCUUUUUAGAGCCAGUGACAUAACCGGACUUAAUUCCGAAGGGCUUUCGAGCUAGUAGUCUAAUCCGAGCUUGGUCUCGAAGGGCUUUUGAGCCGGUGCUAAGAGUCGGACUUUAUUCCGAAGGAUGUUGCACCAGCAUAAUAUUUGAGGGUGAAAACCCGUAAGUGUUCUUACGAGAAAUCAUAUAAUACAUGCUGGAAUAAUUUUAAUCACAUGCGCUACUUACUGUAAGACAACCAGGUAAGUAAUUUACCCUUGUUGAGAAUGUGAAUAUACUUCAAUUAUGGAUUUGAAAUUUGAUGGGAAUGCUUAGCACAUUAUUUAAAUCAUCCGAACAUUUAUGAUCGGAUUAUGAUGUAUGAGUUCUGAAUAUGAGAGUUCAAUGUCAUAGUUAUGAAAUGUGUGUGCAUAUGCAUGAAAUGGACAUGGACAUUUGAGAUGAGAGCAUUCGGUUGUGGAUUGGAGUUGGCCAGAUAAAUUGGUUUCACCUUUGUGAUAUUAAUGAUAAAAGUGAUAUCACGGUUAUGUUUCUAUUCGGCCAAGGGAUGAAACAAACAAACUUGAUAUUUUUAUGCCAUCCUUUUAAAUGAUUUCAUUACUUAAAACUUACUAAUUAUCAAAAUGCUUAUUCUCUGCUUUAAUUCUCUGUUUGUAGAUUUUGUUCGUCAGCUAUCGGACUCGGGAUUGUCAAAGUCGAAGUCGUCCACACUAUCUAAACCACUUUUUGGUACUCUUUUAGUUCAAUUUGAAAUGGCAUGUAUAGGGCUGACCCUUGUUGUUAAUUGAGUACCCUUUUGUAAUGUAUAUUCGUAUAGCCAUGCGAAAAUGGCUCGUAUAUUUUGAAGUAUAACAUCAUGGUCUUAUGGUAUGGUUAUUAAGUGGUGUGGAAAUGUUUGGUAAUGACUAGCUAUUGGAAUGGCCAAUCAUGGUCCUAUUGGUGCUACGUACGUCAUGGCUAAUCGGGAUUACGCUUGAUAAUAAUGUAUGUCAAUUUGCUAGUUGAUUCAUGGAAAACUAGGAAAUAGGUGAAAUCUGCCUUAAAAUAGAUGCUGACAGCAGCAGUGAUGUGAGUUUGAAAAAUCACUAAAAAUAGUAUAAAUGUAAUUAAAUAAUGAAUAAAUUAUUUAAACGAACCUUGAUGAGUCUGUUUUCAUAUGGAAUAAUCGAAACGACCAUAUGAGCCGUAUUUUAUGAUAUGUUUAAGUUUUCGUGAAACAGGGCCAGAGCAAUUACUGGAUCCCCUGUUCUGACUUCGAAAAUUUACCAUAAAUUAACCAGAGACAAUUAGAAGUCAUGCUUCAUAUGUAUAGAUUCAUUUUUGAGUCUAGUUUCAUUAUAAAUAAACGGCAUAAGUAUUGAAGCUCUGUACAGGGAGAUAUCUAAGUCGUAAUGCAUGAAGGUCAGAGUAGUCGAACCCUGAAACAGGAGAGACUUUAAAUAAUAAACUGUACUAAUUGGCUCAACCAAAAAUUCUAGAAAAAAAUUUUUAGAUGGAAAUAUGAGUCUAGUUUCAGGGAAAAUUUACGGAAUUAGUUUUCGAGUUUUUUAACUUGAUAUAUGAUUUUUAAGGUGACAGUGACGCAGUUAGCCAGCUUGUCUGAAAAUUUUAAAAAUGAACUGUAUAAAUAAAUGAAUUAAGUCUGUUAACACCUCGUGUCCGACUCCGGCAACGGUCUCGGGUACGGGGCGUUACAUUUUCUUUCCUGAAUAUCAAUAUUAUUACGUAUUUUACUCGAGCGAGGUCGACCUUUUGGUUUGCAAUGCAAUUCUGUGUUUGGUAACAAGUUAAACGGAGUAAGUGAUACAGACGGCCACUUAUGUUCAUCUGAGAUUAGUAGGAAUACGUGUGUCCACACAUCAUACAUGUAUUCUAUUUUGUACACUUCAUUGACAAAUCUCAUGGGAUCCAAAUGAAGAUUUUGACAAGCUGCAAUUGCAUGGGCACUUGGAUAACGAAGUGCGUCAAACGUCCCACAGUCGCAAGUCCUAUUUAUCAAGCGUACAUGAUAUUGCCCACCGGUAAUACAUUGGCUCGGUCUGUCAAACUCCGUCAUAAGAAACCAUAGGUUGUUGCCAUCGUGACACACAGUAUGCAUUGUGUUGGCCCGCGCUUUCGCCGUGUUAAUUUCUACCAAUACCUUCCAUAACCAUAUAUGGUCUCCCUACAUUUGGCCUUUAUAACUCGCUGCUCACUUUGGAAAUAGUGCCGCCAAACGAAAAUAUGUCUCUUGCACAACUGAGGUUAUCGACAAAUGAUGCUUUCCUUUUAGAACAUAAUUUAUGCAUUCAGCCAGGUUUGUGGUCGUAUGACAAUCUCGUAGGCCACCGUCGUAUGCCUGUGUCCACUGUUCAAAAGGUAUGUUACAUAGGUAGUCUACACCUUGAUCGUUAACUGAACGAAAAUUCCCCAACAUCUCAUGAAAAUGAUCCUUAUUGAUCUCGUACCCUGGCAAUAUAAGUUGAUAGCGAAAAUUACAUACCAAUGUUCUAUUCAGAAUAAAUUGAAUACUAAAACUAAAAGUAUAUUAAUAGAGAUUAAAUACCUAUGUUGGUCACUUGCUUUAGUUCAGUCGUAGACCGAUAUUGCUCAUAGUAGUUGGAUGCAACGUGCCUUAGACAAUACCGAUGGUGUGUACGAUCCCAUAUGCAUUCAUGUCGCUCAAUUGCGGCUAGUAUUCCAAUACCCCAAUCUGAUAUAACGCAGAUAUCAGGUUGGGGGCACACAUGUCUCCUUAACAUAGAAAGAAAGAAAUCCCAGUCAUCAGCUAACUCCCCUGAUGUUAUUGCAAAUUUAAUUGGAAGGAUUCUCCCACCGCCAUCCUGUGCCACCGCUAGAAAUAGUCGAUAGGUAUAUCUACCAUUCAUAAAGGUACCGUCAAUUUAUACCAAUGGCUUGUAGUACACAAAUGUGUCCUGACAUUGCUUGAAGCUCCAAAACAGACGUUUGAACACUUGGCAUCCAUGGAGCAAUCAGUCGUUGUAGUACGCAGGGACCGUUUCAAGGUCUGUUAUGCAACCUUGGAUGUACCUCUUUGGCACCUAACACUACUACCAAAUCUC